CACGCAUUAAAGAUUGGGUCAAUAUGUUAAAUAUUGUAAAUAAAUAUGAUUAAAUAGUUAAAAUUAAACAUAUCUGAUUUGUUUACCCUACAACGUAAAUGGAUAUAAAGACUUCAAAGGGGUAUAACAUAUUCAAAGUCUCCAACUAAAUCUAGUCCUCGUAUCCUCAACUUAUCAAAAAGUCAAUACCUUUAAGGUAUGUGCCAAAGAAAGGCACGAGUGUUGACAACCCCACCAUCUAUACAUUUGACACUUGCCUUAAUGAUUAAGAAAAUGCCUGAUCAUCAUUUACUAAAACUCAUAAAUAUGUUUAUAUCAUCUACUAAACUCAUUUUUUCAAAAUUUAUUUUCAAUCAUACAUUACAUUUCGUAGGAUUCACAACUUUUACCAAUUUUCCCAUCAAAUCUUACCAAUUAGGCAACGGCCUAAGGCCUUAGAUAUUUGAGGGACCUCAAAAAUAAACCAUUUGUUCUCUGGUUCUUGUAGACAGUGGGAACAUAUCUUGUUAUUGCAAAUUAUUGCAUGACAGGAAUGACCUUUAUGAUUUGCUAAAGAAAUGAAGGUACUGUCCUUGGUUUCUUCAUUUUGCUUUAUUUCCACUCGUCAUUCAUUUACCAAUAUGGGUUGAUUCCCUUUCCUAGAAAAUAUGCUCAUGCCAAUUUCCUAAAUUUGUGGAUUUAAUUGAAACUCAAAAAAGUUUAACCAUAUUUUCUUACCUUCGUUUCAGUCCAUGAUAAUCUUUGUCAAAUUUUUAAUUUGUGGAAUCACACACAUUUAAAGAACAUUUUAGUCCAACCUAUCCUUUCCAUCCAAUCUCAUCUUUGCAUUGACAUACGUUAUGUGUUAGUUGGACAAUAAAAGAAAAUAUUAGACAGCAUUAAAAAAUAAACAACCAUCACAAAUUCACGACAUAUUUAUAGAAUACUGCCAAAGAAAUCCAUUUUGAGGAACUUUUAAUCAUUUUCAAACAAGCUCUUAGCUCUCAACAUUUUUCAUGAGCUCGAUUUAUAGUACUAAUUAAACAAUAAAAAGAUAUUAAAACUUUUUCCAUAGUAAUCUACAUAUUUGUCCAGCACUAAGCAUGGCUCCUAAAUAUGUGAUAUGACAGUAAACAUGUGGGCCUUUCCUGUUUUAAUAGGAAUCCUCAUCUUUGAGAAUUAUGUUAGUUGUUAUUAUGUCCUCUGAGCAUGUUUCCUCAAGAAUCAAUAGAAAAUAGCUAUUUAUUUUUUUUUUAUUUUUUCAUUUUACUCAAACUCGUGUAUUUCUGCCUAGUAUAGAAAUUAAAGAAGAUUAAGUUAUGAGAAAAAAGUUAUGUUUAAGUUCUUCAAGGAUCAAAAGGUGAAAAUAUCAUACCUGAGGGCCUCAUCAUAAUUAUUUGAUAGCCCCGAGAAACCGACCCCAAUAGUCCCUUUUCUAGGAACCACCUUGGUGAGCCUUUCUUCGUCAACGAAUUUAGUUCACAGAUUCGCCUCACUUUCUCCACCAACAAGCCUAGUUUGCAGCUCUGCCUCACCGAGUGACUCCAACAAGAUACAUCAAGGUUAACAAAAUGUAGCUCACAUGUAGCAUCCAAGUUGGAUGAGGUUCAAUCAUUUUGAGCCACUUUCAACGAGCCUGGAAGGUUGUUACUACGUAGAUGAAUAUGUGGAUCGCUAGAUUCUGACAUUUGCUCAGCAGAUUAGCACCUUGAGGACGACAGGAUUCAACCAACCCAGUUUGACACAGAACAACUUAUUAAGCAACAGGAAAUCUCUUUCAAUGUGGAUGAGGAAUUUUAUUCAGCAACAUAGGUGGUGUGCUCUAAACUGACUGCAAGGAGCCACGUUCUUAAUUUCUAGAAACAAUCUCGAAACCAAUACUAAUCUCGGCAAGUUUAAUAAAUAUUUUGGUUUUCCUUCCGAAUCCCAUGGCCACUCCGUUGUGGCACAACUCUGGUGCCUAUCCCGCACCAAGUGUGCCUCAACAGCCGAAGCUGGAGGUGAGGGUCCGCUGGAGCUGCCUCGACAACAGUUGCCGGAGGUUGGAGGUUGCGGUGUACCCAGAAACGUCAAAAGUCAUAGUUGGAGGUUGAAUUUUGGUUUAGAUAUUUUAUCGAUCGCCUGAUGGACGAAGUAGUGCUGAGAAUUUAUGAGAACAAAUAAAGGCUGCCUUGCACAUCACAAUAUCCCAAUUGUGCCCGUUUUAGAAUAUCCGCGUCCGACGAAAGACAAGGAAGAGACAUUAUUUAUAAAAAUGGAGCGGGGUCCCAUGGUUCAACGCGAGGCUUGAAUUGAAUAUCUCCACUAUCUGAGAAAAAUCUAAAAAACUUUCAUACAGCAGGUGGCGGCCCAAGGUUCUUACCACCAGUGAAGAUUCGGAGCCGUCGAAAGUGACUACCACUGCGACUGCAUCCAACGGAGGCUACGGGAGCCUCGGUGGCGGUGGGGGCACCUGCGGCAGAUCUUGGCCUAGUGUUCAGUCUAACACGAAGAGUUGUACUUGGUCCACCGAGACCAAGGGGGAUCGAGAUCGAGUGGCAUGUAGGUCGCAACGCCGCUGCUACGGGAGCCUCGGUGGCAGUGGGGGCACCAGGGCCAGAUCUUGGCCCAGUGUUCAGUCUAACACGCAGAGUUCUACUUGGUCCACCGAGAUCAAGGGGAAUCGAGAUCGAGUGGCAUGUAGGUAGAAACGCCGGUGCUACGGGAGCCUCGGUGGCGGUGGAGUUCAACACCGAGACCAAGGGAGAUCGAGAUGGAGAAGCAUGUUGGUCCGUCGUAGCUGGACUGUUUUAAUGACCAUGGAGGCGAUUCUCAUCAGUAGGAUUUUGGUGAAAAUUUUGACAGUUACACAGCGAAAUUUGUGGAGAUUUCCAUUUGUACCCGAAUGUGAGUGAGUGAGUGGUCGGACCCCGCAAACUUAAUGGCGUAGACAGUCCAAAUUAUCCCCAAAAUCGAAUAGCUUCCAAAUAAACGCACAAUUAAUUCAUGACACAUUAAUUUAGUGGGUUAAUGAUGAUAAAUUUAAGAUAACAUAUUAAUUAUUAAUGACAUGUCAAGAAUUAAUUAGAUAGAUAGUAGAUCUCGACUCUAUUUUCCAAAAAGGUAUAUAGUAUGUCAUUUAUAUAUUUUAUUACAUAGUGUAUACCAACUUAUUUUUUCAUUAUAUUUUUAAAAAAAAAAAAAGUAAGAAAAAUAUUUUCCCCUCACUUCAAAGCAUAGAACAAAAUAUUUUGAUAUAAAUUAUCGUCAAGGACGAGAUGUACUACCUAAUGAAAAUUUGAAAAUAAGAAUUCCACGAAAAAAAUUAAGAAAAUAAUUACUAUAAUGAGCAAAAUAAAAUGUAGUGUAAUUAAUAAAAAUUAUAGUGGCAAUACAACCAUCCUAAAAUAAAACUUGACUUCCCUUUGUGGGGACCAAACAAACCACUGGAGAGGUGAUUCUUUCAUCCUAUAAUAAAACUUGACCUCCCUUUGUGGGGACCAAACAAAUCACUGGAGAGGUGAUUCUUUCAUCCUAUCUGAAGCUUUGAAACACUGUGUUUUCCUCGAAUUACAUUUGCUAUGCGCUAACAGAAAUGCAAUACAAAAGAGGCAAAUAAACUACAUCAAAACAUUAUUGUUCUUUCCAAAUAACUAUAUUUAAUUACUAACUCAGCUCCAGUUUUGCAUUUGGCCUAAUCUUGCUGAAUUUGUCUCCUCACCUGCGAUUCUAUGUCGGGUUCCUCAUCAAUAUUUAUUGUUGUGGUCAUAUAUAUGUUAAGAACAGGAAUUGAUGGCAAUAGAAGUUGAAAACUCAGCUUAAAACUCCUCCACAUGCUAGAGAUACAUGUAGUGCAUAAGGAAAGCAACAUAAUUAUGGGGUAGAUAUUCCAAAAGACAUCUUGUGGGAAGAAUAGAGAGGCCAAGAAACAAACCAAUAGGGAAACUGAGUAAUUCUUGACUUGAAUGCGUAUGUAUCCUAUCUCAACUUGAGGUGUCAAUGGGAUUUCAAUGGAAAUGAAGGAGAAGAGAAGGAAAAAGCUAGUGAGAAGCCAAAACUUGAUCCAAGUGAAGUUUUCAAUUGCUAUACCAAAUGGAUCCCAUUCCCAAGAUGUGGCUGUAUAUGAUUUCAAUAUGUUUAUAACGAAGAGGGCAGCGUGUCUUAGAUCAAAGUAUAACAUUAUUCUUGGGUGAGAGAAUUUAAGGAGAAGUGAAGAACUGAAUAUGAAGAAGAUACUGGUGAGAGAAUUUAAGGUAAUAUGAAAAUGAUACUCGCCUCUCUCUCUCUCUCUAUCUAUCUAUCUAUCUGUCUAUAUAUAUAUAUAUAUAUAUACACAUAUAUAUAUAUACACAGACAUAUGUAUGUUUCUAGGAAACUUUACAAAUAGACGCGUGUAUGUUUCUAGGAAACUUUAUAUAAACGUACGUGCGUUUCACUCUCAUUUGGAUGUUUUCAGGAAAAUUUACAAAUAUAUAUAUAUAAACGUACGUUUCACUCUCAUUUGGAUGUUUUCACUCUCCUUUGGAUGUUUGAUGUUUCUAGGAAACUUCUCUCUCUCUCAAUAUUCCAGUACAGUAUGUGUGCAAAGUCAAUUUUAGCAUAGAACAUUAUGUAAAAGAUAAGAAACAAAACAUAGAAGGAUUUUAAAGCACCUCACGUUGGAAAACAAAGCGUCACACUGGAAUCUUUGUCUCGCAGGAGAAACAAUUCACAAAUUUGCAUGUUCCAAGCACGCAAACAGGAGAACAAGCCACAAGGUUACUUGGAUAUAUGUAAAGUCUGCCUCCGGGACAUAGUCUAGUGGUACAAAUGAUAGGAGUGAGGUUAUCUCACGCCUUGCUGGCAGUCGCAGUGUGGGGGUUCGAUUCCUGAAACAUGGAAUUGGACUCCUUAUAAGCGCAGUGUACAGGCAAUUCUUGUUCCCUGGCCUGUUGGGGCACAUCCUGCGAUUUACCUCCCUCACAAAGCUCUAGGGACGGGACGGGACGGUGGGGGCCCUCAAGGUUGGGGUUCAACCUUUAUAUAUGCAACGUCUAUAAUCCAGUAGUCUGUCUUCUCUUUAAAGAAAAAAAAAUGCUGCUCAAAUAGGUGUAGCAUAGGUGUGGAGUCAUGACUCAUAAGCCAAAACUAUUGUCAUCUCUUCGUAGUUAAUUAAUUAAAUCUUCUUUUCUUUUCCAUCAUUGCUAGAGAAAUAUAUUUCCAAAAGCAUUAAUUUUGAAUCAUAUCUUAUCUUCCGUCCCUCUAGUUCUCUAUUUGAAGCCAAAGAAAGAAAAUGAUGUCAACUGGUAGAUAGAAAUGGCUAAAAAUUCCCUUCAAACCCAUCUCCGUGGACCCUGCUCUAAAUUGGGUGGGUAUUACCCUCUUAUUCAGCUAUUCAGGUAGGGGAAUUUCGUCCCGAGACGGGUUGGGUAACACCCGCCCCCAUGCCAUUUAAUUUAAUUUAAUUUUUUUUUUAAAAUUCAAUACUUUAAAUGAAAAAUUUUACGAAAUGUCAUUAAUUCUAAUAGAAUAUAACAAUUAAAAUUAUCUAAAGAAUAUGAUAAAUAAUAAAAAUCUUAGUUUAGAAAAUAUAUUCGAAUAAGUUAACUUUUAAAAUAAAUUAAUUAAUUUAAAAUUUUAAUAACUAUAUUAUUAUCUCACUUUAAUGAAUGGGGACAAUAAAAUUAAUUAUCAAAAAUCAAAUAAAAAAAUAAAAAAAGGGUACGUGAACGGGCCAACACCCUAUCCUGCCCUGCCUUUCAUUAUUAUUUUGCAAAUGAAUCCUAAUAAAUUAUUAAAAGGUUAUUUAACACAUAACAUCCCUAACUUUCAUUAUUAUUAUGCAAAAUAUCCCUACCUUUUAUUUUUUAAUAUUUUCACCCUUAUUUUUAUAUUUCAUUGCAAAAAGCAUUAUUUUCAUCUAUUUUUUCAAUUAAAAGCUGUAAAAUAACAAAAAUACCCUCCUAUUUAAAUAAACAAAAAUAAAGAACAAAUUGUAACUAUACUCCCAAAAUUUUCAAAAUAAACUACAAAUAAUUUUCAAAUAAAUAAUUAAAAAACAAAAAUCACUUUUUUAAUUAUUUAUUUGAAAUUGAUUUGUAUUUUUUUUGAAAAUUUUGGAAAUAUAAUUGCAAUUUGUUCUUUAUCUUUCUUUAUUUUUAUUUUUAUUUAGCUUACUUAAAUAAGAGUGUAUAUUUGUUAAUUUACAGCUUUUAAUUGAGAAAAUAGAUGAAAAUAACGAUUUUCGCAAUGAAAUAUGAAAUAAGGGUGAAAAUGUCAAAAAAUGAAAGGUAUAGAUAUUUUGCACAAUAAUAAUGAAAUGUAUGGACUUUUUUUAUUAAUUACCCUUUUAAUAAUUUAUUUAAACUCAUUUGCACUUUUUAAAAAAAGUUUAAGAGUAUAAUUGUAAUAUAUUCUUUAAUUUUUCUUUCUUUUUUAUUGUUUUAUUUAAAUAGGGAGUAUAUUUAUCAUGUUACACGAGAAAUUUGAUGAAAAUGAUGAUUUGCGCAAUAAAAGGUGAAGGUAGGGGUGUGCCAAAAAAAUAAAAGAUAGAGACGUUUUACACAAUAACAUUAAAAGAUAAAGAUGUUUUGUGCUAAUUACCAUUCCUAGAAACAUCCAAAUGAACCAAAGAUGGUUGGUGUUAAAGCACAAAGGGAAAAUUUCAUAUAUUCUAGCGUAAGUAUAGGUGAUUUCAAAACUAAGAUGACAAGUUUGAAUUUGCAAAAAUCAGAAAUAUGGUAGUAACAAUCAAUUAGUUUUCUAAAAAUCAACGUCCAUUUACCUUCAAAAGCCGGAUUCCAUAUAUUAUCCCAUAUGGAGGGAGGGAGGGAGAGAGAGAGAGAGAGAGGGAGAGAGAGAGUUAGUCCCUAAAAUCAAGCAUUCAGAUUCAACUCCCUAAAAUACUGAAUACACAUUAAAUCCCUCAACUACAUAAUUAAUUAAUUAUAUAAUUUAUUAAUUAUAUAUAUUAAGGUCACAUAACUAUGCAAUUUGAUCACAGAUUCUUAAUUUAGUUAGUCACAUAUUAUUUUCUGAUCAUAAAUCAUAAUUUUUAAAUAUCAUAAAUUAUUUUACGGUUACAAUUCAAAAUUUUAUAUGUCACAAUUUAUUCAUCGAUCACAAAUCAAAAAUUAAUACGUCACAAUUUAUGUAUCGGUCACAGAUCACAAGGUCACAACUUAUUAGACGGUCAUAAAUUAAUAUUUUUUAGGUCACAUUGGCCACAAUUUAUCUUCAUCCGUCACAUAUUGUUUAUUGGUCACGGAUUAAUCAAUUCAAUGGUCACAAUCAAACAAAUAAUAUGUGACCACCCCAACCUUUAUGAAAACCACUGCCUCCAAUAGUAUCACUGUCAUCAUUGCCUUCAGAACCACCACGAGCACCGACAGCAACAUCGUCUCCUCCCUGAUGUACUCCUGCCCAAUGCUAGAUCGAAACCUAGAACUUAGCCAACAUCACCAACAACUCACAUCACAGCCAUUACCAUCGCCAACAUCCCGACCACCACAGUCUCACCACCAUCAUGAUUAGCAUUGACGUCAUCGCCACACCACCAUAGCAAACCACCACAAAAAAAAAAAAUCACGAUGAGCAGUAGCACUUUUGGGGAGGAAAAGUCGCGCUGAAACGGCAUUUUUCGAAGAGAGAGAGAGAGAGAGAGACGGGUGGAGAUGAGAGAGGAGAAAUUGGAGAGGAAAAGCUGUGCUGAAACGACAUUUUUCUGAGAGAGAGAGAGAGAGGACGGGUGGAGAGGAGAGAGAGAAAAUUGGAGAGAGAAUAUAAUUAAAUGGAGAUGAUCGGUGGAGAGAAAGGACGGGUAGAGAGAGAAUACAAUUAAUUGGAGAGGAGAGGAAUUGGAGAGAGAAGACGGAUGAGGGGAGAAAUUGAUUUAUAUAAUUAAUAUUUAAAUAUAAAAAAUUUGAUUUUUGAAAUGUUAAAUUACUCAUCUUAUUUUUGAACCCUAGAUUUUAAUUCUAGGGCUUUUUGUAAUUACCACGAGCACAAUUUGGCAAUGUUGUACCGGUUCGACCAAUAAAAUGUGGACUGGCCCAAAACAUUGCAAAUUGGACGUCAUAAAUAGUUCCAAAGCACUAUCACCUGUUGACGCUUUCAUAGGUCGACUUGAAAAUGAUGCACAUGCAAUUAGGAGUGGGCGCGAUCUGAUUUGGUUCGAUUUCCGUGGGCGAGGUCCGAUUUGGCUCGAUUUGAAAGGAAAUCGAACCGAACUAAAUACCAAUGGGAAUUUUAGAAAUGAAACCGAACCGGAACCGAACCAAUCGGUUCCGAUUCGGUCCGAUCUGGUUCUUUACAUUGAAAAUGUCAAAAUAAAAUGUUCACUAAUAAAAACUUUAAAAAUGCUACCAAUGUGAUACUUUUAACAAAAUAUAGAAGAACCAAACAUACUAUUCAAAGAUCUAUUUAGGUAUAGAUUUACAAAGUGAAAACAAAAUAAUAAUCAGGUAAUCAAAGUGAAAACAAAAUAAAAAUUCCGUAUCUUAUAAAUGAAAUUAUAUAUUGUAAAUAUUUAUUUAGAUAUAGAUUUACCCAAUAUGCUAAUUUGGUUUGAAAAUCAAUUAAUCAAGGAAUUAUAAGAAGGGACAAGGAAAAGAGUCUAAAAUUAAGAAGGAACCCAAUUAUUUUUUAUAAAGGUGUUGGAGAUUGAAUCAUAUAUUUUACCAAAAAAAAAGAGGAAAAAAUCCAAUGAGAACCGUCUGGUCCCCGCAGUUCCCGUACUAGAAUCGGGAACCAAAUCGGAACCGAUCGAUUCUUAAAAAUUUGUCUCGAAAUCAAAUUUUUUUAGAAGAUCCAAAACCGAAUGGGCCAGUUCUAAAUGGUUCUGGUCCGGUUCCACCAGUUCUGGGAAAAAGCGUCCACUCCUAUAUGCAAUGUCAAUAAUCCAGUAUCCAAAAAGAUGCCGUCAAUUUUGAUUGAAAAUGGUAAAAAUUCAAAAUCAGAGUAAUUUUGGACUGAAGAUAUGGAUUAAAGAGAGCUUGAGAUAUGUGGAAGACUAUUUCAAGGUGUGGAGUCAUAAGCCAAAACUAUUGAUGGUCGUCUCUUCAUAGUUAAUUAAAUCUUCUUUUGUUUUCCAUCAUUACUAAAGAAAUAUGUUUCCAAUAGCAUUCAUUUUGAAACAUAUCUUAUCUUCCGUCUCUCUAAUUCUCUAUAUGAAGCCAAAGAGUAGGGAUAGCAAAAAACUCCCUUUAAACUUGAUAUCCGCAGGCCCCGUCCCAAACUAGGUGGGUAUUACCCACUUAAUCAACUAUUCAAGUUGGGUUCGGGUCGGGAAAUUUUGCCCCGAGGCUGGUACGGUUAACACGCACCUCCGUCCAACUUAUUUAUUUAUUUAAGAAUUCAAUACUUUAAAUCAAAAAUCUCGCGAAAUUUCAUUAAUUCUACUAAAAGACGACAAUUAAGAUUAUUUAAGGAAUACGAAAACAAUAAGAACCUUAAUUUAUCAAAUAUAUUCUAAUAAUUUAACUAUUAAAAUAAAUAAAUUAAUUAAAAAUUUAAUAACUAUAUUAUUAUCUCACUUUAAUGAAUGGAGACAAUGAAAUGAAUUAUCAAAAACUAAAUAAAUAUAAAUAAAAAAAAGUACGUAAACGAGACCAGUCCCGCCUCGCCUUAAACAAGUAACGGGGCGAGAAAUUACCCAGCGGGGCGGGGUCAUUGCCAUUCCUACUAGUAGAAUAGUUUCUCUUGCAGGCACAGAAAACUAGUAAUAUUAUCAACGUCAGAUUUUUUUCCUCCUUCAAAAUUUCCUUAUGUUCUCAUUUUUUAGUAAAAUAACAAACUAAAAUGCCAUAAAAAUAUUUAAUCGACUCAAUUAUUAACUCUUUUCUUUAUUUUUUUAUCUCAUUUAUAUUAAUAUUAGAAGUGGAUCGAAUAAGAUUUAAUUGUAAUCAAGUUUAUUAAUUAAUUUUUAUUUCUAUAUAUAAGUCAUUUUGAAAAAAUAACAUAUUUUGUCAAAAAAUACACACACACACACACACACACAUAUAUGUUAUUAAAGAUUCGACUUCGAUUUAAUCUUUCAAUCCUUGACCCUUUAACUUUUUCGGAUAUAUGGCUAGGUAUUUUUUCACAAUAUUGGAUAUUGUAAUUUUUUUUUCCAUAAUCACCAAUAUUGUCCAACCAACACAUAAUGAAUGUUGAUUCGUUGAUGCAAAGAUGCCAUUGAAUGAAAAAAAUGGGGUGGAUAGUAUGUUCUUCCAAUAAACACGGUAUUAUACAAUUCAAAGAUUCUCAUUCACCUGAUAUGAAGUCAAGCACAUGUGGCCAACUUUUUGAACUUAUAUUGGUAAAUGAACAAUCAUGCUACUUGUACAGUGAAUUUGACAAUGUGUGAGUUGACAAGCAUCAUAUUCAUUGAUUUGAAAAAUUGUUUCUGAAUUCAAUUGUUGGGAUCUUUACACUUUACAAAUUUUCAAACUCAUUGUACAAAUAGAUUAAUUCUUAUACGAAUGACUGCGUGGAAAUAAAACGAAAGGAAGAAACCAAGAGAAGUACCUUCAUUUUCUUGAGCAAAUCAUAACCAGCAUUCCUUUCACACGAAAAUUUGUAGAGGAGUGCUUCAAAACCAGGGAUUAAAUCCUGGGUUUCAAUUCUAGGCCGAGGUGGACAUCCGCUCUUGAUCAUCAAUCACGCAAGGCUCGCACAGUUUCGCAUUGGGGGCCAAGGAAACCCGGGAUUUUAUCCCUGUUUGAGCAGCAAUUUCCUAAUUUGUAAUACAAGAUUUCAGAUUUGUAACGAAUUUAAUUGAAUGAUGAUGAUUUGUCAGUAAAUAAUGUAAUUAAAAUUGUAUAUUAAAGGAAGAAAAUUAUAUAAGUAAUCAAACUAAAAUUAUAAAAUAAUGUUUUAUAUUGGUUAUGUUAUAAAUAAUUUAAAUUAUAAAACGAUUUAUUGAGCAAUAGAUGAAAAAUAAAAGAAGUAAUAAAGAAUAAUUUUUUUGUCAACAAUAAACUACCAAAGUAACGUCAAUGAUUGCCAGAGACAUCAUGAUCAAUAACUGCUUACCGAAGUGGGUUGGUGAAUUAGGAAUCACUUACGGUAUUGAUGAUAUUUUAUCUCGAAUUCUGCCGGAUACCGUAAGUGAUCAUUAAUAUUUGACAAACUAAAUUUUUUUAUGAUAGUUUCGUCAAUAAAUAAAGUAGUUAAAAUUUAAUAUUAACAAAUAAAUAUUAUGUUGUUAAUACAAUUAAAACUUGAAAAUAACAUAAAAUUAAAAAACCAAAGAUUUCUUAAGUUACUUCAAAAUAAUAAAAGAUGUAAAAAGAUGCUUCCCUACAGCAUAAUUAAUGACCAAAGCACUGUCGAUGAUUGUCACUUACAUAAUUAUCAUCGAUAAAUGUGGACGGAGAUAGAGAUGUGCCGACAAUCAUCGAUGGAAUCGUCGUCAAAAGUUCCAUCCACAUUAUGUAACGAAGUUUUCGUUGAUGAUUGUAUGUUCCUUUAAUUUUAUUAUUAUCAUCAUGGUAAUUAUAUGUCUUUUCUUUUUUCGAAUUAUUGAAGUAGUAGAUUUGUUAUUGGGUGCUUUUAAACUUCAGUUAGCUUUUUCUGUAAAAUGCCAUAUAGUGGAUGUUAUGUUAUCUGCUUGAAUUUGUAAUAAUCACAUUUGGUUUCCUUAAAGGUGAUGAAGCUGAAGUAAUUUCCCAACGACCAUUUAAUGGUAUAUUACAUUAAAUUCCAUUAUUACGAUAUCUGGUAAAUCUGUUUAUUUUCCAUUCUUUUCCCAUUAAAAUGAAAAAUAUGAUUAUUAUCCGUCACAUCGAGCCACUUGUGUAGAGUCCAUAACAACUAUAUUUUUCAUUCUCAUUCUUACAAAAAUGAGAAACAAAAUGGGCUAGAUGUCUGUUUUACAUUGAAGUCCAGGAUUGGAUAUGAGAACACCCCCUCCCCCCCCCUCAACUAAUCAGACGCAAGCCCCUCCUCGGGCGGAUUCCUCCUUUUGCUCCUCAGCCUACGGGGUAUUAGCAGCCGUUACAAAAACAAAAACAAAAAAACUGUUACAAAUGAAGUGGAUGUUGAGAAUUAAAAAUUCUUAUUUUAUUCUACCAAGAGCAGUCAAUUGAAGAAAUAAAAAUAAACACUCAAAAGCAAGCAAAAUUUAUAGAGUUUCGCCUCAACGUGAAACUACGUCUUCUUCUGUCGGUACAGUAACCCACUAUGAUGAAAAGAAGGUUUACAAAAGCACUCUCUCUCUCUCUCUCUCUCUCUCUCUCUCUCUCUCUAUAAUAAUUAUAAAGUCGAACCACGGCCCCCUAUUUAUAAAGCAUAUAAAGGCAAAAUCGAAUUUUACAUUAACUCCAAUUCCUUAAUAAAAUUUUACAAGAAUACAAAUAUCUAAACAAUUCUUAGAUUAAAUUUUGGUUAGGGUAUCUCCACCCCCCACCCUCGGGGCCUCCUGCUCCCUUCCAACUCCCACGGCAACCUCACCACAGAGAUUGAUCAAUGCCAACUUCGUGAAAUAACAAUAAUUAUAAUCGAUAAUAAUUAAACUCCCUAACUUAACAGUGAAUGAUCACUCGAAUUCGGCAAGUGAUGUGGUAAUGGUACAUGCAAGUACACUUCUACAACGAAUUUUGGUGGUGAUAUGCAAGCGGAGGUAUGUCUUUAGAUGAAUUAUAAGAAACGGAUCGAAUAUUCGAAUUUUUGUGUUGCAUUGUCUUAUUCAUUAAAGCAUGUAUUUAUAGACCAAAAAAGCAAAGCGAAUUCCAUUUCAUAUUUGAUUAACUCAAUAGGUAAUGAAAUUCAUUAAUUUGAUUUUCAAAAUUAGUCCUUUGUUUAGACAAGUUGAUUCAUAAAGUAACGUGUGUCAAGUACUUCUAUCAUGUGUUCAUACAUGGACCAUUGAAGGGGCGAACAAGGCAGUGGAAUGAGAGGGACCACCAUAAUAGAGGAGAGUUUGAUUUCAUAAUUUGAAAAAAAGGGGCCGAAGUAUAAAAAAAGGUGGGCAUGAGUAAAAAUGCUUAAACGAGAAACUUAGCCUCAACUGCUUUAUAUACUACAAAAAGAUGUUACAGUUUAAAUAACAAGCUUUACAAACUACGAUAACGAGUAAAAAGUCUAUGUACCAUUUGUGCAACACGAGUAAAACACAUUGAUAUAUCAAUAUCCAAUUGUACGAACAGCGAAAGCUAGAACAGAGUUUGGGUUAUCUACUCUAGCUUUCAUUUGGCAAUGGAUCCUUUUUGCCACACAUUGCCAAGAAAAACUUAGAGACCGACCCAGUGUGAGCGAACAUUGGAGUUGUGCAUAGAAGACGCACUUGGAGAUGUCACACGCCAUUCGUAUCAAACCAGUGAUAAUUAAAUUAAAUGCAAUUAAUAUCGGGUUAGACAUAAAGAGUUAAGUAAUUCCCAACCUAUAUUCUCUGUAUCUUGCCCAGUGUUUUUAUGCAUGUCCUAGGACUAAAAGGACAUUUCAAAAUUAGAUGGAUUAAACCCACCAACCUAAAACAAAUUCUAAUUCACUUCUUGCCCAUAGAGAAUAAUAAUAAUCAUUUUCAGCAGCAAGUAUAUAAAUUGCCCGUAUAUCCAUUACUUAAGGCUACGCAACAUAAAAAUUUAUUUAGAUAAUUAGGAUAUAAUUUAAAUUAAACAUUGCAAACACAUUGGGACAGAUAUUAUUUAUCUUAGGAUUCCAAAGUGGAGAUGAUCAUCUGAGAAGUUAAUAGCACCAACUCUACUUUAUUAUACGUCUCUUAGUGCAACGCAUGACCGAGAAUUCUACAAGUGCAAGAUUCAAUUUAAUUUGAGCUUUUAUCUCAUUUCAAUCGCUUUAACAUUUUCAACACUACAUAAUCAAGAAUCGAUGGACCUCCAAAUGAGUAUUCCGUGUCACGCUAACUGGCGUACUCAAUAGGAAAAAUAUUGGAAACCUGCAGAAAUCGAAGCCAACCAAAAGAGAACAAUCAUCUCAUGGAUAAUAUAUUCACUCCAAUGUACAAUUUCUUUCAUGGUGCAUUUUAUGCUUUCAUAGAACUUUUUCGAUUGAAUUUUCAAUUUUUCUUUAUUGUGCGGUUGGGGGAGAGUAGGAGGGUGUCUUAUAUUUUAGUGGCUUUAAAUAGAAUCUUUACUAAUGAAUAUGGGAUCAACGCAUACCAAAACCAACUGUACCUAUAGAUACGAUAAUAGGCAGAAAUAUUUGUCCAUAAUUUUGCAUGAUUAGCAUUCAUCAUAUAGCAUUACCUUAGAUUUUUGGAAAUAUUCAUGAAAGAAAAUAUUUGGUGUUGCUGUAGAUAGUUCAAUAAACCAUUUGACACAAACACCAACUAAAAGAAUAUCUCAAUGGUCGCCAUCUGCUACAUGAUGUCAUUGGAAGUAUAUUUUCUUGAUUAACAAAAUCAACAAUUUACGCUUUAACCUCUCUACAUUCCAGGAUAUGUUGUUCUUGUCCAUUAUGUCAUCUUUUCCAACACCGAUUUGACUGCAUGAUUGCCAACCAUGGCCUUGGCUUGGAAAAUGAAACACUUUGUCAACAAAUAUGAAUACGACGCAACUGAUAAAGCAAUUGAUAUUAGCCUUCUUCAUCACUAUGGGCAAAGCUUGCAUUGAGCCCAUAAUUGGCUAUAAUUAUCAUAUGGUGACUGAUAAGUGUGUUUUUGCACCCUCAUUUAAUGCCUAAAUAAAUUUAAAUAUUGAUUAAUUGAGCAAAUUUUCAUUCACAAUUAUGUAAUUAUUGCAUUUGUAAGUAAAAAUCACCCAAGGUAAUAGAAGAGGUAAAAGGAAGUGAGAAGGGACCAAAAGCGUACAAAAUUGUGAAGUUGGGGUCCAAAAUGCAUAAGUGCCAAAAGUUCAAGGACUUGGGAUUGCAAAUUUUGGAGGGCGUAAUUGAAAGAAAAGUCAAAAUUUGAGGACCAAAUUGUCCAGUCCAAAGUUGAGGGAUAGUGUGCAAAUAUGGGAGGACCUGAACUACAAAUAAUGAAAAAUGGGAAGUAAUGCCACUGGCACCACUAUAGCAGCACCGCGGCAACGAACAGGACCUAUUUGGCUAUAUUUUUGUAAUUGGGGACCAUUUUGCAAUUAACCUAACAUGAUUUUUGGGCCUUUUAAAAGGAAAAUUCAACAAUGUUUCCCCUAUUUCUCUCUUGAACUUGAAGAGAACCCUAGCCUCCUCUUUCUCUUUCACUUUCCUUUUCAGUUUUUCUUUCUUUUUCUUUUCUUCUUCUUCUUAUCUUUUCUUUGGUAAUUUUUGGGGCACAAUCUAGAGCACAAGGAGAUUUGAUUAAGGAUUUGACAAAAGCUUUGGGGAAAUCAAGAGCAAGCUCAAAAAAGGGUUUUAUCUACAACUUGUAUUUUCUCAAUUAUUUUGUCAAACUUGCAAUGUAUUGUACAAAAUAUUCUCCUUUUUAUCAUUUGUAUGAAAUGGGCAAGUUAUUUGUGUUGGGAUUUAUUGUUGUAGUUUAAUCUAGCCUUGAUUAAUUUUAAUAUUUGCCCUUUGAUAUUGAUUUGCUUAUUUUCAUGUGUUUUUCUUCUAUUGUAUUUCAUGCAUUUUCAUUUAUGUGGUCAAUGUAUGAUUGUGUUUAGUGAAUUUUAUAUCGUUCAAGAGAAGAUUGUGCAUUUUAGACCAAAUAGUAGAAACCCUGAGUUUGUGUAGGGGAUAGAGAUAUACCCCUAACCCUAGGUGACCCAAUGAGCUAUUUUUACAAACAUUUAAUGCAAUUGUUUAGUUUUAAUCUAUAUAGAGAUAUAAUAGGGUUAAUUUCGUUCAAGAGAAGUAAUUAAUUAAAAUUAAAACAUCGCUCUAACAUCGUAAAUGAGUAACUUUUUAAUUGACUUGUGGUGAAAUUAAUUAGGCGACGGUUAAAUGAAACCAUGAAUCUCAACUACGUUUUCUUCCAAGAUUUUCAAGAUUUUUAUGUUUUUUUAUUUUGUAGGUUUUUAGUUAAUUUCCUUAUUUCAAAAUCAUAUUUUUAAUUAUGUAUGUUUAUUUUUAUUGUUAGAAUUAAAUUAUUAAUUACGGUUGUGUAAUCUAAAGUAUAUAUUCCUCAAGGAUCAACAAUCCGGACUCAAAAUGUCCACUUUAUUACUUGAACGCGACUCGUGUACUUGUGAUGUAUAAUUUUAGCGAAAUAGUAACAAGUAAUCAAAAGUACAAGGAUGUUACAAGUAAAGCCUGACAAUAAUACCAUAAUCAAGGAAUGGAAAGUCUUUCCAAUUGAAACUAACGUUCAGCUUGAGCCACCAUAGCUUUGCAAUCCUAAAACAGACAUAAAUUUAGAUAAUAGUAGUUCUUAUUAUAUUAAUUCAUCAGCUAACAAAUAAAUCAGUCCUUCCUCUAGAUUACUAGUUGAGUGUGAAGGGGCAAAGCAAAUCGAAAAUAAAUUACUUUACAUAAUAAUUAUACAAAAUGGCUAAUUUUGGGCAAAAGGUGGAAAAAUACUAGGCAACCCUUCCAUUUCUGAUGAAACAGAUAUACCAUAACAGAAUAAUUGACAUUCCUUCCCCUUUCAUCAUCCAACUAAACUUUCUUUAAGAAAAAAAAUCUCGAAGUUAAAAAUCCACGAGUAACAGAAUUUUUUUCUGUGGUUUUUUCUCCUCUUUGCCCAUUGUUUUUACCUUCUUGGAUUUUCACGUAAAUUUUGUGCUCUUGUUAUCAUUUUAUAUUGUCGAUUCUUGCUUUUUCUUAAUAUGUAAUUUGAAAAAAAUAAUAAUAAUAAAAUAAAAUUAGGCUUGUAAAAUAGGUAGUCCGGGUAAAGUUAGCAGUGAACAAAUAUAAUAUGAAUGUGAAAAACCAAGUGACAUCAAGCCAAAAAGCAGCUGGAUGAACUAUGUAUAUGUAUUAUUAUUAUGAUUAUGGUUAGUAGAUCUAUAGCAUGCUACAAAUACCUAGAUAUACAAUUACUAAAUUCCCAGGUAAACCCAAUUUAUUUUCACUUGAAUUCAACUAUACAGUGAAUUAUUCAUUGUCAACAACUUCUACAGCAUUAUAGAAAAAAUGAGAUAUCUAGGAACUAGGUAUUUUAUCAAUAAAAAUAGGGAAGGUGGCUCAAGGGAGUGACAAAAUUAUUAAUAAGAUGAGGCAAAUUAAAGAAACAAACAAAUGUAGGAAGUUGAAAUCUACUUAAGAAACAAAAAGUACUUCCCUAUCAGUCGGAAGGGACAACAUGAUAGAUACCAAAACAAGGCAAUUGCUAAGAGAUUCAAAGAUUACAUAAUUAUAAGCGAGAAAAAAAUAAAUAUUGAUGAUUUAUUGUGGUUGAUAAUGGGGGUUGGCUAACAAACCUUACGUAGAAACUAUACCAUUCGCGGUCAAACCAUGAUCCCUGAAUUUGAAACGGGCAUAUAACGAUUUGCAAAAGAGAUAAUGGUGUUGGAUUCCCGGUGGAUAAUGCACAUGUAGACUCUGAUUUCCUGCGCACUAGGAUUGAACAUAGAGGAAAUCAUUGAAAAUGACCCAAUAACCCUUGUGUAUUUCCAAAGUAACAUUUGACUAGUUUUUAGAGAAAAAAAACGAAAAUUGAUUUUAAAGGUCAAAAUCCCAAAAUACCCUCAGACGGUCACUUUCCCAUUUGCUUAGAGUCGGCAAAAACCAAGGAAAAGCUACGGUCAAUUUUCAAUCGAUAGGCGUUUUCAGUUCAUCUCUGGCGACCUUCUUCUUGUUAAAGUAAGCUUCGAGUUGUUAAUUAACUAGAUUAAUGUUUAGAUUUUCAUAUUGUAUGUGAAUGUUGAAUUUGUGAAGGUUUUUGGAAUAUAAUAUUGGUUAUGUAGGUGUAGAAUUAUGAAUAUGUGUCUAAAUUGGAGAAUAAUAGGUGGAUUUUGAGAUUUGCAAACUUUUCUUGUUGGAAAUGGAGAUUUUUCGACAAGAAAAGCCGAAAAAAAUGCCGGCUGCGUUUGUAGCCGGCAUUUUUGGUAAAACCCAACUGCGUUUGCAACUUGCAUUUUGGGGAAAACCCGGCUGUUAACAGUCGGGUGCCCGACCGUUAACAGCCAGUUGGCCCAAUUGUCAUGGGGACUGUUUUUAUUUUUCAUGGGCUGACUAACAAGUGGGCUGACUAUAACAAUUUUUUUUUAUUUGGGCUAAUUAAUAGUCGUCCCAUUAUUUGGGCUGACUGUUUAGUCAGCCCAUUGACUGUUAAGCAGGUCGAACAGUCAGCCCAUUGACUGUUAAGCAGGCCGAAUGUUAUGGUCAAGCCGAUGCCUUUAUUUUUUUUAUUAUUUUUUUCUUACAUAUAUUUAAGAAUUUCAUUUUAAAUAAUUUUAAUUAUUAGUUUUUAAUAAAUAAUAAUUUAUUUAUUUGUAAAAUUUAAAUGUGAUAUUUAAUUUGAAUAUUUAUUUUUAUUUCCUCAUUUUUGAUAAAUAAUAAUUUUUCAUUCUCGAAUAUAAUUAAUUUUUAUAAUUUUAAUAUUUAAUAAUUCUUUUAAUUUUAAAUUUAAAUUUCAUAUUUAGUUUUAUUAAUAGUUUUUAUAAAUAAUAUUCUUUUCGUUAAUCGAAUUUCAUUAAUUCUUGUCAUUGUAAUUUUGAAUAAUUAUUUAAUUUUAAAUUUCGUUUUUAUUUUUAUUAAUAGUUUUUUAUAAAUAAUAUUCUUUUCGUUAAUCGAAUUUCAUUAAUUCUUGUCAUUGUAAUUUUGAAUAAUUAUUUAAUUUUAAAUUUCGUUUUUAUUUUUAUUAAUAGUUUUUUAUAAAUAAUAUUCUUUUCGUUAAUUGAAUUUCAUUAAUUCUUGCCAUUGUAAUUUUGAAUAAUUAUUUAAUUUUUAAAUUUCAUAUUUAUUUUUAUUAAUUGGGUUGAUUGUUAAUUUUGACUGACUGUUAACAGUCUUAGGCCGACUGUUAACAGUCAGACUAUUAACAGUUUAAUUUUUUUUAAAAAUAUAUAUAUAUAUAUUUAAUUUUUUAAUUUUUUUAAAUAUAUUUUAUAAUUAAUUUAUUAAUAAUUAUGUUAUUUAUUUAUUUAUUUUUUUAAUUGUCUUUUAUUUAUAUAAUUUAAUAAUUGAAUAUUAUCUAAAAGUAACAAUUUAUUUUCCAUGUUAUUUAUUUAAUUUAAAUUUUUUUUGUAAAUAUAUUUUCCAAGUGUAAUAUACAAGAUUAAUUUUCUUUUUAAUUUUCAUUUGAUUAAAUAAUAAUUAUGUUAUUUAUUUAUUUAAUUUUUUAAAAUUUAUUUAAAUAAUAUUUAUAUUCUUUAAAUUUUUUUGAAAAUAUAUUUAAUCUUUAAUUUUUAACUUUUUUGUAUUAUUUAAAUAUUAAUAAUUUCCUUUUGCUGAAAAUCUCAUUAAUUUGUAUUUUAAUUUAAUUAAUUAUUUUUAACAUUUGUAUUGAAUUUAUUUUGUUAUUGGCGUCAAGAAUUCGGUUCUCAUUGAUUUUUUGAGAUUAUGCGUUAUUAUAUUAUCUCUUGUUCAAUGUUCUAGCAUUUGAAUUUUUGCAGGAUGGAGUAUCAUUUAGAUGGAGAGUUGAGACGGAUGGCGGGGAAAGCUACUUGGAACAGUAGCUUUGAGAUUUUUACUACUGUGUUGGAGAUGCUCAAUGAUCAUCACGAAAAUAUGCUAUGACAGUCCUUCUUGUGAGCACUGUACUAGAUGCAAGAGUUGCAAUACUCAGGACUAAUCAUCGAUGCACUUCUAUGUCGGCUUCUGAGGCCAGUCGAUGGCGAUUCCCUCCACUUCGACCUCGGAGGCAAGGUCGUCAGUUUCUCGAUGUAUGAGUUUAGCUUGAUCACUGGACUGAAGAUUACGGGCGACAAUGCAGCCAUUAAGAGAAGCAAUAGGUUGUACGAGACGUACUUCCAGGGACAUGGGUCGGUGCAUCUACCCGAGUUGAUGGUUGCGAUCAGGGGGUACGACCAGAUGCUAGAUAGAUUGAAAUUUGGGUUGGUCUACAUCCUCGAGAAUGUGAUGAGGUGUCAUCACAAGAAGACUGCCAUCGACAUUUUUUCAUUUGCAAGUUGUUGACGACAUCGAUGCGUUCAACAACUAUCUAUAGGGCCGGAGAUACUACGAAGACACCGUACAUGUGCAUGUGUUUAUUAAAUGAAUAAAUCAUACUUUUUUGGUGUUUCUUGAUGCAGUACAUCGGCCUGGCCAUGGACUUGCUACGAGAUCGAGCUCAAAGACAUCCAAAAUUAUUUGACGUCCAUGGUCGAGUCAUAUUAAACACCGAGUUCCUACGUGUCGUUACCAUAGAGUAUCAGUCGCUCCAACUUAUGAGUAACGAGUACACGGUGCUAGAAUCUAUGCUUGAGUGGGUCAUAUGAAUGUCGCCGAGUGUCGGGAGAAAAUCAUGGGAGGGUUGUACACAUAUGUACAUUCCAGCGUGCAUCAAUAAUCACUAUGUUACGUUGGAGAUCGUUUUUGCUGACACGACUAUAUAUGUGUACGACGCAGAUCAUUCAUGUUUGACACAAGGCCAGCUGGAGCAAAACCUAGAGUCCGUAGUUGUAAUUGUUACUAUGAUGGCCAGACGAGCGGGGAUGAUUGUACAGGACAGAUUGCGGAUUGUUCGGAGCACGACAACGGUGUGACAGUCCAUAAGGUAAGUGUUUGAACUUUGUUAUUUUCAUCUUUUAGAUUUAGUUUUUAGCUACACAGUACUGAAUUGAUCCAUUCUUGUUCAAUUGUAGCGGCGACUGCGGCAUAUUUCUCAUUAAGUACGUUGAAUUUUUAAGUAUAGGAUAUAAGGUUGAUGGAAUCAACCAAUCGUGGAUACAGAACUGGAGAAAGAAGCUAGCUUGUGAUUUGUUUGAAUUUAAUGGUGACCCGUAAAUUUGUAUUAAAUAUAUGUAACAUUCAAAUUGUAAAUUUAAUUAUUUUUUGUGAUUAUGAAAUAAUUGUAAAUUUGUGUUCAAUAUAUAUAACAUUCACAUUGAAAAUUUAAUUAUUUUUUUGUAAGUUGAUUUUUUGUUAUUUUACACAUAUGCCGAGUGUGGAACUACUUUUUUCAUAUGAAUCAUUAUAAAUACUUGAGAGCUCAGGGGGUGGAACAAGUGGACCGUCCUCCAAUUCUUCAUGUGUGGCUCCCGAUGAUGAGAAUUUGAAUGUCAAGCAACUAUUUGAAACCAAGAAAGAUUUGUAGGAAGCUGUGCACCGGAUAGCAUUAAAAUAUAACUUUGAAUUCAAGGUAAAGAAAUGAACCAAGUCAUUGUUGACACUUGCCUGCGUUGACGACAAUUGCAAUUGGCGCUUGAGAGCGACUAAAAUGGACACGAAUGAGUGCUUUGUAGUUCGUAAAUAUGCACGAAAACAUACUUGUAAAGUGGGAAUUUGUCGAAAUGAUCACAGGCAAGCUCGAGCAUGGUUUAAUGGUCGACAGAUAAUGCACAAGUAUCAGAACCCACGGACGAUCUAUAGACCUUCGGAUAUCAUUAACGACGUUCGUUGAGAGUAUGGAGUGGUCAUGAGCUACCAGAAAAUCUGGAUGGCCAAAAAAUGUGCGUUGGAGGAUUAAAUGGGAUCGGCUGAGGAGAGCUAUACUAAAUUGGCCAGGUAUUGCCAUAACAUGGGGACAACUAAUUCUGGCACGGCAUUUUUUAUUGAGACGGGGGGCGAUAAUUGUUUUAAAUAUUUCUUCAUGGCUCUCGGACAAUGUAUUUGGGGUUUUUGAAAUGCAAUGUGACCCGUAAUUCUAGUUGAUGGUACAACUCUGAAAGCUAAAUAUCAAGGCAAAUUAAUUAUUGCUACAUGACAAGACGCCAACAUCCAAAUUUACCCUAUUGCAUUCGACAUAGUCACAUCGAGAAUGAUCUCUCCAUGCGUUGGCUCUUUUCUAAACUGAGGUAAGUGAUCGGGGAAGUCGAAAACCUUGCCUUUGUAACCGAUUGGGGACAAUCUAUAAUAAACAGUAUCGCUAAAGUUUUUCCUGAGGCACAUCACGGGUAUUGCAUGUACCAUAUAUAAGGUAAUUUGAAGACUAGGUAUCGGGGCAAAGGCAUCGUUUCAUUGUUCAGAAGAGCAGCCAAAGCUUACAGUGCUGAAAAGUGUAAUAAGUUCAUGUUCGGAUAGGAAGUAAAUCAUUACCGACGUUGGAGUAUCUGACGAACAAGGAGAUCGAACAUUGGGUACGGUCAUACUUUUCAGGACAUCGAUACAACAUGAUGACGUCGAAUAACGCGGAGUCUCUCAAUGCAUUGUUUAAGAAGGAUCGAGAGUUAUCAAUCCUCGUAAUAAUUGAGAAUAUUUGUAAUAAGCUGCAACAGCGGUUUCAUGACCAACGUGCGGCAUCACAGAGUUGCACUAGCGUGUUGGCCCCAGCUCAAGAGGAUAAACUCUUUAAGGCGGCAGAUGUUGGGAGGAAGUUGAAUGUGGAAGCACUAGAUGAGUUCCACUUCUCCGUGCAAUGUGCACGUAAUACGGCAUAUAUGGUGGACUUGACUUAUAACACAUGCACUUGUACGAGAUUUCAGUUGGAGAGUUUUCCAUGUGAGCAUGUAGUUGCGGUGGCCAUGUAUCGAGGCUUUACAGCGAGAACGUUAUGCUCUUUGUAUUAUACGACUAAGUCUUGGAGAAUAGUAUAUGCUGAUACUAUAUUUCCUCUGCCGAAUGAAGCCGAGUGGGAAGUUCCCGAGCACAUUCUCCUGUUUCAUAAUUUGUUGCCACUAACAGUUGAACCGCGUGGUCCUGGACGUCCAAGUAUAUCUAAAAUACUAUCUACCAGAGAGUUUCCUUGACCGCGUAGGUGUGGUAGGUGCAGAGCCAUAAGGCAUACUCGACAAUUUUGUACUAGUCAAAUUUCCCUAAAUGACAAUUAAACAGGUACGUUAAAUGAAUAAUAUUUCUGUUUACUUUACACUGUUCAAUAUUUGUUUUUCAUAAAUGUUCAAUGUUUAGUAUUUAUUCUUGAUAAAUGGUAUUUAUAAUGAUUCAUAUGAAAAAAAUAGUUCUAUACUUGGCAUAUGUGUAAAAUAACAAAAAAUCAACUUACAAAAAAAUAAUUAAAUUUUCAAUGUAAAUGUUAUAUAUAUUGAACACAAAUUUACAAUUAUUUCAUAAUCACAAAAAAUAAUUAAAUUUACAAUUCGAAUGUUACAUAUAUUUAAUACAAAUUUAUGGGUCACCAUUAAAUUCGAACAAAUCACAAGCUAGCUUUUUCUCUAGUUUUGUAUCCACUAUUGGUUGAUUCCAUCAACAUUACGUCCUAUACUUAAAAAUUCAACGUACUUAAUGGCAAAUAUGCCGCAGUCAUCGCUGCAAUUGAAUAAGAAUGGAUCAGUUCAGUACUGUGUAGCUAAAAACUAAAUCUGAAAGAUGAAAACAAUAAAGUUCAAACACUUACCUUAUGGACUGUCGCACUGUUGUCGUGUUCUGAACAAUCCGCAAUCUGUCCUGUACAGUUAUCCCCACACUUGAGCAUAUAUUCUGCCACCGUGUACUCGUUAUUCAUAAGUUGGAGCAACUGAUACUCUAUGGUAACGGCACGCAGGAACUCGGUGUUUAAUAUGACUCGACCAUGGACGUCAAAUGAUUCUGGAUGUCUUUGAACUCGAUCUCGCAGCAAGUCCAUGGCCAAAUCGAUGUACUGCAUCAGGAAACACCAAAAAAGUAUGAGUUAUUCAUUUAAUAAACACAAAGUGACAUAUACAUAAAAAACACAAAAUGAAUAGUUCACUUACAUCGUUGGCAAGUCAAGCUCCUGAAGUGGUGACAUCGUGGAACCACUUGUUAGCGUCCGAGACCGUUGUUUGACCUAUCGUGCAGCUAACUCUGAAAAAAUAGGGAAAUGUUAAAAUAUGCAUAGACGAGUUAGCGUAUAGUGCUUUGUUAAAAUCAUACAAUACUUACUUUGGGAUAAUUCUCCUCCACUCCAUCUCGAACGCUUUCCACUUGGCGUUGUCCACCUCUCUGAAUAAGUUCAGAUGCGUCCCAUCGAUGAACGUCCCCCUCUUGGCCUCAGCCGUGAAGGGAAAAACAACAUACUGUGAUGACACUCUCAACCUCUUGCCGACCACCUGCUCCAUUUCAUCAACAGCAUGUCUCUUACCCUCAAUCACGAUGGGCGUCCUCUCGACCUCCGGGGCCAUCUCCUCCGCCCCUCCCAUCGGGGCCACUCCCUCUGUCGUCCCCUCUCCUAUCCUCGUCGGGGCCACCUCCUCUCCCUCCAUAGGCAACCACAAUGAUUCUAAUGUCUCAUCACGUCAAAAAUGUGGGUGACCCCCUCUCCAUCACCAUCUCUGCCACCCUCUCGAUCAUCAUCUCCACCAUCCCCUCUGUCCCCCCAUUGCCUACCGGCUAAAUCUCCUCUAAGUGUCGCUACCGUAUCCUGAAGAUCGACAACGCAAGACCGUAGCAUUCCAACAUCAUGGGAUAGAUCUUCAACCCUCUUUGUCAACUCUCGUCCCAUAUCAUCGACCUUUCCUAUCAGAUAGUCGACCUUCCCAGUCAGAUCGUCGACCCUCCUUGUCAACUCUCGUCCCAGAUCAUCAACCCUCUCCGUCAACUCUCGUCGUAGCGCACUAACCUCCUCCACUAUAAAUCCAGUCAAACGGGCAUACAAAUCAUCACUGUGUGUCAGAGAUACACGGGGGAGGUGUCUGGACUAGGGAGAAGGAGAUACCCUCGGCGGUGGUGAUGCUAAUGGCGGCAGCGAUGCCCUUGAUGGAGGUGAUGCCAAUGGUGACGACGAUGCUCUCGGCGGAGGUGAUGCCAAUGGUGGCGGCGAUACCCUCGGCGGAGGUGAUCGUCGAUCAACUGGACCACCAUCCUACAUAAAUAACAUUAAAAAUUAUUCAAUAAAUUUAUACGUCGACGAUAUUCAAUAAAUUAUAUUUAAUUCAUAUACCCAAUCUUGGUCCAGGCUCGGAUCAGACAUCUCCUCGUCUUGGGUCUGCGGAACGCCUAAAUCUCGCACAAGACCCCAAGCCUCCUCUUCCAUCGACGGCGUCAACUCAAGUAUGACUUCAAGCUGACAUAUGAACAUUUCAACUAAUUAACGAUCAUGUAAACAUAUUUUAAAUUACGUAUAAUAUAAAUCACAAAUGCAUAAUACUUACCUUAGGAUCGUCGAUGAGAGCCGAUAAUUAUUUCCCAGUGGGACAUUCGUCCGCUCACGAUGAUCUCCAAUGAUGCAUCUAAGGGCAUCAUGUCUCCCCUCACUUAUGCGUAAAUAUAAUAUACUAAAACUUUAACUUUAAUUAUAUUAAACAUUUAUCUGCACCGCUAUGGGCAAUCCAUAUGUAUCGUAUUUACACAUUGACCCCCUGGGCCUCGAAUGUGAUUUGGUGAAAACAUUUACGGUGUCUUUGCAGCAUCUCCGACCCCAUGGAUAGUUUUCGAACGCAUCGAUGUCGUCAACAACUUGCAAAUGAAAAAUGUCGAUGGCAGUCUUAUUGUGAUGACACCUCAUCAUACUCUCGAUGAUGUAGACCGGCCCAAGUUUCAAUCUAUCUAGCAUCUGGUCGCACCCCCUGAUCGCGACCAUCAACACGGGUAGAUGCAUCGACCCAUGUCCUUGGAAGUACGUCUUGUACAGCCUAUUUCUUCUCUCAAUGGCUGCACUGUCGCCCGUAACCUUCAGUCCAGUGAUCAAGCUAAACUCAUACAUCCAAAAACUGACGACCUUGCCCCCGAGGUCGAAGUGGAGGGAAUCGCCGUCGACUAGCCUCAGAAGCCAACAUAGAAGUGCAUCGAUGAUUAGUCCUGAGUACUGCAACUCUCGCAUCUAGUACAGUGCUCACAAGAAGGACUGUCGUGGCAUAUUUUCGUGAUGAUCUUCGAGCAGCUCCAACACAGCAGUAAAACUCUCAAAGCUACUUUUCCAAGUAGCUUUCCCCGCCAUCCGUCUCAACUCCCCAUCUAAAUGAUACUCCAUCCUGCAAAAAUUCAAAUGUUAGAAUAUUGAACAAAAGAUAAUAAAAUAACGCAUAAUCUCAAAAAAUUAAUGGGAACCGAAUUCUUGACGCUAAUAACAAAAUAAAUUCAAUACAAAUGUAAAAAAUAAUUAAUUAAAUUAAAAUACAAAUUAAUGAGAUUUUCAGCAAAAGAAAAUUAUUAAUAUUUAAAGAAAAAAAAGGUUAAAAAUUAAAAAUUAAAUAUAUUUUCAAAAAAAAUUAAAGAAUAUAAAUAUUAUUUAAAUAAAUUUUAAAAAAUUAAAGAAUAUAAAAAUUAAAUAAAUAAAUAACAUAAUUAUUAUUUAAUCAAAUGAAAAUUAUGAAGAAAAUUAAUCUUGUAUAUUACAUUUGGAAAAUAUAUUUACAAAAAAAAUUUAAAAUUAAAUAAAUAACAUAAUUAUGAAAUUUACAAAAAAAAAAUUUAAUAAAUAAAUUUACAAUAAAUUGUUACUUUCAGAUAAUAUUCAAUUAUUAAAUUAUAUAAAUAAAAGACAAUUAAAAAAUAUAAAUAAAUAACAUAAUUAUUAAUAAAUUAAUUAUAAAAUAUAUAUAAAAAAUUAAAAAACUGAAUAUAUAUAUAUAUAUUUUUAAAAAAAUUAAACUGUUAACAGUCUGAUUGUUAACAGUCGAUCCAAGAUUGUUAACAGUUAACAGUCGGCCCAAUUAAUAAAAAUAAAUAUGAAAUUUAGAAAUUAAAUAAUUAUUCAAAAUUGCAAUGAUAAGAAUUAAUGAAAUUCGAUUAGCGAAAAGAAUAUUAUUUAUAAAAAAUUAUUAAUAAAAAUAAAAACACAAUUUAAAAUUAAAUAAUUAUUCAAAAUUACAAUGACAAGAAUUAAUAAAAUUCGAUUAACAAAAAUAUUAUUUAUAAAAAAAACUAAUAAUAAAACUAAAUAUGAAAUUUAAAAUUAAAAUUAAAAGAAUUAUUAAAUAUUAAAAUUAAAAGAAUUAUUAAAUAUUAAAAUUAUAAAAAUUAAUUAAAUUCGAGAAUGAAAAAUUAUUAUUAAUCAAAAAUGAGGAAAUAAAAAUAAAUAUUCAAAUUAAAAUUUAAAUUAAAUAUCACAUUUAAAUUUUACAAAUAAAUAAAUUAUUAUUUAUUAAAAACUAAUAAUUAAAAUUAUUUAAAAUGAAAAUGUAACUAAAAAAUAAUAAAAAAAAUAAAGGCAGCGGGCAGACCGUAACAAUUGGACCGCUUAAUAGUCAAUGAGCUGACUAAACAGUCAGCCCAAAUAAUGGGCCAACUGUUAAUCAGGUCAAAUUUAAAAAAAAAAUUGUUAUUGGGCCCACUUAACAAUCAUGGGCUGAUUGUUAGUCAGUCCAUGACAAUUGGGCCAACCGAGUUUUCCCCAAAAUGCCGGCUGCAAACGCAGUUGGCAUUUUUUCUGGCAUUUCUCGUCGGAAAAUCUCUAUUUUCGGUGAGAAAAGCUUGCAAAUCUCGAAAUCCACAUAUUAAUCUCCAAUUUAGACCCAUAUUCAUACUUCUACACCUACAUAAUCAAUAUUACAUUUCAAAAACCUCCACAAAUUCAACAUUCACACACAAUAUGAAAAUCUAAACAUUAAUCUGGUUAAUUAACAACUCGAAACUCACCUUAACAAGAAGAAGGUCGCUUGAGAUGAACUGAAAACGUCUACCGAGUAGCUUUUCCCUGGUUUUAGCCGACUGUAAGCAAAUGGGAAAGUGACCGUCUGAGAGUAUUUUGGGAUUUUGACCUUUCAAAUCAAUUUUCGUUUUUUUUUCUCUAAAAACUAGUCAAAUGCUACUUUGGAACUACACAUGAGUUAUUGGGUCAUUUUCAAUGAUUUCCUCCCCUUUCCUCGUGUUUUCAAAUUUCUACUUCCGAUUUGUACCUUUUUUUUUCUAAUUGACAAAUUAAUUAUAAGUACGUUUAUAGAUAGUAUAUAGAAUAAUUUAAUUUGUAAUUUCUGAUUAGUUAAAAUUUGUAUAUUUUAUUCAAAAGAAUCAUUCAAUUUACUUUAAUAUAUUUUUCCUACUGAAAUUGUCUAAUUUUAGUUCGAAGAAUUUUAAUAUAGUUUCAGUAUAUUAUUUUCAUAUUACCAAUAGAAUUUUAUCAUUAAAAUUUUUUAAUUUAUUUUUUAGGAUUUUGGUUAUUUUGUAAAUUAAAAUUUUAAAACAAUCUUUAAUUAAUAGUUAGGAUUGAUUGAAAUUAAACGUAUGCUGAAUUUUUAUUUUUAGUUUUGUUCUUUUUUACAACAAGCAAAAAAUAUUGCAAAUCCUUGUUGCAAAACACACUUGCUCGCAACAUUUAAUGAUUGUUGCAAAAGGUUAUAUAGUAAGAAUUUCAACAAUAUGUACUGAACAUUGUUAUAGAACAAAAUUUUAACAAGUUCAAAAAGAAAAAAAAUAGAAUUAAAACUUUUACAACAUUCAAAGAACGUUACAAAAAGCUAUAUAUUAAGAGUUUCAACAACAGUUAUUGAAUGUUGUUAUAGAACUAUAUUUUUACAACAUUCAUUAAAUGUUGUGAAAAAUCAAAUUUCUUACAACAUUCAAGAAACGUUGAAAAUGGUAAUAUUGACAACAUGCAAUUAAAAAAAAUAUUGCCAAAGCUUAAUUAAAAUUAAUCAAUGGCAAUAUUCACUUAUUAAAAUAUUGCGAUAGACCCAUUUAGCAACAUUCAAUUCACGAGUGUUGCCUUUUGAGUAUUGCAAAAGGCUAUUUUAAUUGUAGUGAAAACUAGAGCCAUGUAUUCAUAGGGAAGGAUUAGGGAUACAAUAGUAAUAAUUUCUAGAGUUACAGGAGUACAAUUAUUAUUCACAAAUAAACUUACCAUGUAUAACAAAAUGGUCUUUUUUUAUUUUUAUUUUUCUUCAAUGUGCUCCUAAAAAGGUUUUUAUUGAUAGCAACAAGGUAAGUCGGACGUUCUCUUUUUUAAAUUUUAAGAGGCGGUAAGGACAUUUUGAUCUUCAUUUUUCGUCCCAUUUAUUUAUUUAUUUACUUAUUUAUGUAUUAUUAUGUGUUUAAAUUUAAAUUAUAUUCAAAAAAAAAUUUUAAAAAAAUAUUAUGAGUCAUGGAUGGGUCUGUGACAGAGAUCAUGUUUCCCAAGCCCAUCCCUAAUAGGGAUUAUAGAAUUCCUGACCUUCAAUCCACAUCGUACCCCGUCCCACAUUGUCCUACCUUGAAUAGUAAAUGGGGCGGGAUGCAUAACCUAUAGUCCCUAGUUUCGAAUUUUUAGUACUAGCUCUGAAUCAUUUUUCAUUAAUAUACUUUAUUUUAUUCUUAUGUUCUUCAUUUAAAUCAUAUUAAAAAAAUAAAUAAAUAAAAUGAUUGUUUUUUAUGUCUCAACCUACCCUACAUUCUGAAAAUUCGAAAUGAAACAAGAAUGAUAUGAUGGCUCCUAUCCAUUGUUAUCCUUAAUUUCAAAUUUCCCGUUGGGCGGAGUAACUUGAAAUUGGCGUUUUGUUAAAGAUUUCCUCAAAUAAUUUAGCAGAAAAUAAGAACAAUGAAAAAUAAAUCCACUUUAAAAUAGGGUCAUCUCUAAAAGAUAAAUGUAUUCUCCAUUGAUUCCCAUUUUUCACUUGAAACUCAUCUCUGUAGGAAGGCUAUGAUCCAAUCCAACCUUAAAAUUUCUCAAAUUAUAUUUAAAAAAAAAUAAAAAAUCACCGUACCUUAACUCUACAAAUAAAGUGGAGUAUUGCCCAAAUAUCCAUGGCAGCAGCUACGCAGAGGCAACACUGAUGGUUCGCAGAUGGUGCAACCACAAAGGGCCUCGACAUUAUAGGGACACCAAAAAAAUUUAUUUGUAUAAUAAUUUUAAAAUUUUAAUUUUUUUAUUAGAAGGACCAUGUUUUAAAAUAUCACACAGGACACCCAAAAUAUUAAGGUCAACCCUACAUCUAAGUACUGCUAUGCAACUUCUCCAUUUCCUAGAUAUUUGGUCAAUAAAAAUAGGGAACGUGGCUCAAGGGAGUGGCAAAAUUAUUAAUAAGAUGAGGCAAAUUAAAGAAACAAACAAAUGUAGGAAGUUGAAAUCUACUUAAGAAACAAAAUGUACUUCCCUAUCUGUCGGAAGGGACAAUAUGACAGAUACCAAAACAAGGCAAUAGCUUAAGAGAUUCAAAGAUUACAUAAUUAUAAGCCAGAAAAAAAAAAUAUUGAUGAUUUAUUGGAGUUGAUAAUGGGGGUUGACUAACAAACCUUAUGUAGAAACUAUACCAUUCGCAGUCAAACCAUGAUCCCUGAAUUUGAAACGGGCAUAUAACGAUUUGUGAAAGAGAUAAUGGUGUUGGAUUCCCAGUGGAUAACGCACAAGUAGAAUCUGAUUUCAUGCGCACUGGGAUUGAACAUAGCUGCUUUAAAUGUCCCAUUACGAGAUAACAAAAACUCCCAGAAGCAUCUACAGAUUUGAAAUUUGAAGGAGUUAAAUUAGGGUAUGCGAAUUCUUUAAAGGAAAUACCAUAUGCAAGAACCAAUAAUAAGGCUAAAACACACAGAUCUAAUCCAGAUUUUGCCCUAGUUGGCAUGGGCGACUAGCUGUGACAAUUGACAUUGCAAAUUUGACGGCGAGGGGAAAUACAUGAAAUUGACCCAAAUAAAAGAGGCUAUUUUCCAAAAUGGCCCUUGACUUUUCCAAACAUUUGGAGCUACCUAAAAUACCCUUAGACAAAUAUUAAAAACAACCUAUUUCAUAAUAAAAAUCUUCUAUCUAAGUCCUUAAAAAAUUAACAAGUAAUUUUUCUAAAAAAUUGAAAGAAUUAUUAAUCUUUAUGAAUAAUUAUAAAAUGAAAAAACCCAAAUAUAAGAGAGGACCAUAUAAUAUAAAAAAAGGUUGUUAAAAAUAAAAAAGAAAUUAAGUUUGGAAAAGAAAUUGAUAAGAUAGGAUAUCAAGAACAAUUAUAUGCAUCACAAGAAAUAUUAAAGUGUUUCAAAGAAAACUUAUUAGAAAAUUUUGUUAAAAGAAUUGUAAGAUCAAUAAUCAUAAAAGAUAUACAAGGUAUCAUAGAUAAAUUAGAAAAAAGGAAGAAAAAUAUCUUAAAAUACGAUAUACCUUUUAGAACAGACAUAGAUAUGAUAAUAGAUGUUGAUAUUAUAAAUUCUCAGACAUUACUAGACUUUAAAGAAUUACUUAAAAAUUUAUGAGAAGGCCAAUAAAAAAUAGAUUACCACAAAGAAUUUUUAGAACAUUAGAUUAUUAGAUUUUUGUUCGCUCAUAGUAGCAUCAUCCCGUUGGUAUCAGAGCCAUAGAGAUCAUGAGAAAAUAUAUAAAAAUAAAUUACCUAAAAGAUAUUGAAAAUAAAUAAAAUUUAUGAUUUUAGAAAUUAUUGAAACUUAUAAAAAUAGACUAAUGUAUCAGGUAAAAUAUAGUUCUAAUAUAGAAGCAUAUAUAGAAGAAGAUAAUAUAGUUGGAACAUAUAGUAAAGACAUAAAAGAAGUAUUAGAAAUUUUUAGAGUAAUUAAAAAUCAACCUUUAGAACUAAAAGAAAAAAUAAUUAAAAAGAUAUUAUUUGAAGAAUAUAAGCACAUAUAUAUAUAAGAAAUCCAGAGUGAAAUAGAUUUCAUAGUAAUCUAAAAAAAAUAUUUUAUUAUGGAAAUCAUAAAAAUAAAUAAUUAUUAUCAAUGUAUUGAAGAAAAAGGAUGUUAUACAUUUUUCAACCCUAUCCCUAAUAAAUUAAAAAUAAUAACAUUAUAUGUAACUAGAAAUUUACCUAGAGAAAUAAAGGAACAAAUAUUACAUAAAUUAAUUGUAGGAUUUAUCAAAGAUUGACGUACAUAUGAAAUAAUUAUCGAAGUAUUUGAAAAUGAAUUAUACCAUAGAGAAAUAUUUGAAUCAUCAUAAAAUAUAAUGGAAGAAACUAAAAAUAUUUUAGAAAGAAAGUCAAGAAGAAUAAGAUUAAUAAAUAAUAAAAUUUUAGACAAAUUAUUAAUACCUGGAGAUAUAACUAAAAUUCAAGAAAAACAAAUAUUAAAAUUAAAACAAGAAAGGUAUAAAGAAAAAGUAAGGUAUUAUGAAAAAUUAAAAGAACUAACAAAUAUUGAAGUUAUAAAACAAAAGUAUGAUAAAAUGAUAAGAGAGUGUAAAAAUGCUGAGUAUAUAGCAUUUUAUUAUUAUCAAUCAAAAAAUUGAUAAAAGAAAAUGUCAAUCAGUGAACAUAAGGAAGAAUUAAAACAUUUAAUAAGAACAUUAAUAAAUGAUGUACAAGAAAUAAAGAAUGAAAUAAAAAAAGUAAGAAAUGAUAUAAAUAUAUUGAAACUUGAAGUUAGAAAAUUAAAAGAAAAUGAAGAAAAGAAUAAUAGGAUAGAUAAAAAAUUUGUAGAAAAAGAAAUAACCAGAAUAUGGAAAAAACAUAUUGAAAGAGAAAAUAUAAUAAUAGAAAUAGGAAGCAUGGAUGAUGAGUUUAGAAAAAAUAUAUUACCUAAAAUAUUAGAAGAAGAGGAAUCUAGAGAAAAAAUGUUAAAUAAACAAAAAAUUAAAGAAAAUCAAGACAAAGAAAAUGAAUUAAGAAUUAGAUCUACUUAUAGAUAAUUUUGAUCAUUUAAGCUUAGAAAGUAUAGAUGAUGAAUACCAAAUCUUAAUAAAUAUUGGAGGAGGAUCUAAUCCCGUAGGAACCUCUAAACAAGAAUCAAUAGAUUCAGAUGAAAGUUAUGCUCCGAUAUAUAAUAAACCAUAUAGACAAUUUUAUGAUAAAAUAAGAAAUAAACAACCGUCUAAAGGAAAUAAAUAUAGUAAUAGAUUUGAAUUAAAUAAUAAUUAUGAUAAACCUGUUAACCAUGGAGGAACAAAAUUAGACUUAGAUUGUAAAAUAGACACUAAGAAAGUUUUAAUAAAUUGGGCAGACUCAAUGAUAUUAUUAUUUUUAUAUAAUAAAGAUGAUACAUGGAAAAAUAUUGAAAGAAGAAUAGAUUUUUUAAUUGCAUCUUUUGAAGGAAAUGUUAGAAAUUGGUGGGAAUGAAUUAGUAGUGAUACAAAAUCAUUAAUAAAAAGAAAUGUACAAACAGAAAUAAUAAAGUUAGAUAAACUAGGAAUAGAAAGAUUAGUAGAAUGUACUGCAGAUGAAUUCUUAGGAGAAAAUUGGUUAAGAAAUUAUGAAGAAGAAGCAAUACGGGAAAAAGAUAAUGCAAGAGUUAAGUUAAUUAAUUUAACAAUUUGUGAUAUGUAUAAAAUUAAAGAAUAUACUUGUGAAUUCAAGGAUUACUAUUAUACUCAAUUUUAUAGUAAUGAGAAUCAAGAAGUAUAUCAAGAUAUGUAUUACAAUAAAUUACUAGGAUUAUGGGGAAUAUAUUUUAAAAUAGAAUUUGAAAAAUAUAUUAAAGAAAAUAUAGGAAUAUCUAGAACACUAGGAUCAAGAAUAAAAUUCUUGUUUGAAAGGCUUGCAUAUAUAUGUCAACAAAGAUAAUUAUUGAAAAAAUCAAGAAAAUUAACUAGAACAUGUUGUGAAGAUAUGAAAAAACCUACAAGAUGGGGAUGUAGAAAUAAAAGAAAGUAUAAAAACAGAAAGUUUAAAAAAUAUAGAAACUUUAAGAAAAAAUACAUAAAACUUGGAAGGAAAUAUUAUAAAAGAAAAAAUAAUAUACAGGAAAAUAAACCUUAUAAGAAAGAUAAAAAACAAUGUAAGUGUUGGAAUUAUGGAGAAAUAUGUCAUAUAAGUCCUGAUUGCACAAAAAAAAGUGAGAAUAUUACAAAAUGAUUAUUUUGAAAUAGAAAGUGAAUUAAGUGAAAUAUCUGAUAUUGAACAUUAUAAUAAUCACGAAAUAUUUAUAAGUGAAGCAGAUUCAGAAGAUAAUGGAUCAGAAUCUAAAUAGAGAAAUUGAAGAAAUAGAAAAUAAUAACAUAGAAAUCCAAGAAUAUGAGGGAAUAGAAGGUUAUGGAUUAAAAGUAACUUUUGACAAUAAUAAAUUUAAAAAAAUACAAAAGUUAUCCUUAGAUUUGAAAAUAGGAAAAUAGGAAAUUCUAGAUAGAAUAUGGAGAAGAGAAAUAAUAGCAAUAAAUGAAUACCAUAAGAUUGAAAAAACUAUAGAUGUCAAGACAACUCAAGGAACACAUAAAAUAAACCUUUUAACAAAAAGUACAGUAUCAGAAUUAUUAUCAAAAAAAAGUAAAAAAUAUAGUGAAAAGAUCCAAUAUGUUUAUUUAGCAAGAAUACAAAUAAUGUUUAAAUCUUUAUUUAGGGAAGGAAUAGAUUCACUAUUAAUUGUAAGUUUAUAUGAUGGAAGAAUUAUAAAUCUUGAAGAUGGUCAUUUAGGAACUAUAGAAGGAAAUUUAGCAUAUCAAAAGUUAAUAUUUACUUGUUACCCAAAAUAUUGUGUCUAACUGAAAGAUAAAAACUUUAAUGAAGUCUUAGAAUUACAUUUCAAAUUACAUAGAAAUGAUAUAAUGGAACCAGGAGAUCAAAUUAUGACUAUGGAAUAUAGGGCAUUAUAUACAUUUACUAAUUCUAAUUAUGGGAAUAUUUAUUCCAAUAAACCAUACAUAGAAAUUCAUAAGGAAUACAAGGAUAUUAGUAGAAUAGUGAAACCAAACAAACAAAUAAAUCUUAUUCCAAAAGAAUAUGAAUUUAAUAUGACUAAAAAUAAGCCUGAAAUAACAGAGUUAAGAGAAGAAGAAGAUUAUAAAAUAAUAUUUCAUAAUGGAAGGUUGAUAAAAAAAUCAAAAAGUCUUAGACUACCGAAUAAAAAAGAAUAUUUGAGAGAAACUAAUGGUAUAAAAGAAAUAAAACCUCAUGGAAAUAUUGGAAAUAUGAAAAUAGAAGGAAAAUAUUUCAACGGUAGAAGAUAUAUAAAAUGACCAAAUAUAUUGAUAAAUACAGGAGCUGGUGAAUGUCAUAUGGUUGCAAAUAAAAAUGAAGGAUUAAUCACUUACAAGAUAGAACCAUAUGAAUACAGGAAUUUUGAUGAACAACUAUAUAUUACAGAAUUAAAGAUAAAGGUACCAAUAAAAAUAGGUGGGAUUGAUCUUUUAGUACCAUGUUAUUUGGAUGAAAGUAUGGAUAUUGAACCUCAUAUAUUAUUAUGAAUGAGUUUCUUAAAUGGAUUAGAAGAUUAUAGUAUAAAAAGAGAAGGAUUAUAUAUAACUCAUAAAGGACAAACUACAUUAUGUAAAAUAGGAAGUGGAUGAAUAAUCAAAUAAAUUUUCCAUUGGCAGUAUAUAUACAAGUUACUAUAGUAGAAACAAACAUAACAACUUGUGCCUUAAUUGAUACAGGAAGUGAUAUAACAAUUUUUAAAAAUUUCUUAAUAAAAUCAUGGAAUAAAAAUAGUAAAAUAAAAAUAACAAGAGUGACUGGAGAAAGUACUCAAAUAAUUGAUAGUGCUGAAAAAAUUAAUAUAAUACUUGAUAGUAAACAAAUUAUAAUAAAUAAAGUAUACAAUUAUAAUAACCUAGAAUGUGAUAUAUUAUUAGGAAAUGACUUUAUCCAACAAUUUCAAUAUUAUAAACAAAAUAAUUACAUGAUAAUGUUACAAACACCUUGUGCACAUCUAUUAAAAAUACCAAGAGAAUUUAGAUCCUACAGAGUUCAGCUAGCCCAGCGUGGUGAUAAAUGGGAAAAACGACCAAUAGUACAAGAUGAACUAAAAAAUAAAAAACUAUCAUAUAAAAGAUCCUAAAAACAGAAAUAGAAAUAAGUAUGGAAAAAAUCAUAGAACAAUUAGAAAAAAUUUAUGGAGAAAACCCAUUAUUAUUUUGGAAACCAUAUCAUCCUAAAACUAAAAUAGAAUUAACAGAAAAUGUUAUAAUAAGAGUUAGACCAAUGAUGUAUACCUUACAGGAUAUGCAAGAAUUUAAAAUUCAAAUAAAAGAACUAUUAGAACAAAAGUUAAUUAGACCCAGUAAUGGAUCUCAUAGUAGUCCAGUUUUUAUGGUUAUGAAACAUUCUGAGCAGAUUAGAGGAAAAGCUAUAAUGGUAAUAAACUAUAAGGAAUUAAAUAAAUAUACUAAAUUUGAUGGUUACUUUUUACCAAAUAAAGAAGUCCUAAUAAAUCUUGCAAAAGGAAAACAAUAUUAUUCCAAAUUUGAUUGUAAAUCAGGAUUUUGGCAAAUAAAAAUGGAAGAAGACAGUAUACAAUAUACAACUUUUACUACACCUCAAGGAAAAUAUGAAUGGUUAGUUAUGCCAUUUGGUUUAAAAAAUGCACCACAAAUAUUUCAAAGGAAAAUAGAUAAUAUAUUCAAAAAGUUUAGUGAUUUUCUUAUUGUUUAUAUAGAUGAUAUACUAAUAUGCUCUAAUAAUAAAAAAGAACAUAGGAGUCAUUUAUUACAAUUCAUAAAUGAAUGCAAAAAUGAAGGAAUUGUAUUUUCUAAAAAGAAAUCUAUAAUCGAGAACAAGAAAUAGAUUUUCUGGGAUUAUCAAUAGAUAGAAAAAGAAUAAAAUUAUAGACUCAUAUAUCUAAAAAGAUAGAAAACUUUCCAAAUGAAUUAAAAUCCAAAGAACAAAUACAAAAAUUUUUAGGAUGUUUAAACUAUAUUGAAGGAUUUAUUGAAAAUCUCUCAAAAAAGAGACAUAAGAUACAAAUUCUAACUUAGGAAAACAAAUACUAAAGGUUGGAACAAAGAACAUACUGAAAUUGUUAAAUCAUUAAAAGAAGAAUGUAAAAAUUUACCAAAAUUAAGGUUGCCAGAUGAAAAAGAUAAUCUAAUUGUUAAUACUGAUGCCUCGGAUAAAUAUUGGGCAGUUAAAUUAAAAAUAGAUUUAAAUGAAAUAUGCAGAUAUUCAAGUGGAACUUUUAACCAAGCAGAAAUAAAUUAUACUACUCAUGAAAAAGAAUUGUUAGCAAUUAUUAGAGGAAUAAAAAAGUUUUCAUUAUUCCUUUUAUCUAAAAAAUUUAUUGUUGAAACUAAUAAUUCUCAAGUUAUAGGACUUAUUAGAAAUAAGUUACCUAUGGAACCUCAAUAUAAAAGGUUACACAGAUGGCAAGCAUAUUUAUCAUUCUACAAUUUUGAUAUUAUUCAUAUUAAAGGAAUAAAUAACUAUCUUGCAGAUUUUUUGAGCAGGAAUAUCGAAUUUGGAGAUGGAUAAUAUCAAAAAUUCAUUAAUAGACGUCAACAGACGAAUGAAAUUCCUCAUGAAAGAAUCAGAAGAUAUGAAAAUUGGAAUUGAGCAAUUAGAGCAAAUGGCAGAAUCUAUCCAACAAAAUGUCAAAUUGUUGGUGGAAAUCUCUAAUUCUCAUUCUAAAUAUACCAAACAAUUGAAUGAUAGAAUUGUUGAUAUUACUUCACAAUUCAAGUAAUUAAAUACCAAACAAGAAAUACCAAUUGAUACAAUCUCAAAAAUAUAAACAGGUACACAGCCAGGAAGUAGCAGUGGACCCAGCAAUAUCAAACGAGAUAUAGCAAGUCCCCGGAAGGUGACUAUAAAAAAUGGUGAUGAACAUACAAGAGUUAUCAGAAUCAAAACUGAUGAAGAUGAUGAUACCCCUUUAUCAUCAAAAGAAGAAGAAUAUAGAUCAUUUGCCAAAAUUGUUUAUGAAUUGGAAGAAAAUGAAUCAUAUUUUAUUGCAUCAGGAGAUCAUGUUUAUCCCAGAUUAAUAAUUACCAAAGAUGCAGACCCUUUCAUGGUUAAAAUGACGACAGAUUAUGGAUUUCUGGAUUUGAUCUAUCCAGUAAAAGAUUUAAAAGAAAUUGAAAAUUUUGAUGAUAUAUUCAGGGCAGAGGUUUCAAAAUUUGUCCAAGGGAGAUCGAUUUAUAUCAAAUUUUAUUCAAUAAGUCCCGAGGUUGAUGGAAGGAUAUACUAUCCUGUUGAACAUAUUAUCACAAUUGGAUAUGUUGGCCGAGAUUUUCAUAUUGAAGUUGGUUGAAAUAAUAAACCAUUGCCUAAAAUCAAUAAAUCAUGGAUAAAAUCCCGAAGAGUUUUGGGGAUGAAAGUUCUUUAUAACAUUGCAAAAAACUUAUAUAAUAAAAAAUUCAGAUGCUUGUGUCAAUAUGAAGGAUGGACACUCCUUACGAAUAAUGGAAAAGAAAAAUCUACUAUUUUGAAAGAAUAUAUCUAGAAAUUUGGUACGCAUCAAAUGAAUGGAAGUCUUACAACAAUCGAAGAAUCAUGUAGAUUGAGGGAGUGCCCCACAUGCAGACAAGAUUAAAAAGAUUGACAAAAGAUGAAUGGAAGGGGACCUACCACUACCAAAGCAUCUAGCCAGCUGCAUAUGGAGCCAAAGAUGGAGAGACAAUAAUAGAGGAAAAGAUGCCCCUUUGAUGAAAAAGCAAAAAAUGCAUGUGAAAAUGUAGACCCCAGGAGGAAAAGAAUAGAGAGGCAUUUGAACCUUUUUAAAUUUUGAUGUAUGCAAUGAUGUAAUAGAUCAAUAAUAGCAAGUUUGAGUCAUGUAUAAAUAGAGGUCUUUGAGGAAAGAAUGGAUCAUCUCGAGUUAGAAACCAUUUUCUUUCCUUAACCUUUCGUUAAAAGCAGUUUUUCUGGAAACCCCUUGUAUACAAUAGAAAUCUUGUAUAAAUCAUUAUAGAAAUAAAAUCCCAAUCUUUUGAUAUCAGAAAAAUAUGAGUUUCUAAACUUCCUAUCCCAUAGAUUCUUGACAGAUUGAAGAAGAUAAUAUUUUUCUUACUUUAACAAAGGGGGAAUUUUCUUUACUUAAAAUCCUUAUUCUUAAUUCUAAGAAAAGAUACAGUGAGGGUACGAAGCUGAAAUAGCAGAAUUCCAAUUAAGGCAAAAGGCCGUUUGAGGGAGCAGUUUGCAGAUUCAGAGCCUGAAGGUCACUCGGUUCUAAGAAUACAGAUUUAAGAUCAUAAGUAAGGCAAAAUUAUUGUCUUUGUUAAAUUUAGAAAGAAUUCUUCUAAUAUCUUGAAAGAAUCGUAGGGAUUAUUACUUUUCAUGUUUGCAAAAAAUUUAUCUAUCAUGUUAUUAUUCAUAAAGCUUGUAAGGAAUUAUCUAAAUGAUGUCAGGCUAUACAAUUAAAGGAUUAGAUAAUCUGUUAUAAAGACUGUUAGAAAAAAUAAAAAAUAUUUUUUCUCAACUAGAGACUAUGGAUAUAUCAUAUAAGGAAUAUGAUAAUCUUAAAGAAUUUUAUGACAAUUAUAUUACAGAUUAUGCUAAUUUAUUAGAUCAAAUGAUGGAACUAUAUAUUAAAAUUCGAAACGAGAGAAAUGGAAGAAUUUUAAAACUAUUCCAAUAAAUUAGGAUAUUUUGUGCAAAAUAUGGCAAGCCAUUUCAUUAAGGGUAUUAUAGACAUUUUGACAAAAAUGAAUAAUGAUAGGCCAUUUAAAAAAAUCCCCCGACGGGGAGAGUAGAGGAAGAAGAGAUAUUACAUUUGUCUUAAGAGAUUAGGGCUUCCACUUCCCCUUUCCUCUUGUUUUCAAAUUUCUACUUUUGAUUUGAAUUUUUUUUUUAUCUAAUUGACAAAUUAAUUAUAAGUAUGUUUAUAGAUAGUGUGUAGAAUAAUUUAAUUUAUAAUUUGUAAUUAGUUAAAAUUUGUAUGUUUUAUUCGAAAGAAUCAUUCUAUUAACUUUUAGGGUCAGUUUGAUUGUAAAGAUAAAAUUUGGAUGGAAAGAAAAUAAAUUUCAGGAAAUUGAAUUGUAUAGAAAUUAUUUUAUUGGGAAUUAUCAAUUAUUGUGUUUUAUUGAUAUAAUUUUUUAUGUGAAAAAUGUUAAAAUAAAAGUAUUUUUUGAUAUUCGUUUGACUUUAUUUUACAUAAAAAUUGUCAAUUAAAGGGAUAAAAUUUAUUGGUAUUGGGGAUAGAAUUUGUUCCUCUUGCCCAAAAAAAAAAAAAAGGAGCCAAAAAAAAUCAUCUAUCUUUUGGUGUUUAUUUGACUUUGUUUUAUAUGGAAAUUAUCAAUUAAAGAAAAAUAUUUUUUUAUAAUUAAUGAUAGAAUUUGUUUUCAAUGCCAAAAAAAUAAAAAAUAAAAAUUGGCAACUUACCUAGAAAACCAAUUCCCACCAUUCCUUGAAAACUAAGAAAAGUCCACUUUUCAAAAAAAACCAAGCAAAUGAAUUACAUGGAAAAUAUUUGCUAUCAAACACUAUCAAAAGGUGGAAAAUAGACAAAAUUUUCCAUUUUCCAUGGAAAAGAUGCCCAAUCAAAUAGGGCCUUAAUAUAUUUUUCCAACAAAAAUUGUGUAGUUUUAGUUCGAAAAAUUUUAAUAUAGUUUCAGUAUAUUAUUUUCAUAUUACCAAUAGAAUUUUAUCAUUAAAAUUUCUUAAUUUAUUUUUUAGGAUUUUGGUUUUUUGUAAAUUAAAAAUUUAAAAUAAUCUUUAAUUAAUAGGUAGGAUUGGUUGAAAUUAAACGUAUGCUGAAUUUUUAUUUUUAUUUUUGUUCUUUUUUACAACAAGCAAUAAAUAUAGCAAAUCCUUGUUGCAAAACACACUUUCUCUCAACAUUUAAUGAUUGUUGCAAAAUGUUAUAUAGUAAGAAUUUCAACAAUAUGUACUGAGCAUUGCUAUAGAACAAAAUUUUAAACAGUUCAAUGAACAUUGCACAAAAAAAAAAAAGAAAGAAAAAAAAGAAGGAAGAAUUAAAACUUUUGCAACAUAAAAAAAAUGCAAAAGGCUAUUUUAAUUGUAGUGAAAAUUCGUGAUAUGUAUAUAAAAAUUCAUAUGUCAUUAAAUUAAUUUCGGUACACGUGAUAAAUGAUCAUACUUAAAAAAAUUAUUACCUUCACUAAACUUUGAAAAAUUAAGCUUUCGGACUGAUAACGUAUUAUGAAAAGAGAUAGAAAGAGCAGUGAGAAUAAAAGUCAAUAGACUUGUAUGUAUUAUAAUAAGAACUAGAGCCAUGUAUUCAUAAAGAAGGAUUAUGGAUACAAUAAUAAUAAUUUCUAAAUUUACAGGGGUACAAUUGUCACUCACAAAUAAAACUUACCAUUUACAACAAAAUGGUCUUUUUUUAUUUUUCUUCAAUUUGCUCCUAAAAAGGUUUUAAUUGAUAGCAACAAGGUAAGUCGGACGUUCUCUUUUUUGAAUUUUAAGAGGCGCGUAGGACAUUUUGAUCUUCAUUUUUCGUCCCAUUUAUUUAUGUAUUUACUUAUUUAUAUAUUAUUAUGUGUUUAAAUUUAAAUUUUAUUCAAAAAAAUUUAAAAAAAAAAAUUAUGAAUCAUGGAUGGGUUUGUGACAGAGAUCAUGUUUCCUAACCCCAUCCCUAAUAAGGACUAUAGAAUUCCCGACCUUCAAUCCACAUUGCGCCCCAUCCCACGUCGUCCUACCUUGAAUAGUAAACGGGGCGAGAUGCAAGACCUAUAGUCCCUAGUUUUGAAUUUUUAGUACUAGCUCUGAAUCAUUUUUCAUUAUUAUAUUUUAUUUUAUUGUUAUGUUCUUCAUUUAAGUCAUAUUUAAAAAAAUUAAUUAAAUAAAUAAAAUGAUGAAUGAUGGUUUUUUAUGUCUCAACCUACCCUUCAUUCUGAAAAAUCGAAACGAAACAAGAAUGAUAUGAUGGCUCCUAUCUAUUGUCAUCCUUAAUUUCAAAUUUCUCGUUGGGCGAAGCAACUUGAGGCUGGCGUUUUGUUAAAGAUUUCCUCAAAUAAUUUAGCAGAAAAUAAAAACAAUGAAAAAUAAAUCCACUUUAAAAUAGGGUCAUCUCUAAAAGAUAAAUGUAUUAUCCAUUGAUUCCCAUUUUUCAGUUGAAACUCAUCUCUGUAGGAAGGCUAUGAUCCAGUCCAACCUUAAAAUUUUCAAAUUAUCUUCAAAAAAACAAAAAAUCCUUUUUUCACCGCAUUUUUAACUCUACAAAUAAAUGGAUUGUUGCAUAAAUAUCCAUUACCGCAGCUACGUAGAGGCAACCCUAAUGGUUCGCAGAUGGUGCAACCGCAUAGGGCCUCGACAUUAUAGGGACACAAAAAAAAAAAAUUUGUAUUAUAAUUUUAGAAUUUAAUUUUUUUUUAUUAAAGGGACCAUGUUUUAAAAAUAUCACACAGUACACCCAAAACAUUAAGGUCAACCCUACAAUGCCUAUAUCUAAGUACUACUGUGCAACUUCUCCAUUUCCUAGGUAUCAAAAAAUCUUCACCUCUACAACCAAGUACUAUGUUAAUUGCUGAGGAUUAUAUUUAGUAACAAACAUAAUAGAAUAAAUUUCUAUGACAUACUUAGAUGAAAAUUAAUUCAAUACAGCCUGGCGCUCAAGUCAGAUGAUGAAGUAUAUUUUGGGUCAGUCGACCUUUUUGGGUCAGCACACCAGUGGCAGAUGAACUCCUCCUCUAACUUUACAAAGCUUGGACACACUUGACGCGAAGGCCCUUUUGGGUUAUCGCCUCGGACGCUGUGUUACCUCCCAUGCUUUACAAAGUUUCAGCCAUCUCCCAACGCGUCGGUCUGUGGGGUUAGCGCACCAUAUUCGCGAAGCUUCGAUGCACCUUACGCAACGUUCCAUGCUGGUUAACCACCUUGUACACUAUGCACAAUAAUGAAACUUUGGCACGUCUGCCUGUUAUCAUAACCUCGAUUGCUGCAACAGAUCAACCCCCCAAAACUCCCAUGACUUGAGGUCCGGUCAGGAAAGCAAGUCCAUGCAUGAUAUAAAUAUUCAUCCCCGGCCUUGGGGGACACAACUGUUACGCUCCGAUUCUACACGCCUCGGAUCCCGAAGUGUCAUCUCGCUUCCGAGGUCGAGAUCAAGUGGACCCCGUGCAGCACCACAUAUUUCGAUCUGAAAAUGACCCUUCUGAAGUGUCUCCGAAGUGAUAUAGCGAUUCCUACUACUGACCUGUCGAAGCAUCUCACCUCCGAGGUCGAGAUCAAGUGGGCCCCGGUUAGAAGAUUCGUCGCCAAUUUAAGAUUUGUCCUGCACCUAAGGCUUAAAUUGAUUUGACGUCUCCAUGAGGCUAGUUGAUGUGACUUAUCAACUUUAUGUCAAUUCAACUCAGAAGAAACAAACUGUCCGCCCACUCUACAAACGCGGCUAAUUGACGCCUAUGAGCAGACGCUUCAUACCGUCAGAUGUAUACACGCGUUCCACAUCCAACGGUUCAUACCACCUAUAAAUACCCAAGGUUUGGCAAGAGGCAAAGGUAAUGAAACUCUUACUACAUAGCACUCCAUAGCAAGUUUAUAUAUUUUCUACUCCCCCUUUAUCGUUGGUUUGCAUAGCCCCUGGGUACUGUUCCGAUCACUCAAACCUGACUUGACCGUUGGAGUGUAUACGGCCACCACCACCCCCACUGGUUCCCGCCGUGUGCGCCUGACUAUUCGCUGAUUGUGUACAGGGAGGAACACGUGGAGUAGCUUUCAGUUGGUCACGUGGAAGGACCAAUUUUCGAGGUCAACAUUCAUAAUAUAAGUGAAUUUCUUGGUCAUCCAAGCGGGAUUAAAGCUAUUUUGAACACACGGCCUUUGUGAAGUUAUCAAUCCCUCAAUUCUAUUGUUUAAUGGUGCAAAUUCAUUUUUUCCCGUGUUACAAAUUUUCCUUUUUGUUAAAGUUGAAUCACAUCGUCUAAUAACAUUAACUUAUAGGGAUAGGACAAAUUUAUUUACGGAAUUUCUGAAGAUCCUUGAGUAGCUUGGAUUCAUUUUUCAAUUUCUGAGAUGUGCAUAAUUUUGCUCAUCAAACCACAUCAUCUAAAAACUCAAGCUAGCAGUUAGGACAAAAAUUUAUUUAUUUAUUUAAAUCGUCUUCAACAUCUUGGACAUGAAAUGUGAUUCCUACAACAAAUAUGCACACCCACAAUUUAUUAAAUGAUAAACUACGAAAUUGUAUUUUGAGUGGCAAUUGGCAUUCAAGAGUGGUUAACUAAUGGAUUUGUAAUUUCGACAUCUAAGUUCUGCAAGGCCAAUACAAACCGAUAGAUAGAACAUUUAUUUUUGUCUGCAUUAAGCAUCACAAGCUCAAUUACCUAGAAUUGCAUCCACUUUACACUUGUUAGAAUGUGGAAGCGGAAUUGUCUAGAAAUUAAAUAAAAAAUUUUAAUUCAAUAAACAGGAUCGUUUAUGUAACAUCCGGAAAAUAUUUUUAGGGAAAAAUUAUUAUCUAUUCUAUAUAUUAUAUUUGAUUAUUUUGAAACUGAGGGAUUCAGAUGAAGUAUAUUUUAAAUUAUUAUAUUUUUGAGGCAAAUACUUGGAUUUUGAUAGAGUGAUGAUAAGUAUAUCAAUAUUAUACUCGUUGGAGAGCCCGUAUUUAAUUAUGUAUUUUAGGCUUGAGAAAAAGUUAAUUCGAAUAAAUUUGGUUCAAGAUAUUGAAGUUUGUAGAAGUUGUUAUUUAAUUGGAAUUAGAAUUUACCAACUUUUAAAAGGGGUAGCCACGUGUGCUCUUCUAUAGAGAUAAGGUGGUGGAUAUGUAAUAGCAGUUAAUUGUUAUUUAAUCACAUUUUGAUUAUGAUUAAAGUAAAUUGAUAAUUAUAAUCCUAUUUUGAUAUAAUUCAACUCUGCAUAUUGUUGCUAAAUUAUAUUAAAAUAUUAGUCUUCACAUUUUAUUUUAACCGCACUGCAUGAGUGGAUAAGGUGAUUGCGAUACUUCAAUUAAGCAAAAUCCCAAUUAAACUAAUCUAGAACUUAUCAUAAGAAUUAGAUAACUUUCCCAUCUCCUACUUGGCCAUGCGUUUAAAGAUUUAUUGGUUUUAAAAAUUAUUUUCACCAACUAGAGAUUUUACAGAGAUGAGAUAAAAUUUUAUAAAGUCAUUUUUAUCCUAUAUUUUGAUAAAGGAUAAAGAUUUAAAUGUAAUCUUAUUUGUGGAAUUUUCAAGUACUAUCGUACAUGUGUCAUAUCAUAGUUUGGGUUGUCAGAAUUUAAAGUUUAUUCAAGUGUUACAUGUUUUCCCCACCAUCAAAAUUGUACCAUGACUCAACUACCAUUUUUUUUACUAUAAAUAAUGUGCAUUUGUCCCCUAAUUCUCCACUAAGAAAUUUUUACAUAGCAGACAAUAGAGAGAGAAUAAUUUCGAAGAGUUAGUAACCAAAUUUUUGACACAGUCGAGUAAGUAGAACAUAUAUUGGAAUUUACUCAAAAAUCCAUUUUUUUUUCAGGUAAUAUACUUUAUGUUCAAGUUUUUUUCCUUAUGCUUUUACAUUCAAUUAAAUAUGAAUGGAUUGUCAGUAUACAUUUGUUUUUUAAAGAGAUAUGAAAUCAUACGAAUUAUAAGAGGACAUAAGAUGGGUUUGUCACUUGGUCAUCAAUAUACUCCAUAAGAUCAGAGUGGUAUGAAAUGUAUAAUUUUUAUUGUUAUAUAUUUGUAUAUGAAAACUGCACGUAUCUUAUUUGGUAUUUUCGAAUACUCACUCUUACAAAUUUUUACAGGUUAAUUCGAGUCAAUUGAAGCUGUGUUGAAUUAGUGAUGCGGACGGCCAAGUGAAUCGAAGAAAGGAAAAAGAAAUUAAAUAUUUAGUUUGUUUUUUUUUUCUUUUUUUUUUUUUGGUGUCUCUAAAUUAUUUGUUAGUUUUAUUUGUUCAAAGACUCUUUUGGUUCUUUUAAAUUGAUAUUUAUGGUUGAAAAUAAAGAAUUUCUUUUUAUUUAAAUCGUUUCACAAUUAUUAUAAAAGAAAACUGAGUUUUUCUUAACACCCCCGCGUUUUUGGAAAUUUGCGGCAUUACAGUUUAGAUGUUCACGUAUAUGUUAAAUCAAGUAUAAAGAAUUCGAAUUUUUAGCUAAAUUGAUGGUUAAUUAUUUAAUUAAUUCAAAUGACAAACUUCAACCUUUUUGGAUCAUAGACUUCUAGCUUUUAAUUGCAAGAACUUGAUGCAUCAAAUCUCCAAGUCUUCUAUGUUAUUUUCCAAAGUCAAGACUACACCAAUGGGUGGUGUAUAUGUGUAUAUAUAUAUGUAUCAAGAAACUAAUUUUUAAACUGACAAUUGAAUAAAAGCAAGAAAAAUAAUAUUUUCUCUCUUUUUUCCUCUCUUCAAUUUGAACACUAUGGAUUUAUGUAUUAUGAUUAUUGUAGAAAUUCUAGGUUCUAUAUAGUCUCUAUUUAUAGAGAUAGAAUAGUUCUAAUCCUUGUACAAUAAUAAUUUCACAUUCAAAUAAGAGUUCUAAUUAAAAUCCAAGUAGGAGUUUUACUUAAAAUUCAAAUCCAAUUAGUUCACAUACAAUUACAUGUGUAGUCCUAAAACUUUAAUUACAAUUAUAAUUAAGUUUACAAAUUCAUAAUAAUUAUAACUAAGUACAAAAAUUUAUUGUAAUUACAAUUAAGCUCAAAAUUAUUAUAAUUACUAUAAUUAAUUUUCUAUAACUCAUGGAGCUGACAUAGGAACUUAGUGUAACAUGUAUUAUCCAAAUUCCAAUAAUUAGAUAUGUCUAGUCGACUCUAGACCAUCCAAACUUUGCUUUUUUCACCUAAGACAGAUGAGUGAACUCCUGGAAUAUAUAAGAUCACAGAAACUAAUAAAUUUGUAAUGCUUUCCUCUGACCUGUUGUAUAUGUAUUUUAUCCUCGUCAUAGAUAUGAUAAUUAAGUACGAGCAUAAAUGAUCGUUUUGCCCUUCUAAUUUUUAUCACUAACUUAAGUAUCAUUUUCUUCAACGGUCUUGUAAACUAAUCACAGAUGUCGAAGUUUAAUUGUCGCUAAACAUUUAGCUCAAAUUUUGAUGAUUAGAGAACCACUAAAAUCACGAAAAGAUAAAUAUAACACUAUCAAGGGGUUUAGAUGAAAUACACAGCGAUCAAGUGAAAUUUAAUUCUUCGCAUGAUCAUGUUGUAGGAAUUAAAUUCAACAUGUGAUUCAUUCAAUACACUUCAUGAGUACUAGUCUGUAAUAAGGACAAAUCACAAACAUGAAUAAUGAAUCGGUCAACACUACAACCGUUCAGUAGAAGAUGUCAACUCUUAUACAUUGACUGUAAACAAAUUAUUUAUGAUUAAAAUAUAAGUUGUGUCACACUGUAUUUCUCAAUGCAUGUAUCCAAUUUAUAUUAUCACAAGUAAUCAAAAAACUUUAAUUUGCAUGCUCAAUAAUAAAUAAAUACAAUAAAUAAAAUAAACACAAUUUUAUUUAAUAUAAGAAUAUUGUUAUUUUUACAUCGGCAAAACUAUACUAUAUAUAUAUGCACGCCCCAAUAACAAUUGCUCUAUUGGCCUGAUUAUAACAUUCUGCUACUCUAAGGCUAAUUAGAUGCUGCUUUUCUUGGAACUGUAUGAAAUAAUUGUGAAUUGGUUUCUAUCUAAUUGACAUGUUUUCUAUGACAUGGUACAUUACAAAUCAUGUUUAGUGUUCAAGAUCAAUUAAAUGUAUAGAGUAAAUGGGAGUAACGAUGUUGUUGGGUUGAUAUUUUGGUAUAUAUCCAUAAUUUUGAGCACAGGGAGAAAGCUGAGAAAGCCCCGAUACUAGCUAUGAGUUAGAUGCACGAAUAUUAUGUGUAUUAACAUAUAAUGUAUGCAGAUUAUUCCUUUAGUAGCAUGCCAACUUUGGUUGGCUCCUGAUCUGAUAAUAGGUUAUUCAAAGUAUUUCAACUAGAAUGGAUAGGUAGAUAUUCGAUAACAAUAGAGGUUCUAGCCGUAAGUAGGUUUUCGUUGGCGGCAUUAUCCCCCUCGGUCACUCAACAACUCGAGAAAGUACCUAAUUUACAUAGGGAAAAUAAGAAAAGCAGAAUUUUAUGCAUCGUGUUUUCCCCAUCAAACUUAUUUUUAUUAUAUAACUUCUAAGACAAUAAAACUAAGUCAUGAAAUUUGCCCCACUAAAAAACUUCCUAUAUUCACUUUUAUUUUUUAUUUUUUUUGGGGCUUGCAAAUCAUUUCUUAUGCAUAAGUAAUUGUUGCAACUAACUGAUAUUCGCUACAUGCAGAUGUACUCUACCGUAGAAUAAAUGAAGCAAUGAUAAGAAUUAAUUAUGAAGAGAAGUAAGAGACAAGAGAAGGAACGAGGGAGGCGAGAGAGAGAAACUUUUUAAGCUUAGCCAAACAAUGUUGUAAGCAAAUAUCUUGCAUAAUCCAUGAUAACCAAUCCAUCUCAAAGGAAGUUUGUACAUUUUCCCUCAUAAUAUGACUUGACGGUGACAAGAGUAUUCUAAUUAAAGCCUAUGGAGGUGGACUAUUGAGAGCUUAUAUGAAUAUUAUAAAGAUGAAAUUUUGAAGAACAAAAAGCACUAGCCAUACCAGUGUGAAAUAUAUUUCAAAUGACAGAAUGAAACUUAAUUGAAGGAACACGUUUUAACAAUAUUUACAGUGAACCAUAAAUUUGAUCAUGGGCCACAAUUGCAUGACUAUUUGUUUGAACUCAUGAAGUUUGUUCUAUAAAUCAUGAUAAAGAAUUCAUCUUGCGACAAAGGCAUGCUUUGGAUCAACGAAGCUUCUUUCUUAGCUAAGAGUCUAUAGCCUUUGUUUUUCAAUAAAAAGUGUGUACAAUUUGAUCAACUCGUCAAUGAAUAUUCCGUACAAGUCUUCAAUUCGACAUAUACGCCUUUUAAAAUUGCAUUUAGUCAUAAUUUUAUGUUCCAAGCAAAUAAUUUUAUGAUUUAUUCUUCUCAAUAUUAGGAUCUGGGGUUAACAUUGUUAAGAAUGGCAGCUCAAACCCUUAUAAAUUGAUCUAUGUUUUUAUCUUUAUUGAAUGUGAAAUUUUAUCUCUUAACAAUCAAGUUAUUAGUAAGUACUGGAUCCGUAAAAUGAAACUUAGCAUGUCAUUAAGAAAUCCAUUCGUUAAUAGGAUUCAAUUAAGCUUUUGUUGCCAAUUAUGAGUUGAUGCAUGGUUAAAUGACAUUCAAACACUUGAUAUACUUGAUAACUUGUUAAACUGUUAAUAUGGGUCGCACUUUGAGGGUUCUGAAGUAGUAGAACGAUAGAAUGACCACUUUUCGAGUAUUAUUGACAUUAAUAUUUUUCUUAAUUUCCAAUGAGUUUAAAUGAAUAAAUCUAGAGAUCAUAGUAAAUAUGAGGCUUAAGGAGAAUUUACAAUGAUUUCAGUAUGUUUGAAAAGUCAAUACGGUUAAACUCAGCAAUGGCAAUCCAACUUUAUAAUUUGUGUCAUCAUUGCCACUUAAUUUAAUUUUGUUUCAUCAUGGCCACUCAACUUUAUACUUAGUGUCACUAUUGCCACCAAAUUUGAUUUUAUUUCACCAUAUCCACCCAAAAUUAUAUAACGUUUCACCAUGGUCAUCCAACUUUUUUUUUUUUUUCACUACUUUCACUAAUUUUAAAAUAGGUAAAAUAAUAAAUUUGUAUUAUAUAUAAAAUAAAUUUAAAAUAAAAACUUAUUUUAAUAAAAUAAAAUAAAAUAAAAACUUAUUUUUUAAAAAAAAUUUACUUAGAAAAAUAAAAUAAAAACUCAUUUAAAAAAAUAAACAUUUUAAAAAUAAAAUAGAAACUUAUUUUUAAAAAAAAAGUUACCCAGAAAAAUAAUAUAAAAUAAAAAUUUAUUUAAAAAAAGUUCGUUUAAAAAAUAAUAAAAAAUCAUUUAAAAAAAAAGGUUACUUAGAAAAAUAAAAUAAAAUAAAAACUUAUUUUAAAAUUAAAAAAAAUCAUUUUUUUAAAAUUUAUUUUUAUAUAUUUAAUACAAAGUUACCAUUUUACCCCCUUUCAAAUUAGUUAAAAAAUAUAUAUAUAUAUAUAUUGGGUUGCCAUGGUGAAAUGUUAUACGAAAUUAGGUAACCAUAAUUAAAUAAUAUAUGGAAUUGGGUGGUCAUGAUGGCAUUAAAGGAUUUAUUCAACUUUAGGGUUUCAUUGUAUUGUUCAAAGUAGUUGCUUAAAUACUUCUCUCUUGUACUCAUAUUUGAUAUAGUAAAAAUUAAUUUCUUACAUUUUUGUGAAUUACAAGUACUUGAUAGUUCAAAUGAAGUAAACCUAAUUUUACUUGUGGGUCAUUUGGCAUUCACAUAUUAUAACUAAUUUACUUGUGGACUAAAUAUGUAUAAACUAGAGAAAAAGUCAAUUUCAAUAUACGGAGACCAAGAUGAAUCUAUCAUAGGAAAUCAGGACUUAUUAUUAAUUAUUAAGAUAUUUUCCCCAAAAUUAAUUCCCCAAAUAAAUUACACACAUCUACAUUGAAAUUUGCUUGUUUGGAACUUUGAGUAUGCGUGUAUGAUAAUUGACAAAUAAUGAUUGAACAAGUAAUCACACUCCCAUAAUUUCCUGAAACGAACUCAAAUCUCCACGCAUUAAAGAUUGAGUCAAUACUAUUGAAAAUAGAUAUAAUUAAAUAAUUAAAUUCACAUAUUCGGCACUAAUUUUAAUAUUUAAAUAUAGUGAUCAUUUGACAUCUUACUAGUGUUACCAGAGCACGUGUGAACCAUAAUAUUAAACACAUCUGAUUUGUUUACUGUCCAAUGUAAAUGGAUAUAAAGACUUCAAGGGGCAUUGCAUAACAUAUUCAAAGUCUCCAACUAAAUAAAGUCAUCAUGUCCUCAACUUAUCAAAAAGUUAAUACCUUUAAGGUAUCUGCCAAAGAAAGGCAAGAAAAUUGACAUCCCCACCAUCUAUAUACACCAUUUGACACUUGUCUUAACGAUUAAGAAUAUGUAUGAUCAUCAUUUACUAAAACUCAUAAAUAUGUUUGUGAGUUUCAAAAUUUAUUUUCAAUCAUACAUUUCAUGGAAUUCACAACUUUUUAUCUUCUUUUCAAUCAAGCUCGACCAAAGCCACUUAGGCAAUGGCCCAAGGCCUUAGAUAUUUGAGGAACCUCAAAAAUAAACCAUUUGUUCUCUAGUUCUUGCAGAAAGUGGAAAUAUAUCUUGUUAUUGCACAAUGCAUAUUAUUGCAUGACAGGAAUGACGAUUAUGGUUUGCCAAAGAAAUGAAGGUACUUUCCUUGGUUUCCUCCUUCUGCUUUAUUUCCACUAGUCAUUCAUUUUCCAAUAUGGGUUGAUUUCCUUUCCUAGAAAAUAUGCUCAUGCCAAUUUCCUAAAUUUGUGGAUUUAAUUGAAACUCAAAAAAGUUUGACCAUAUUUUCUUGCCUUCAUUUCAGUCCACGAGAAUCUUUAAUUUGUGGAAUUACACACAUUGAAAGAACAUUUUAGUCCAACCUAUCUUUUCCAUCCAAUCUCAUCUAUGCAUGGACGUACAUUAUGUGUUGGUUGGAUAAAUACUGGAAAUUAUAAAAGAAAAUAUUAGACAGCAUUAAAGAAUAAACAACAAUCACAAAUUCACGACAUAUUUAGAAGAUGCUGCCAAAGAAAUCCAUUUUAAGAGCUUUUAAUCAAUUCCAAACAAGCUUUUAGCUCUCAACAUUUUUCAUGAGCUCGAUUUAUAGUACAAAUUAAACAAUAAAAAGACAUUAAGCCCCUGUUUGGUUCUCAUUCUUUCCUCAUUAAAAUAAAAAAUACGACCGUUAUUCAUUAUAUCAAGUCACCAAAUUUGAAUUUCUAUCUCUUGUGUGAGGCCCGUAACGACUAUAUUUUUCAUUCUCAUUCUUCGAAAAAUGAGAAACAAACAGGAACUAAAACUUUUUCGAUAGUAAUCUACAUUUUUUUCCAGCACUAAGCAUGGCACCUAAAUAUGAUAGUAAACACAUGGGCCUUUCCCGUUUUAAUAGGAAUCCUCAUCUUUGAGUUAAAUUAGUCGUUAUUAUGUCCUCUGAGUAUGUUUCCUCAAGGAUCAAUAGACACUAGCUAAAUUUUUUUUUUACAUUUUACUCAAACUCGUGUAUUUCAUGUUGAACUGCCUCGUAUAGAAAUUCCGGGAGAUUAAGUUAUGAGAAAAAAGUUAUGUUUAAGGGCGUUGUAUUUACUAAUACACGUUUCUUCCAAGGAUCAAUGCGUAAAAAUAUCAUACCAGAGGGCCUCAUCAUAAUUAUUUGCUAGCCCUGAGAACCUGACCCCAAUAGUCCCUUUUCUACGAAUAACCUUGGUGAGCCUUUCUUCGUCAACGAAUCUAGUUCACAGAUUCGCCUCAUUUUCUCCAUCAACAAGCUUAGCUUGCGGUUUUGCCUCACCGAGUGACUCCAAUAAGGUACAUCAACAAACCUGGAAGUUGUUACCAUGUAGAUGAAUAUUUGGAUCCCUAGAUUCUGACAUUUGCUCAGCAGCUUAGCACUCUGAGGAUGACAGGAUUCAUGCAGCCCAGUUUCACACCGAACAAUUAUUAAGCAACAGGAAAUCUCUUUCAAUGUGGAUGAGGAAUUUUAUUCAGCAACACAGGUGGUGUGCGCUCUAAACUGACUGCAAGGAGCCACGUUCUGAAUUUCUAGAGACAAUCUUGAAACCAAUACUAUUAUACUAAUCUCGGCAAGUUUAAUAAAUAUUUUGGUUUUCCUUCAGAAUCCCAUGGCCAGUCCCUCCGUUGUGGCACAACUCUGGUGCCUGUCAGGAUGGAUCUAGGAUUGGAUCCAAGAUCGGCUACAAAAUUUCAAGCUGGGCUAAUACGCGAAAAAAAAAAGUUUUACACACAAAAAACCAGAAGCUGGAGGUGAGGGUGCGCUGGAACUGCCUCGACAACAUUUGCUGGAGGUUGCGGUGUACCCAGAAGCCUCAAAAGUCAUAGUUGGAGGUUUAAUUUUGGUUUAGACAUUUUAUCGAUCGUCUGAUGGACGAAGUAGCGCUUUGAUUUUAUGAGAACAAAUAAAGGCUGCCUCUAAUCCCAUGCUCAACACAAUAUCCCAAUUAUGCCCAUUUUAGAAUAUCCGCGUCCUACAUAGGCGAAAGACAAGGAAGAGACAUUAUUUAUGAACAUGGAGAGGUGUCCCAUGGUUCAACGCGAGGCUUGAAUUGAAUAUCUCCACUAUUUGAGAAAAAUCUAAAAGACUUUCAUACAGCAGGUGGCGGCCCAAGGUUUUUACCACCACUACCAGUGCAGGAAUAUUCGGAGCCGUCGGAACUGACUACCACUGCGUCUGCCUCGACAGCAUUCAACGAAGGCUACGAGAGCCAAGAUAGCGGUGGGAGCACCGGGGCCAGAUCUGGGCCCAGUGUUCAGUCUAACACGCAGAGUUGUACUUGGUCCGCCGAGAUCAAGGGGGAUCGAGAUCGAGUGGCCUGUAGGUCGCAACGCCGGUGUUACAGGAGCCUCGGUGGCGACGGGAGCACCGAGGCUAGAUCUUGGCCCAGUGUUCAACACCGAGACCAAGGGGGAUCGAGAUGGAGAGGCUUGUUGGUCCAUCGUACCUGGAUUGUUUUAACGACUAUGGAGGCGAUUCUCAUCAGUUGGAUUUUAGAGUGUUUUUGAUUGAUAUGAAAAAUAUUCUCUAGAAAAGAAAAUACUUUUCAUCUUUUGUGAAAAAUAAAAAUCACCUCUAAUCAAGGAAAAUAUUUUUUUAAAAAAUAAGAAAAAUUAGGCAUAUUUUCAAAAGUCGAAAAAUAUUUUUCAUAAAAAAAAUAGCAAUAAAACACUUAAAAUAAAAAUUUAAGUGAAAAAUUAAUAUUUUUCAUAAAAAAAAAUGUAAUCAAACACACUCUUAGUCAAAAUAUUGACAGUUACUCAGCAAAAUUUAUAGCAUUGCACCGUAAAUUUGAGCUGCAAUUAUUGACCAAAUUUUACAAAAUUACUUAUAUAUCCUUUUGACAUUUAAUUUAUUCUGUUUGAAUGAAGGGCAUUUGUGGUAAUUUAACAAAUAUUGAGUCGCCCACAUUUCCAAACAAUCCAAAAUUUCCUUAAAAUCUUGUGAGAUUAGCCUCCUAAUAAUCGCACAAUUAAUUCUUGACACAUAUUAAUUUACUGGGUUAGUGGUGAAGUUAAUGAUGAUAAAUUUAAAAUAACAUGUCAAUUAUUGAUGACAUGUCAAUAAUUAAUUAAAUGGACAGUAAAAUUGGACAAUAGCUCGACUCUAUUUUCUACAAAGGUAUAUAUGUCAUUAUAUAUUUUUAUUAAAUAGCUUAUAACAACUUAUUUUUUCAUUAUAUUUGAGCAUCAACAAAAUAUUUUUGACAUAAAUCAUCAUCAAUGACGAGAUGUACUAAUUAAUGAGAAGUUGAAAAUAAGAAUUCGACGAAAAAAAUUACUACAACGAGCAAAAUAAAAUAUAGUGUAACUAAUAAAAAUUAUAGUGACAAUACAACCAUCCUAAAAUAGAACUUGACAUCCCUUUGUAGAGACACAAAAAAACCACCGGAGAGGUGAUUCUUUCAUCCUAUGUGAAUCUUUGAAACACGGUUUUUUGCGCUAAUUACAUUAGCUAUGUGCUAACAGAAAUGCAAUACAUAAGAGGCAAAUAAACAACUUGAAAACAUUAUUGUUCUUUCCAAAUAACUAUAUUUAAUAACUGACUCAAAGCUCCAGAUUUGUAUUUGGCCUAAUCUUGCUGAAUAUGUCCACUCACCUGUGAUUCUACGUCGGGUUUCUCGUCAACAUUUAUUGUUGUGGUCAUAUAUAUGUUAAGAACAGGAAUUGUUGGCAGCAAAAGUUGAAAACUCAACUUAAAACUCCUCCACAUGCUAGAGAAACACGUAGUGCAGAAGGAGAGCAGCAUAAUUAUGGGGUAGAUAUACCAAAAGACAUCUUGUGGGAAGAACAGUGAGGCCAAGGAACAAACCAAUAGGGAAAUUGAGUAAUUCUUGAGUUGAAUACGUACAUAUCGUAUAUCAACCUGAGGUGUCAAUGGGAUGUUAAUGGAGAUGAAGGAGAAGAGAAAGAAUAAGAUAGUGAGAAGCCAAAACUUGAUCCAAGUGAAGUUUCCAAUUACUAUACCAAAUGGAUCCCAUUCCCAAGGCAUGGAUGUAUAUGAUUUCAAUAUGUUCACAACGAAUAGGGCAACGUAUCUCAGAUCAAAAUAUGGCAUUAUUUUUCUUUAGGAACUGAAUGCUUGGGUGAGAGAAAUUAAGGAGAAGUGAUGAAAUAAAUAUGUCGAUGAUACUUGCCCAGCCAUUUUGAUUUGGUACUCUAUAUAUAUAUAUAUAGUUGUACUACACACUAACCGUGCUUGGUUUUGCUUUAGUUUAUUUGAAUGUUGGGAGCUAACCGUGCUUGAUUUUGCUUUAGUUUAUUGCUUGGUUUUGCUUUAGUUUAUUUGGAUGUUGGAUAUUUAGAGCUAACCGUGGUUGGAUUUGCUUUAGUUUAUUUGGAUGUUGGAUGUUUAGAGCUAACCGUGGUUGGAUUUGCUUUAGUUUAUUGCUUUAGUUUAUUUGGAUGAAUUAUUUGGAUGUUGGAUGUUUAGAGCUAACCGUGGUUGGAUUUGCUUUAGUUUAUUGCUUUAGUUUAUUUGGAUUUCAUCCAAAUAAACUAAAGCAAAUCCAACCGAAAUGAAAUCCAAAUAAACUAAAGCAAAUCCAACCGAAAUCCAAAUAAACUAAAGCAAAUCCAACCACGGUUAGUGAUAUAUCAGAGAAUGAAGUCUCCUGGAUGUUUCCUUGGUUUUGCUUUAGUUAAGCAAUAAACUGAAAAAGCAUAUUUGGAUGUUUCUAGACAUCCAAAUAAACUAAAGCAAUAAACUAAAAAUGCAUAGUUGGAUGUUUCUAAACAUCCAAAUAAACUAAAGCAAUAAACUAAAGCAAAACCAAGCACGGUUAGACCAAUUACUUUUAAACCAAUUCCAACAGUUGCUACGCGGGUUCGCAUCAAAAAGACUAUUUCAAAGUGUGGAGUACUCAUAAGCCAAAACUAUUGACGGUCAUCUCUUCGUAGUUAAUUAAGACCAUGUUUGAGUCACAUUUUUUCAAAAAAAUACAUUUUUCCAUAGUGAUUUGAUAUCAUUUAAACCACACAUUCUUUAAUAAAAUAAUAUUGCACGCAAAUCCAAAAUUUUUCCUUAUUUUUUAACCACACAUUUUCCAUCAAUACACUAUUCAAAAAUAAAUUUUCAUUCCAAUGAUGUGACUCAAAUAAGGGCUAAAUCUUCUUUUGUUUUCCAUCAUUACUAAAGAAAUAUAUUUCCAAAAGCGUUAAAUUUGAAACAUAUCUUAUCUUCCGUCUCUCUAAUUCUCUACCUGAAGCUAAAGAGAGAAAAAUGAUGUCGAGUGGUAGAUAGGGAUUGCAAAAAAAUCCCGUCAAAUCCGAUAUCCGUGGGGCCCGCUCGAACUGGGUGGGUAUUACCCACUUAAUUGGCUAUUCAGGUUGGGUUCGGGUUGGGAAAUUUCGUUGUGAGGCUGGUAUGGGUAAUGCACGCCCUGUCCCGUCACACACACACACACACACACACACACACACACACACACACAUAUAUAUAUAUAGGAAUUUAGCACUUUAAAUGAAAAACUUCACAAAAUUUCAUUAAUUCUAAUAGAAGAUGACAAUUAAAAUUAUAUGAGGAAUAUGAAAAUCAAUAAAAACCUUAGUUUACCAAAUAUAUUCGAAUAAUUUAACUUUCAGAAUAAAUAAAUUAAUUAAAAAAUUUUAAUAACUAAAUUAUUGUCUCACUUUAAUGAAUGGAGACAAUAAUGAAUUAUCAAAAACUAAAUAAAAAAGGGAUACGUAGACGGGAUAAGGCACUGCCCUACCUUAAACGGGUAAAGGGGCAGGAAAUUGCUCAGCGGGGGUAGGUAAACGGGUAAAGAGGCGGGAAAUUGCUCAGUGGGGGUAGGGCAGGGAACCUACCCCAUUGUCAUCCCUACUAGUAAAAUAGUUUCUCUUGAUGAAACAUUAAACUAGUAAUAUUAUUCACGUCAAAUUUUUUCCUCUUUCAAAAUUUCCAUAUGUUCUCAUUUUUUAGUAUAACUAGUCUUCAUCUUGUGCGUUACACGAGUAUUGUAUUUAUUAUGUUGUUAUUAAUGUGGAAUGUGUAGAGUUUAUAUUAUUCAAAAAUUGUCAAUACUGGUGCAUGAUGUUGGAACUAUGAAGUCAGAAUAAUACUUCACCUUAUCCAAUUCAACUGAUACAGAAAAGAAACUGAAUGAUUUAACAAAUUAAACAACAUAAAUUACAGACAAAAAUAAAAAAAGAAACAAAAAAAAAUGUUAUUAUAAAGUUUUUAAAUUAAAUUGAAAUAAUUAAAAGUAAAAAUAAAUAUUAUUUAAUUAAAAUUGAAAAAAAUUGCAUUUUAAACGAAAAGAAUAAAAAAGAAUUUUAAAUUGAAAAAAAAACAUUUAUAAUAUGAAGAAAACAAAUUUUUUAAAACAAUUUUCAAAAAAUAUAUAUAUAAUAAAAACAAAAUAAAAGAAAGUUACGAAAAUUAAAUAAAGAAAAUAUAAAUAUUAUUUAGUUGAAAUUGAAAAAUUAAGUUUUAUUAUGAAGAGAAAAGAAUUAAACAGAAUUUUAAAUUGAAAAAAAUAAAAAUUUAUCUAUAGCAUGGAGACUUUUGUCUCCGUGAUUUUUUAUUUUUAUUUUUGUUUAUUUUUUUUUCUAAAGCUAAUAUCCUUUUACAUGUAUAAGUAACUACAAUGAUAAUUUUUUUUUCUUUUAAAUAACUUGAAGCAAAUUUUUACUUAUAAGUAACUCUUUACAUUUUAGAAAUAUACUUAAAACUUUAAGUUAAUAUUUUUUUACUUAUAAUAUAAGUAGCUUUUACAAUUAUAAUUUUUUUUUAACUUUUAAAUAACUUGAAGCAAUUUUUUUCUAUAAUUUAUACAAGUGUGGUUGAGUACGGAGUGAAGAGAUGAGACUUGAUGGGGAGUAUGGAAAGUUGCGUGUUGAAGUAAAUUUAGAUUGCCUCUUUUUUACUAUAUAAUAAAAUAUAUAUCAAGUAAAGACAAAUGACGUCGUUUUUUUGCUCCCCCACUUAUUAAAAAAAAAAAAUGCUACAGUGACACAAAAUGAAACAAAACAUUGUUCACUUCAACAAUAUCUCCACAUUCCCCUUUUUAUAUAGUAGGGAUAACAAACUAAAAUGCCAUAAAAAUAUUUGAUCGAUUCAAUUAUUAAUUCUUUUCUCUAUAUAUAUAUUUUUUAUCUCAUUUAUAUUAAGAGCCUGUUUGAGCCCGAUUUUUUCACCAAAAAAAUUGAUUUUUUGACCGUUAUUUUACUAUUUCAGCCGUCAUAUUUGACUUCUUCUCUCACAGAUGAACCCCACUUUUCUCCUAACGGUCAAAAAAUCAAUUCUCAAAAUCACUCCCAAACAGGCUCUAAUAUGAGAAGUGGAUCGAAUAAAAAUUAAUUGCAAUCAAAUUUAUUAAUUGAUUUUUAUCUCUAUAUAUGUCAUUUUGAAAAGACAACAUAUUUUGUCAAAAUGUUUUGAUAUAUUUAUGCAUUAAUUAUUUUUAUAUAUUAUUAGCGGUUCGAUCUCGAUUUAAUAUUUCAACCCUUGACCCUUUAACUUUUUCGGAUUUAUGGCCAGUUACGUUUUCUAAACAUUGGAUAUUUGUCUAAUAUAUAUAUAAUCACCAGUAUUGUCCAACCACCACAUAAUGAAUGUUGAUGCAAAGAUGCCAUUGGAUGAAAAGGAUUGGUUGGAUAGUAUGUUCUUCCAAUAUACACGGUAUUAAUUAUAAAAAUCAAAGAUUUGACAAAGAUUCUCAUUGACCUGAAAUGAAGACAAGAAAAUGUGGCCAACUUUUUGAACCUAUAUAGGUAAAUAAAUGACUGCGUGGAAGUAAAGCGAAAGGAAGAAACCAAGAGAAGUGCCUUCAUUUGCAUACCCAGCAUUCUUGUCACACAAUAAUUUGUAAUAGAAGAUUUCCGAUUUGUAAAAAAUUUAAUUGACUGAUGAUGAUUUGUCAAUAAAUAAUGUAUUUAAACUAUUUAUUAAAGGAAGAAAAUUAUAUAAGUAAUCAAACUAAAAUUAUAAAAUAGUGUUUUAUAUUGGUUAUGUUAUAAACAAUUUAAAUUAUAAAAAGAUUUAUUGAGCAAUAGAUGAAAAAUAAAAGAAGUAAAUAAAGAAUAAUUUUUUUGUUGACAAUAAACGACCAAAGUAAUGUCGAUGAAUGCCACAGACAUUAUGAUCAAUAACUGCUACCCGAAGUGGGUUGGUGAAUUACGAAUCAUUGACUGUAUUGAUGAUAUUUCAUCUCGAGAUACCAUAAGUGAUCAUUAAUGUUUAACAAACUAAAUUUUUUUGAUGAUAGUUUCGUCAAUAAAUAAAGUCGUUAAAAUUUAAUAUUAACAAAUAAAUAUUAUGUUGUUAAUACAAUUAAAACUUGAAAAUAACAUAAAAUUAAAAAAACCAAAGAUUUCUUAAGUUACUUCAAAAUAAUUAAAAAAAAAAAAAAAAAAAAAAAACCAAAAAUUUUUUAAGUUUCUUAAAAAAAAAAAAAAAAAAAAAAAAAAAAAAAAAGGAAGCUUCCCUACCGCAUAAUGAAUAACCAAAGCACCGUUGAUGAUUGCCACUUACAUAAGCUUUUACUGUAAAUUGCCAUAUGGUAGAUGUUAUCUGCUUGGGUUUAUAAUCAUCACAUUUGGUUUCUUUAAAGUUGAUGAAGGUGAAGUAAUUUCCCAGCUACCAUUCAAUGGUAUAUUACAUUAAAUUCCACUGUUAAGGUAUCUAAUAAAUAAUUUUUUAUUUACUAGAUGUCUAUGUUUUGCUUUGAAGUCCAGGUUUGGAUAUGAGACCAAAAAAAAAAAUAAUAAUAAUAAUAAUAAUAAAAUAAAAAAAAUAAGAUUUGAAAAUGAGAACAAAAAAAAAUAAUAAUAAUAAUAAUAAUGAUGAUGAUGAUGAUGAUAAUAAUAAUAAUAAUAAUAAUAAUAAUAAUAAUAAUAAUAAUAAAAUAAGUAAAUAAUCGUUACAAAUGAAGUGGAUGUUGAGAAUUAAAAAUUAUAAUUUUAUUCUAUCAAGAGUAAUCAAUUGAAGAAAUCAAAAUAAACACUCAAGAGCAUGCAAGAUUUAUAGGGGUUGGCCUCAAUGUGAAAUUAUGUCAUCUUCCAUUUAUGCAAUAACUCACUAUGAUAAAAAAAAAAAAAAAAAAAGGGUUUAAAAAAAAAAACCCACCCCCUCCCCCUUCUCCCCCAUUGCACACCUCUCUCUCUCUCUCUCUCUCUCUCUCUCUCUCUUCCCUUAUCAUAAUUAUAAAGUCUAACCACGGCUCCCUAUUUAUCAGGUUUGUAUAUGAGACCCCAAAAAAAAAUAAUAAUAAUAAUAAUAAUAAAAUUACAAAUGAAGUGGAUGUUGAGAAUUAAAAAUCCUAAUUUUAUUCUAUCAAGAGCAAUCAAUUGAAGAAAUAAAAAUAAACACUCAAGAGCACGCAAGAUUUACGGAGGUUGGCCUCAAUAUGAAAAUACGUCUUCUCCCGUUGGUGCAAUAACUCACAAUGAUGAAAAAAAAUGUUUACAAAAGAAAUCGCACUCCUAUCUUCUCUAACCUCGCUUUCUCUCUUUUUUUUCCUUAUUAUAAUUAUGAAGUCUAACCAUGGCUCCCAAUUUAUAAGAUAAAUAAAGGCAAAAUAAAAUUUUACAAUAACUCCAAUUUCUUAAUAGAAUUUUACAAUAUUACAAAUUUCAAAACAGUUCUUAGAUUAUAUUUUGGUUCGGGUGUCUCCGUCCCCUACCCCCUGGGGCAUCCUGCUCCCUUCCAACUCCCAUGGCGACCUCACCACAGAGAUUGAUCACCACCAACUUCACAAAAUGAUAAUAAUUAAAAUCGACAAUAAUUAAAAUCUACAACUCAACAGUAAAUGAUCACUUGAAUUCGGCAAGUGAUGUGCUAAUGGUACAGGCAAGGACACUUCUACAACGAAUUUUGGUGGUGCUAUGCAAGCAGAGGUAUGUUUUCAGAUAGAGUAUAAGAAAGAGAUCGAAUACUGAAUUUUCGUCUUGCAUUGUCUUAUUCAUUAAAGUAUGCAUUUAUAGACCAACAAAGUAGAGCGAAUUCCAUUUCAGAUUUGAUUAAGUCAAUGGAUAAUGAGAUUCAUUAAUUUGAUUUUCAAAAUGAGUCCUUUGUUUAGACAAGUUGAUUCAAAGUAACGCGUGUCGAGUACUUCUACCAUGUGUUCAUACAUGGACCAGUGAAGGGGCGAACAAGGCAGUGGAAUGAGGGGAACCACAACAGAGGAGAAUUUGAUUCCAUAAUUUGAAAAAACCGGCCAAAGUAUAACAAAAGUGGGCAAGAGUAAAAAUGAUAAAAUGAGAAACUCAGCCUCAAUUGCUUUAUAUACUAAAAAAAGAUGUUACAGUUUAAAUAACAAGUUUUACAAACUACGAUAACGAGUAAAAAGUCUAUGCACCAUUUGGUACAACAGAAGUAAAACACGUUGAUCUAUCAAUAUCCAAUUGUACAAACAGCGAAAGCUGGAAUAGAGUUUGGGUCAUCUACUCCAGCUUGCAUCUGGCAAUGGAUCUUUUUUGCCACACAUUGCCAAGAAAACCUUAGAGACCGACCUAGUGUGAGUGAACACUGGAGUUGUGCAUAGAAGAUGCACUUGGAGAUGUCGCACACCAUUCGUACCAAACUUAUGAUAAUUAAAUUAGAUGCAAUAAUAUCAGGUGCGACAUACAGAGUUAAGUAAUUCGCAACCUAUAUUCUCUAUUUCUUGCACAGUGUUUUUAUGCAUAUCCUAUGACUAAAAGGACAUUCCAAAAAUUAGAUGGAUCAAACCCACCAACCUAAAACAAAUUCUAAUUCACUUCUUGCCCAUAGAGAAUAAUAAUAACCAUUUUCAGCGUCAAGUACACAAAUUGCCAGUAUAUCCAUUACUUAAGGCUACGCAACAUAAAAAUUUAUUUAGAUAAUUACCAUAUUAUUUAAAUUAAACCUCACAAAAAAAAUAGACGCCAUAAAAAAUAUGCUAAACCAUCAGUUAAGUGAGUUACCUUGGUAGAACCACAACAAAGCCAAAAAUUGACCUCCAAAUGAGUAUUUGGUGUCACACAAACUGGCAUCGUCAAUGGGAAAAAUAUUGGAAACCUGCAGAAAUCAAAGCCAACCAAAAGAUAGCAAUCAUCUCAAGGACAACAUAUUUACUCCAAUGUACAAUUUCUUUCACGGUGCAUUAUAUGUUUUCAGAGAUUUUUUUUUUUCGUUUGAAUUUGCAUCUUGUAUCUCCAAAGGAUGGUUCUGAAGUACUCUUUUAUCAUUCUAUAUUUCUAUUUCAAAACUAACAGGGAAACUUAAGCGAUAAAACUAGCUAGGCCUUUUCAACCAUAUUCUAUGACUCAUGGUUGAGCCAGCAUCAGGAGGUAAAUCGAACCGAAGCUUCUUAUAACCCUGAUUGCUGUUUUUAGUUGAAUGCUCUGGAUGGAUAAAUGUUAAGACCUCAGCAAGAAAAUAAUAGAAGGGUAUGAAUUUCUAGAACUUUCAUUCUACAAAUAUCAACUGUUUCAAUAAAUUAUAAAAAUUAAUUUUACGGAUUGAGUUGGAGCAAGCCUCGCUAUACGAUGCAGCUUGACAACAUAAGCAGUUUUAUAGUGCAUAAGAUCUUUAUGUGACUUGAUCUUUAGCAUUCCCAAAAUAAAGCCACCAAAAAUGUAAGAGAAGUGAGUAUGAAAAAUUUAAGCAUACACAAAUAGACUAUGAUACUGGAUUUGUAAAUUCAGAAAGACAGAAUUUACAUCAUUGUAUAAUUUUGAUGCAGUUCCACUUUGAGUUAGGCAAGUUGUAGCCCCUAUCACUCUCCAAGUCAUUUUCUAUUUUGUUGAGAAGACUUAUAGCAUGUGACUAACUAUAAAUUUCAAAGCAAACUCCUAUUUAAUUCAUCUUUUCACUUUGUCAAUUUCCUUUUGUAUUACUGUGUCCUUCUCCUUUUGACUAAGUGUUAUUCAUUUUCUCCUCUCAGAUGAGGAUAAAUAUUUAUUUAUAAGUUAGAUUUUUUUGAGAGAAGUUUUAAAGUAGAUAUUUUUCUUACAUAGAGUCACGAUAAGACAAGUCUUUAUCAUUAUAAUGUUUUUGUUUUGUUUAAAAUAUAAUCUCGAUCAAAAUCAAAUUUUAAUUCUAAUCAUGCAUUUCGUAUGAUCCACUACUACUAUCAAUUUAUUUUGACACUUAAUUUCUACAAUUUAUAAUUUCUUCCAAACAAGGACAAAGCAUCCUAUAAUCAACUAAUAAACUUUGUGGGGGCAAAUAUUCCCUUUCAUGGAUUUUGAUGGUCAAUUUGCAAAACAUAUGUUAUCUUUUACUUUGUCUUUGUUUACCACUAAUUAGUUAACAAUAAAUUUGAUACAUUAAAAACACUUUAAUAAGUUAAAAUAGAUAUAUAGUUUAACAUGACAAAUGGGUUAGUUAGAGGGGAAAUGCAGAUCAACGAGGCGAAGAGGCAAAUGAUAGUGGGAAGGUGGGAUUGGGAUUGAGGAAGAGACAAUAUUGUUUUCAAAAAAUAUCAAUAGAAGAAACAAUUUGUGGAAGUGGCUCUUUUUAAAAAAAUUUCCCCUUCAAUUUGCUUCUCCUAUUGACGGCAGCAAGGUUUUUGUCGACGGCAACAGGGUAGGGGGGACCUUCUCCUUUUUGAAUUUCAGUUGGCAGGUGGGACAUUUUAAUCUUCAUUUUUCGUCCCAUUUAUUUAUUUGUUUACAUAUUUAUGUAUUAUUAUGUGUUUAAAUUUAAAUUAUAUUCAAAAAAAUAAAAAAAAAAUAUUAUGAGUCAUGGACGAGUCUAUGAUGGAGAUCAUGUUUCCUAACCCAAUAGAAUUCUCGACCUUCAAUCCGCAUCACGCCCCAUCCUACAUUGUCUCGAUUUGAAUAGUAAACAGGGCGAGACGCAGAACCUAUAGUUCGCAGUUUCGAAUUUUCCAGACUAGCUCCGAAUCAUUUUUCAUUAUUAUGUCAUUCUUUUAUUGUUAUGUUCUUCAUUUAAAUCAUAUAAAAUAAUUAAUUAAAUGAUAGAUAAUAAUGGUUUUUUUUUUUAUAUUUCACCCUGCCCUACCUUCUGAAAAAAAGCAGAAUGGAACAAGAAUGGUAUGCUGGCUCCCACCCACUGUCAUCCUUAAUUUCAAAUCUCCUGUUUGGCGGAGUAACAUGAGAUUGGCAUUUUUUUAAAGAUUUCCUCAAAUAACUUGGCAUAAAAUAAAAACAAUGAUAAAUAUAUCCACCGUAAAAUAGUGUCCUCUCUAAAAGAUAAGUAUAUUCUCCAUUGAUUCCCACUUGUUAGUUGAAACUCGUCUCUAUAGGGGGGCUAGGAUCGAAUCCGAGCUCAAAUUUCUCAAAUUUUCAAAAAGAAUCUUUUGAGUGAAUUGUUCAAAUGGUCAUUGAACUUUGCAAAAGGUUUUUAAGGGGUCAUUGAACUUUAAAAAUCACAUAAAUGAUCACUAAACUUUGUAAAAGGUUUUCCAAGGGUCACGGAACCGUGAUCCUUGGGAAACAUCAAACAUUUUGCAAGAUCCGUGACCCUUGGGAAACAUUUUACAAAGUUCAGUGAUCUCGUGGAAAUAUUUUACAAAGUUCAGUGGCUAUUUAGGUUAUUUUUAAAAUUUAGUGACUCCGUAUAAAUCUUUUACAAAGUUCAGUGACUAUUUAGGUGAUUUUUAAAGUUCAGUGAUCCCUUGAAACUUUUUACAAAGUUUCGUGAUCAUUUGGACAAUUCACUCUAAUGUUUUUACACUGUAUCCUUGACUCUACAAAUAUAGCGAGGCAUGUAUCCUUCGCAACAACUAAACAGAGGCAACCCUAAGGUGCGUAGAUGGUGCGAAUGCACAAGGACACCAAAAUUUUUUUUUUUGUUAUGUAUAAUAAUUUUAAUUUUUAAUUUUUUUAUUAAAGGGGCAUCAUUUUAAAAUAUCACACGUGGCACCCAAAAUCCCAGGAUCAACCCUGCAACUAAGUACCACUCUGCAACUUCUCAAUUUCCCAGGAAUGAAAAAAUCUUCAACUCCACAACCAGGUACUACAUUAAUUGACGAAGAGUAUAUUUAGUAACAAACAUAACAAAAUAAAGUUCUAGGACAUACUUGGAUGAAAAUUGACUCAAUGCAACCUAAGGCUCAUGUCAGACGAUGAAGUAUAUUAGGUGUGGAAGAGAUACAAUAGAUAAAGAUAUAGAUGCGACUUAUCGAAACUUGCCUACGAAGGAGAGAGCCGAGUAUUUAUAGGUGGAAGAAGCUUUAUCUGAAUGCUUGACACAUGACUUUAUUUUAACGAUUCUCUUCUCAUACUCGAUUAUGUCAAUUUAUAGCCACCAUAGGUAUGUGUUUCCAUAGUCAAAAUAUAGGCUAAAAAUUGAGGAUUGUCAUUACAGAGUUGUCACAUAAAUUAGUUUGUACAGUGUACUUUGCACGAAUUGGUCAAAGCGAAGCUUGUAGCAAAUGUUCAUCGCCUCAGAUAUAUACUGUAGUGGAGAGGUUAUGCAUCCCUUCAUUUAACAAUAACAUCCUGAAAAAUGCAUCCAAAAGCAUAUCCUAAUUGUAUCGGAAAAGGCAAGAAGAAGAUACGAUAAGAAUUUGAGCAUUUCCCCUACAUGGCUGAUAACGACGUAAAUUAUUAAGUUUUCAUUCAUUAAUACUUGUAUUUGUAUGAUAAAUUGAUUCCUAAAUGUAUUAAGUACCUUUAUAUUUUGAUUUAGAUCGCAAAUGGAUAAAUACUGUGGAAAAUAGAAGAAACGAGCGAAAAGGGACUAAAAUGGAAGAAAUUGAAAGAUUAGGGACCAAGCUGCAAAUAAUCCAAAGAUGAGAUGGGCGAUGGAAUGAUGAUUUGAGAAUGCUGGGGAUCAAUUGGGUGUAAUUAGAAAUGAAAAGAAGUGAAACAUGACUAAUAUUUGCACAAAUCAAUUUCCAACCGCAUAAGGAUGUUCCAGAUUUUCAGGCGGAUAUUGAUAUCCAUUUUUGACCUAGUAAACCUUCCAAUUGGAAAAGAGAUAUUUUUUGUAAAAUUGUAUCUCUUUGUGUUAUCUUUCCAAAUCACUUUGAAUCGUCUCAAUUGAAUUUCAAGAGAGAAAGUUAUUACCAAAAUACUAAAAACUAUCCAGCGGAGAAAAACGUUGAAUCAUGCGGUCGCACAGUACAAAAUCCAUGUAGUCGCAUGGUUGCUUCUAGAGAUCUUCAGGCCUGAAAAUUGUUAUUCGAUGCGACCGCAAGCCUUUUAACCAUGUGGUCGCAUUGCUAAUUCCCUUAACAAGAUUUUCAGUUUCCUUAUUUCUUUCAACCACUUAUGUGAACAAAUCUAGUACACCAUAUAUAAGCCCUAAAUUUCGUCCAAGACCUAGAGAAGGCCCCCAUACACUUUUCUAUCAUCUUCAGCACAAGAAACUUCAUGAGGAAUUAAACUCUUUGGUGAAGCCACAAAGAACUCAUUGGAAUUGGUGAUUUCACGUCCUUAUUUCAUAUAAUUUGAUCUUUCUUUGCUUAAUAAAUUUUAAGAUUUGGAUUUUCUCUUUGUGAUUUGACAUUGAAAUUGGUUUAACUUUUACUAGAUUUUUCAUAGAUCUAGUCAUGCUUUUUUUAUCGAAUUCUCAAACUAUUUGUUGAAUUUUAAUUUCAUUGAUUUUGUUGGUGGAUUAUUUACUGCUUUAUACUUGAUGUAUAUGGUCGCUUAAUCUUAUUCCAACAAAAAGUGUGAGAAUGUGUUAUAAAAAAUAUAGAUUCUAGAAAUACAUUUGGAAUUAAAUUGAUCUUUAUUGUUAAAUCUUUCGAUUAGAAAGUUGGGAUGAAAACCUCAAAUUGAGUAAAAUGCAUAAAUUAUUGAUGUUGAUUGAUCCAAUCCAGUUAAGGGAAUUCAGGCAUUUCACUAUUCUAAAUAUUGACCUCAAACUUAUUAUUUCAACCUUUGAUUUUAAUUAUUAUUCAAAUGAUAUAUCUCACUACACAUUUUCAGAGAACACUCACCUUUUAAACAUUUGAGCAAUUCAUCCAUCUCUCUGUGGAAUCGACACCCUAAAACUGUGCUACAAUUAUAGCGUUAUUUUUUGGGUAUAAUCAAAUUUUGAUGCCAUUGUCGGGGAGAUGUUUCAAUAAGCUAAAGGAUUUUCUAACAAAAGGGUGACUUCGUUCCCUUACUUUUUUUAAUUAAUUUAUUUUCUUCAUUGUUAUUUUUUUUAUUUCUCACGUAGUUAAUUUUUUGUAUUUUAUGAGCUAGAAUCGAGACGAGAGAUGAAGAUUCAUUGAAGGAUCGCUUACAGUGUUUGAAUCUCUUCCCGAACCUAUUUUCGAUACUGUAUCUAUUGGCACAAACACUACACUGCACAACACCAUGAGUGAAAGUGAGCAUGAAGACUAGCCUUAUAGGACCCUUCAAGUUUACCUUCACCCCACAUGCACAUCCACACCAUCAUACAUUACAUUUCCACCUAAUAUGCUACGUAUGGACCUUAAAUCGGGAAUAUUCAACUUCUUCCCACAUAUCACGGACUUGAAAGGGAAAAUCCAUAUAUGCAUAUUAGGGAAUUUGAGGAGAUGGCUGCAACCUUCCACAAUCAAUAUGGUACAAAAGAUGCAAUCAGGCUUAGAUUUUUCUCAUUUUCACUUAAAGAAAGAGCAAAAGCUGGUUGUACUCAUUGAGACCAUGUUCGAUUAGGAACUGAGCUGAAAUGAUUCAGGCAUUUUUCAGCAAAUAUUUUUCCCAUCAUAAGAUUAGUGCCCUGAAGAAGCAAAUUUCUUCAUUUGCCCAAAAUAAUAAUAAGACUUUAUACCAAGCAUGGGAAAGAUUCAAGAAAUUGCAAAAUUUUUGCCCGCACCAUGGUUAUGAGAGUUAACGUAUUGUGAGUUAUUUUUAUAAAGGACUAACACAUCGGGAGCAUCAAUUUGUUAAGAUGAUGUGUAGUGGUGACCUUUUGCAAAAGGACCUCGAUGAGGCUAUAGACUAGUUGGAUGGCCUAGCUAAGAAAAAUCCAUGAGUAACAGAAUUUUUUUCUGUGGUUUUUUCUCCUCUUUUCCCAUUGUUUUUACCUUCUUGGAUUUUCACGUAAAUUUUGUGCUCUUGUUAUCAUUUUAUAUUGUCAAUUCUUGCUUUUUCUUAAUAUGUAAUUUGAAAAAAAUAAUAAUAAUAAAAUAAAAUUAGGUUUGUAAAAUACAUAGUCUAGGUAAAGUUAGCAGUGAACAAAUAUAAUAUGAAUGUGAAAAACCAAGUGACAUCAAGCCAAAAGGCAGCUGGAUGAACUAUGUAUAUGUAUUAUUAUUAUGAUUAUGGUUAGUAGAUCUAUAGUAUGCUACAAAUACCUAGAUAUACAAUUACUAAAUUCCCAGGUAAACCCAAUUUAUUUUCACUUGCAUUCAACUAUACAGUGAAUAAUUAUUCAUUGUCAACAACUUCUACAGCAUUAUAGAAAAAAUGAGAUAUCUAGGAACUAGGUAUUUGAUCAAUAAAAAUAGGGAAGGUGGCUCUAGGGAGUGACAAAAUUAUUAAUAAGAUGAGGCAAAUUAAAGAAACAAACAAAUGUAGGAAGUUGAAAUCUACAUAAGAAACAAAAAGUACUUCCCUAUCAGUCGGAAGGGACAAUAUGAUAGAUACCAAAACAAGGCAAUUGCUAAGAGAUUCAAAGAUUACAUAAUUAUAAGCGAGAAAAAAAUAAAUAUUGAUGAUUUAUUGUAGUUGAUAAUGGGGGUUGGCUAACAAACCUUACGUAGAAACUAUACCAUUCGCAGUCAAACCAUGAUCCCUGAAUUUGAAACGGGCAUAUAACGAUUUGCAAAAGAGAUAAUGGUGUUGGAUUCCUGGUGGAUAAUGCACAUGUAGACUCUAAUUUCCUGCGCACUAGGAUUGAACAUAGAGGAAAUCAUUGUAAAUAACCCAAUAACCUAUGUGUAUUUCCAAAGUAACCUUUGACUAGUUUUUAGAGAGAAAAAAAGGAAAAUUGAUUUUAAAUGUCAAAAUCCCAAAAUACCCUCAGGCAGUCACUUUCCCAUUUGCUUAGAGUCGGCCAAAACCAAGGAAAAGCUACGGUCAAUUUCCAAUCGGUAGACGUUUUCAGUUCAUCUCCGAUGACCUUCUUCUUGUUAAAGUAAGCUUCGAGUUGUUAAUUAACUAGAUUAAUGUUUAGAUUUUCAUAUUAUGUGUGAAUGUUGAAUUUGUGAAAGUUUUUGGAAUGUAAUAUUGGUUAUGUAAGUGUAGAAUUAUGAAUAUGGGUCUAAAUUGAAGAAUAAUAGGUGGAUUUUGAGAUUUGCAAGCUUUUCUUGUUGGAAAUGGAGAUUUUCCGACAAGAAAAGCCGAAAAAAAUGCCAGCUACGUUUGUAGCCGGCAUUUUGGAUAAAACCCGAUUGCAUUUGCAAUCGGCAUUUUGGGGAAAACUCGGCUGUUAACAGUCGGGUGCCCGACUGUUAACAACUGGUUGGCACAAUUGUCAUGGGGACUGUUUUUAUUUUUCAUGGGCUGACUAACAGUCAGCCCAUGAUUGUUAAGUGGGCCGACUGUUAUAGUCGACCCAAUAACAAUUUUUUUAUUUGGGUUGAUUAACAGUCGUCCCAUUAUUUGGACUGACUGUUUAGUCAGCCCAUUGACUGUUAAGCAGGCCGAAAGUUAUGGUCAAGUCGAUGUCUUUAUUUUUUUAUUAUUUUUUUUCUUACAUAUAUUUAAGAAUUUCAUUUUAAAUAAUUUUAAUUAUUAUUUUUUAAUAAAUAAUAAUUUAUUUAUUUGUAAAAUUUAAAUGUGAUAUUUAAUUUGAAUAUUUAUUUUUAUUUCCUCAUUUUUUAUAAAUAAUAAUUUUUCAUUCUGAAUUUAAUUAAUUUUUAUAAUUUUAAUAAUUAAUAAUUCUUUUAAUUUUAAAUUUAAAUUUCAUAUUUAGUUUUAUUAAUAGUUUUUAUAAAUAAUAUUCUUUUCGUUAAUCGAAUUUCAUUAAUUCUUGUCAUUGUAAUUUUGAAUAAUUAUUUAAUUUUAAAUUUUGUUUUUAUUUUUAUUAAUAGUUUUUUUAUAAAUAAUAUUCUUUUCGUUAAUCGAAUUUCAUUAAUUCUUGUCAUUGUAAUUUUGAAUAAUUAUUUAAUUUUUAAAUUUCAUAUUUAUUUUUAUUAAUUGGGCUGACUGUUAACAGUCUUAGGCCGACUGUUAACAGUUAGACUAUUAACAAUUUAAUUUUUUUAAAAUAUAUAUAUUUAAUUUUUAAAUUUUUUAAAUAUAUUUUAUAAUUAGUUUAUUAAUAAUUAUGUUAUUUAUUUAUUUUUUUAAUUUUCUUUUAUUUAUAUAAUUUAAUAAUUGAAUAUUAUCUAAAAGUAACAAUUUAUUUUCCAUGUUAUUUAUUUAAUUAAAAUUUUUUUUUGUAAAUAUAUUUUCCAAGUGUAAUAGACAAGAUUAAUUUUCUUUAUAAUUUUCAUUUGAUUAAAUAAUAAUUAUGUUAUUUAUUUAUUUAAUUUUUAUGUUCUUUAAUUUUUUAAAAUUUAUUUAAAUAAUAUUUAUAUUGUUUAAAUUUUUUUGAAAAUAUAUUUAAUCUUUAAUUUUUAAAUUUUUUGUAUUAUUUAAAUAUUAAUAAUUUCCUUUUGCUGAAAAUCUCAUUAAUUUGUAUUUUAACUUAAUUAAUUAUUUUUAACAUUUGUAUUGAAUUUAUUUUGUUAUUGGCGUCAAGAAUUCGGUUCCCAUUGAUUUUUUGAGAUUAUGCAUUAUUAUAUUAUUUCUUGUUCAAUGUUCUAACAUUUGAAUUUUUAUAGGAUGGAAUAUCAUUUAAAUGGGGAGUUGAGACGGAUGGCGGGGAAUGCUACUUGGAACAGUAGCUUUGAGAUUUUUACUGAUGUGUUGGAGAUGCUCAAUGAUCAUCACGAAAAUAUGCUAUGACAGUCCUUCUUGUGGGCACUGUACUAGAUGCGAGAGUUGCAGUAUUCAGGACUAAUCAUCGAUGCACUUCUAUGUCGGCUUCUGAGGCCAGUCGACGGCGAUUCCCUCCACUUCGACCUCGGGGGCAAGGUCGUCAGUUUCUCGAUGUAUGAGUUUAGCUUGAUCACUGGACUGAAGAUUAUGGGCGAUGAUGCAGCCAUUGAGAGAAGCAAUAGUUUGUACGAGACGUACUUCCAGGUACAUGGGUCGGUGCAUCUACCCGAGUUUAUGGUUGCGAUCAGGGGAUACAACCAGAUGCUAGAUAGAUUGAAAUUUGGGCUGGUCUACAUCUUCGAGAAUGUGAUGAGGUGUCAUCACAAGAAGAUUGCCAUCGACAUUUUUUCAUUUGCAAGUUGUUGACGACAUCGAUGCGUUCAACAACUAUCUAUGGGGCCGGAGAUGCUACGAAGACACCGUACAUGUGCAUGUGUUUAUUAAAUGAAUAAAUCAUACUUUUUUGGUGUUUCCUGAUGCAGCACAUCGGCCUGACCAUAGACUUGCUACGAGAUUAAGCUCAAAGACAUCCAAAAUCAUUUGACGUCCAUGGUCGAGUCAUAUUAAACAUCGAGUUCCUACGUGCCGUUACCAUAGAUUAUCAAUCGCUCCAACUUAUGAGUAACGAGUACACGGUGCUAGAAUAUAUUCUCGAGUGGGUCAUAUGAAUGUCGCCGAGUGUCGGGGGAAAAAUCAUGGGAGGGUUGUACACAUAUGCACAUUCCAGCGUGCAUCAAUAAUCACUAUGUUACGCUAGAGAUCGUUUUGCUGACACGACUAUAUAUGUGUAUGACGCAGAUCAUUCAUGUUUGACGCAAGGCCAGCUGGAGCAAAACCUGGAGUUUGUAGCUGUAAUUGUUCCUAUGAUGGCCAGACGAGUGGGGAUGACUGUACAGGACAGAUUGCGGAUUGUUCGGAACACGACAACAGUGUGACAGUCCAUAAUGUAAGUGUUUGAACUUUGUUAUUUUCAUCUUUCAGAUUUAGUUUUUAGCUACACAGUACUGAAUUGAUCCAUUCUUGCUCAAUUGUAGCGGCGACUGCGGCAUAUUUCUCAUUAAGUACGUUGAAUUUUUAAGUAUAGGACAUAAGGUUGAUGGAAUCAACCAAUAGUGGAUACAGAACUGGAGAAAGAAGCUAGUUUGUGAUUUGUUUGAAUUUAAUGGUGAACCGUAAAUUUGUAUUAAAUAUAUGUAACAUUCAAAUUGUAAAUUUAAUUAUUUUUUGUGAUUAUGAAAUAAUUGUAAAUUUGUGUUCAAUAUAUAUAACAUUCACAUUAAAAAUUUAAUUAUUUUUUUGUAAAUUGAUUUUUUGUUAUUUUACACAUAUGCCAAGUAUGGAACUAUUUUUUUUAUAUGAAUAAUUAUAAAUACUUGGGAGCUCAGGGGGUGGAACAAGUGGACCGUCCUCCAAUUCUUCGUGUGUGGCUCCCGAUGAUGAGAAUUUGUAUGUCGAGCAACUAUUUGAAACCAAGAAAGAUUUGUAGGAAGCUGUGCACCGGAUAGCAUUAAAAUAUAACUUUGAGUUCAAGGUAAAGAAAUCAACCAAGUCAUUGUUGACAGUUGCUUGCGUUGACGACAAUUGCAAUUGGCGCUUGAGAGCGACUAAAAUGGACACGAAUGAGUGCUUUGUAGUUCGUAAAUAUGCACGAAAACAUACUUGUAAAGUGGGAAUUUGUCGAAAUGAUCACAGGCAAGCUCGAGCAUGGUUUAAUGGUCGACAGAUAAUGCACAAGUAUCAGAACCCACGGACGAUCUAUAGACCUUCGGAUAUCAUUAACGACGUCCGUUGAGAGUAUAGAGUGGUCAUGAGCUACCAGAAAACUUGGAAGGUCAAAAAAUGUGCGUUGGAGGAUUAAAUGGGAUCAGAUGAGGAGAGCUAUACUAAAUUGGCCAGGUAUUGCCAUAACAUGGGGACAACUAAUUCUGGCACGAUAUUUUUUAUUGAGACGGAGGGCGAUAAUUGUUUUAAGUAUUUCUUCAUGGCUCUCGGACAAUGUAUAUGGGGUUUUCGAAAUGUAAUGCGACCCGUAAUUCUAGUUGAUGGUACAACUCUGAAAGCUAAAUAUCAAAGCAAAUUAAUUAUUGCUACAUGUCAAGACGCCAACAUCCAAAUUUACCCUAUUGCAUUCGACAUAGUCGACAUCGAGAAUGAUCUGUCCAUGCGUUGGCUCUUUUCUAAACUGAGGGAAGUGAUCGAGGAAGUCGAAAACCUUGCCUUUGUAACCGAUUGGGGACAAUCUAUAAUAAACAGUAUCGCUGAAGUUUUUCCCGAGGCACAUCACGGGUAUUGCAUGUACCAUAUAUAAGGUAAUUUGAAGACUAGGUAUCGGGGCAAAUGCAUCGUUUCAUUGUUUAGAAAAGCAGCCAAAGCUUACAGUGCUGAAAAGUGUAACAAGUUCAUGUUCGAAUAUGAAGUAAACCAUUACCGGCGUUGGAGUAUCUGACGAACAUGGAGAUCGAGCAUUGGGCAUGGUCAUACUUUUCAGGACAUCGAUACAACAUGAUGACGUCGAAUAACGCGGAGUCUCUCAAUGCAUUGUUUAAGAAGGAUCGAGAGUUACCAAUCCUCGCAAUGAUUGAGAACAUUUGUAACAAACUGCAACAGCGGUUUCAUGACCGACGUGCGGUAUCACAGAGUUGCACUGGCGUGUUGGCCCCAACUCAAGAGGAUAAACUCUUUAAGGCAAUAGAUGUUGGGAGGAAGUUGAAUGUGGAAGCACUAGAUGAGUUCCACUUCUCCGUGCAAUGUGCACGUAAUACGGCAUAUAUGGUGGACUUGACUUAUAACACAUGCACUUGUACGAGAUUUCAGUUGGAGAGUUUUCCAUGUGAGCAUGUAGUUGCGGUGGCCAUGUAUCGAGGCUUUGCAGCGAGAACGUUAUGCUCUUUGUAUUAUACGACUAAGUCUUGGAGAACAGCAUAUGCUGAUACUAUAUUUCCUCUGCCGAAUGAAGCCGAGUGGGAAGUUCCCGAGCACAUUCUCCCGUUUCAUAAUUUGUUGCCGCCAACAGUUGAACCGCGUGGUCCUGGACGUCCAAGUACAUCUAGAAUACCAUCUACCAGAGAGUUUCCUCGACCGCGUAGGUGUGGUAGGUGCAGAGCCAUAAGGCAUACUCGACAAUUUUGUACCAGUCAAAUUUCCCUAAAUGACAAUUAGACGGGUACGUUAAAUGAAUAAUAUUUCUGUUUACUUUACACUGUUCAAUAUUUGUUUUUCAUAAAUGUUCAAUGUUUAGUAUUUAUUAUUGAUAAAUGAUAUUUAUAAUGAUUCAUAUAAAAAAAAAUAGUUCCAUACUCGGCAUAUGUGUAAAAUAACAAAAAAUCAACUUACAAAAAAAUAAUUAAAUUUCCAAUGUGAAUGUUAUAUAUAUUAAACACAAAUUUACAAUUAUUUCAUAAUCACAAAAAAUAAUUAAAUUUACAAUUCGAAUGUUAUAUAUAUUUAAUACAAAUUUAUGGGUCACCAUUAAAUUCGAACAAAUCACAAGCUAGCUUUUUCUUCAGUUCUGUAUCCACUAUUGGUUGAUUCCAUCAACAUUAUGUCCUAUACUUAAAUAUUCAACGUACUUAAUGGCAAAUAUGCUGCAGUCACCGCUGCAAUUGAAUAAGAAUGGAUCAGUUCAGUACUGUGUAGCUAAAAACUAAAUCUGAAAGAUGAAAACAAUAAAGUUCAAACACUUACCUUAUGGACUGUCGCGCUGUUGUCGUGUUCCGAACAAUCCGCAAUCUGUUAUGUACAAUUAUCACCACUCGUAUGGCCAUUAUAGGAACAAUUACAGCUAUGGACUCCAGGUUUUGCUCCAACUGGCCUUGUGUCAAACAUGAAUAAUUUGGGUCGUAGACAUAUAUAGUCAUGUCAGCAAAAACGAUCUCCAGCGUAACAUAGUGAUUAUUGAUGCACACUGGAAUGUACAUAUGUGUACAACUCUCCCAUGAUUUUUCCUCGACAUUCAGCGACAUUCCUAUGACUCACUCCAGCAUAUAUUCUGGCACCGUGUACUCGUUAUCCAUAAGUUGGAGCAACUGAUACUCUAUGGUAACGACACGCAGGAACUUGGUGUUUAAUAGGACUCGACCAUGGACGUCAAAUGAUUCUGGAUGUCUUUGAGCUCGAUCUCAUAGCAAGUCCAUGGCCUAGUCGAUGUACUGCAUCAGGAAACACCAAAAAAGUAUGAGUUAUUCAUUUAAUAAGCACAAAGUGAUGUAUACAUAAAAAACACGAAAUGAAUAAUUCACUUACAUCGUCGGCGAGUCAAGCUCCUGAAGUGGUGACAUCGUGGAACCACUUGUAAGCGUCCGAGACCAUUGUUUGACCUAUCGUGCAGCUAACUCUGAAAAAAAAAGAAAAUGUUAAAAUAUGCAUAGACGAGUUAGCAUAUAGUGCUUUGUUAAAAUCAUACAAUACUUACCUGGGAUAAUUCUCCUCUACUCCAUCUCGAACGCUUUCCACUUGGCGUUGUCCACCUCUCUGAAUAAGUUCGGAUGCGUCCCAUCGAUCAACGUUCUGCUCUUGGCCUCAGCCGUGAAGGGAAAAACAACAUACUGUGAUGACAUUCUCAACCUCUCGCCGACUACUUGCUCUAUAUCAUCAACAGCAUGUCUCUUACCCUCAAUCACGAUAGGCGUCCUCUCGACCUCCGGGGCCAUCUCCUUCGCCCCUCCCAUCGGGGCCACCCCCUCCGUCAUCGCCUCUCCUAUCCUCGUCGGGGCCACCCCCUUUCCCUCCAUAGGCAACCACAAUGAUUCUAAUGUCUCAUCACGCUAAAAAUGUGGGUGAUCCCCUCUCCAUCACCAUCUCUGCCACCCUCUCGAUCAUCAUCUCCACCAUCCCCUCUGUCCCCCCAUUGCCUACCGGCUAAAUCUUCUCUAAGUGUCACUAUCGUAUCCUGAAAAUCGACAACACAAGACCAUAGCAUUUCAACAUCAUGGGAUAGAUCGUCAACCCUCUCUAUCAACUCUCGUCCCAUAUCAUCGACCCUCCCUAUCAGAUAGUCGACCUUCCCAAUCAGAUCGUCGACCCUCCUUGUCAACUCUCGUCCCAGAUCAUCGACCCUCUCCAUCAACUCUCGUCAUAGCGCUCCAACCUCCUCCACUAUAAAUCCAGUCAAACGGGCAUAUAAAUCAUCACUGUGUGUUAGAGAUACACGGGGGAGUGUCUGGACGAGGGAAAAGGAAAUACCCUCGGUGGUGGCGAUGCCAAUGGCGGUGGCGAUGCCCUUGAUGGAGGUGAUGUCAAUGGCGACGACGAUGCUCUCGACGCCAAUGGUGACGACGAUGCUCUCGACGGAGGUGAUGCCAAUGGUGGCGGCGAUACCCUCGGCGGAGGUGAUCGUCGAUCAACUGGACCGCCCUCCUACAUAAAUAACAUUAAAAAUUAUUCAAUAAAUUUAUACGUCGACAAUAUUCAAUAAAUUAUAUUUAAUUCAUAUACACAAUCUCGAUCCAGGCUCGGAUCAGACAUCUCCUCGUCUUGGGUCUGCGGAACGCCUAAAUCUCAUACAAGACCCCGAGCCUCUUCUUCCAUCGACGAUGUCAACUCAAGUAUGACUUCAAGCUGACAUAUUGACAUUUCAACUAAUUAACGGUCAUGUAAACAUAUUUUAAACUACGUAUAAUAUAAAUCACAAAUGCAUAAUACUUAUCUGAGGAUCGUCGAGGAGAGCCGAUAAUUAUUUCCCAGUGGGACAUCUGUCUGCUCGCGAUGAUCUCCAAUGAUGCAUCUGAGGACAUCGUGUCUCCCCUCGCUUCGCGAAGCGGGCCCCCAAUACAGGGACUAUCUCAUACACUCAAAUUUGCAACACAUACACUUAUUAUGCGUAAAUAUAAUAUACUAAAACUUAAACUUUAAUUAUAUUAAACAUUUAUCUGCACCGCUAUGGGCAAUCCAUAUGUAUCAUAUUUACACAUUGACCCCCUGGGCCUCGAGUGUGAUUUGGUAAAAAGAUGUACGGCGUCUUUGCAGCAUCUCCGACCCCAUGGAUAGUUAUUGAACGCAUCGAUGUCGUCAACAAUUUGCAAAUGAAAAAUGUCGAUGGCAGUCUUAUUGUGAUGACACCUCAUCAUACUCUCGAGGAUGUAGACCAGCCCAAGUUUCAAUCUAUCUAGCAUCUGGUCGCACCCCCUGAUCGUGACCAUCAACUCGGGUAGAUGUACCGACCUAUGUCCUUGGAAGUACGUCUUGUACAGCCUAUUUCUUCUCUCAAUGGCUGCAUCAUCUCCUGUAAUCUUUAGUCCAGUGAUCAAACUAAACUCAUACAUCUAGAAAUUGACAACCUUGCCCCCGAGGUCGAAGUGGAAGGGAUCACCGUCAACUGGCCUCAGAAGCCAACAUAGAAGUGCAUCGAUGAUAUAUCCUAAGUACUGCACCUCUCUCAUCUGGUAAAGUGGCCACAAGAAGGACUGUCAUAGCAUAUCUCCGUGAUGAUCAUCGAGCAGCUCCAACACAGCAGUAAAACUCUCAAAGCUACUAUUUCAAGUAGCUUUCCCCACCAUCCGUCUCAACUCCCCAUCUAAAUGAUACUCCAUCCUGCAAAAAUUCAAAUGUUAGAACAUUGAACAAGAGAUAAUAAAAUAACGCAUAAUCUCAAAAAAUCAAUGGGAACCGAAUUCUUGAUGCUAAUAACAAAAUAAAUUCAAUACAAAUAUAAAAAAUAAUUAAUUAAAUUAAAAUACAAAUUAAUGAGAUUUUCAGCAAAAGAAAAUUAUUAAUAUUUAAAGAAUACAAAAAAGUUAAAAAUUAAAGAUUAAAUAUAUUUUCAAAAAAAAUUAAAGAAUAUAAAUAUUAUUUAAAUAAAUUUUAAAAAAUUAAAGAAUAUAAAAAUUAAAUAAAAAAAUAACAUAAUUAUUAUUUAAUCAAAUGAAAAUUAUAAAGAAAAUUAAUCUUGUAUAUUACAUUUGGAAAAUAUAUUUACAAAAAAAUUUAAAAUUAAAUAAAUAACAUGGACAAUAAAUUGUUACUUUCAGAUAAUAUUCAAUUAUUAAAUUAUAUAAAUAAAAGAUAAUUAAAAAAAUAAAUAAAUAAAUAACAUAAUUAUUAAUAAAUUAAUUAUAAAAUAUAUUUAAAAAAUUAAAAAACUGAAUAUAUAUAUUUUUAAAAAAAUUAAACUGUUGACAGUCCGAUUGUUAACAGUCGACCCAAGACUGUUAACAGUUAACAGUCGGCCCAAUUAAUAAAAAUAAAUAUGAAAUUUAAAAAUUAAAUAAUUAUUCAAAAUUACAAUGAUAAGAAUUAAUGAAAUUCGAUUAACGAAAAUAAUAUUAUUUAUAAAAAAUUAUUAAUAAAAAUAAAAAUGAAAUUUAAAAUUAAAUAAUUAUUCAAAAUUACAAUGACAAGAAUUAAUAAAAUUCGAUUAACAAAAAGAAUAUUAUUUAUAAAAAAAACUAUUAAUAAAACUAAAUAUAAAAUUUAAAUUUAAAAUUAAAAAAUUUAUUAAAUAUUAAAAUUAUAAAAAUUAAUUAAAUUCGAGAAUGAAAAAUUAUUAUUUAUCAAAAAUGAGGAAAUAAAAAUAAAUAUUCAAAUUAAAUAUCACAUUUAAAUUUUACAAAUAAAUAAAUUAUUAUUUAUUAAAAACUAAUAAUUAAAAUUAUUUAAAAUGAAAUUCUUAAAUAUAUGUAACUAAAAAAAAAAAUAAAGGCAGCGGGCCGAUCGUAACAAUUGGACCGUUUAAGAGUCAAUGGGCUGACUAAACAGUCAGCCCAAAUAAUGAGCCGACUGUUAAUCAGCUCAAAUUAAAAAAAAAAAUUGUUAUUGGGCCGACCUUAACAGUCAUGGGCUGAUUGUUAGUCAGUCCAUGACAAUCGGGCCAACCGACUGUUAACAGUCGGGCACCUGACUGUUAACAGCCGAGUUUUCCCCAAAAUGCCGGCUGCAAACGCAGCCGGCAUUUUUUCCAGCUUUUCUCAUCGGAAAAUCUCUAUUUUCGACGAGAAAAGCUUGCAAAUCUCGAAAUCCACAUAUUAUUCUCCAAUUUAGACCCAUAUUCAUACUUCUACACCUAUAUAAUCAAUAUUACAUUUCAAAAACCUCCACAAAUUCAACAUUCACACACAAUAUGAAAAUCUAAACAUUUAUCUGGUUAAUUAACAACUUGAAACUCACCUUAACAAGAAGAAGGUCGUCGGAGAUGAACUGAAAACGUCUACCGAGUAGCUUUUCCCUGGUUUUAGCCGACUGUAAGCAAAUGAAAAAGUGACCGUCUUACGAUAUUUUGGGAUUUUGACCUUUAAAAUCAAUUUUCGUUUUUUUUUUCUCUAAAAACUGGUCAAAGGCUACUUUGGAACUACACAUGAGUUAUUGGGUCAUUUUCAAUGAUUUCCUCCCCUUUCCUCGGAUUUUCAAAUUUCUACUUCCGAUUUGUACCUUUUUUUUUCUAAUUGACAAAUUAAUUAUAAGUACGUUAUGGAUAGUAUAUAGAAUAAUUUAAUUUAUAAUUUCUGAUUAGUUAAAAUUUGUAUAUUUUAUUCGUAAGAAUCAUUCAAUUAACUUUAAUAUAUUUUUCCUACUGAAAUUGUCUAAUUUUAGUUCGAAGAAUUUUAAUAUAGUUUCAGUAUAUUAUUUUCAUAUUACCAAUAGAAUUUUAUCAUUAAAAUUUUUUAAUUUAUUUUUUAGGAUUUUGGUUAUUUUGUAAAUUAAAUUUUUAAAAUAAUCUUUAAUUAAUAGUUAGGAUUGAUUGAAAUUAAACGUAUGCUGAAUUUUUAUUUUUAGUUUUGUUCUUUUUUACAACAAGCAAAAAAUAUUGCAAAUCCUUGUUGCAAAACACACUUGCUCGCAACAUUUAAUGAUUGUUGCAAAAGGUUAUAUAGUAAGAAUUUCAACAAUAUGUACUGAACAUUGUUAUAGAACAAAAUUUUAACAAGUUCAAAAAAAAAAAAAAAAAGAAUUAAAACUUUUACAACAUUCAAAGAACGUUACAAAAAGCUAUAUAUUAAGAGUUUCAACAACGGUUAUUGAAUGUUGUUAUAGAACUAUAUUUUUACAACAUUCAUUAAAUGUCGUGAAAAAUCAAAUUUCUUACAACAUUCAAGAAACGUUGAAAAUGGUAAUAUUGACAACAUGCAAUUAAAAAAAAUAUUGCCAAAGCUUAAUUAAAUUAAUCAAUGGCAAUAUUCACUUAUUAAAAUGUUGCGAUAGACCCAUUUAGCAACAUUCAAUUCACGAGUGUUGCCUUUUGAGUAUUGCAAAAGGCUAUUUUAAUUGUAGUGAAAACUAGAGCCAUGUAUUCAUAGGGAAGGAUUAGGGAUACAAUAAUAAUAAUUUCUAGAGUUACAGGAGUACAAUUGUCAUUCACAAAUAAACUUACCAUUUACAACAAAAUGGUCUUUUUUUAUUUUUAUUUUUCUUCAAUGUGCUCCUAAAAAGGUUUUUAUUGACAGCAACAAGGUAAGUCGGACGUUCUCUUUUUUAAAUUUUAAGAGGCGGUAAGGACUUUUUGAUCUUCAUUUUUUGUCCCAUUUAUUUAUUUAUUUACUUAUUUAUGUAUUAUUGUGUUUAAAUUUAAAUCAUGUUCAAAAAAAUUUUAAAAAAAAUAUUAUGUGUCAUGGAUGGGUCUGUGACAGAGAUCAUGUUUCCCAAGCCCAUCCCUAAUAGGGAUUAUAGAAUUCCUGACCUUCAAUCCACAUCGCGCCCCGUCCCACAUUGUCCUACCUUGAAUAGUAAAUGGGGCGGGAUGCAUAACCUAGAGUCCCUAGUUUCAAAUUUUUAGUACUACCUCUGAAUCAUUUUCAUUAAUAUACUUUAUUUUAUUCUUAUGUUCUUCAUUUAAAUCAUAUUAAAAAAAAUAAAAUGAUGGUUUUUUAUGUCUCAACCUACCCUAAAUUCUGAAAAUUCAAAACGAAACAAGAAUGAUAUGAUGGCUCCUAUCCAUUGUUAUCCUUAAUUAUUUCCCGUUGGGCGGAGUAACUUGAAACUGGCAUUUUUUUGAAGAUUUCCUCAAAUAAUUUAGCAGAAAAUAAAAACAAUGAAAAAUAAAUCCACUUUAAAAUAGGGUCAUCUCUAAAAGAUAAAUGUAUUCUCCAUUGAUUCCCAUUUUUCACUUGAAACUCAUCUCUGUAGGAAGGCUAUGAUCCAAUCCAACCCUAAAAUUUCUCAAAUUAUAUUAAAAAAAAAUAAAAAAUCACCGUACCUUAACUCUACAAAUAAAGUGGAGUUAACUCUACAAAUGAAGUGGAGUAUUGCUCAAAUAUCCAUGGCAGCAGCUACACGGAGGCAACACUGAUGGUUCGUAGAUGGUGCAACCACAAAGGGCCUCGACAUUUUAGGGACACCAAAAAAAUUUAUUUGUAUAAUUAUUUUAAAAUUUUAAUUUUUUUAGUAAAAGAACCAUGUUUUAAAAUAUCACACAGGACAUCUAAAAUAUUAAGGUCAACCCUACAUCAAAGUACUGCUAUGCAACUUCUCCAUUUCCUAGGUAUUUGAUCAAUAAAAAUAGGGAACGUGGCUCAAGGGAGUGACAAAAUUAUUAAUAAGAUGAGGCAAAUUAAAGAAACAAACAAAUGUAGGAAGUUGAAAUCUACUUAAGAAACAAAAUGUACUUCCCUAUCAGUCGGAAGGGACAAUAUGACGGAUACCAAAACAAGGCAAUAGCUUAAGAGAUUCAUAGAUUACAUAAUUAUAAGCCAGAAAAAAAUAAAUAUUGAUGAUUUAUUGUAGUUGAUAAUGGGGGUUGACUAACAAACCUUUAUGUAAAAACUAUACCAUUCGCAGUCAAACCAUGAUCCCUGAAUUUGAAACGGGCAUAUAACAAUUUGCGAAAGAGAUAAUGGUGCAGGAUUCCCAGUGGAUAACGCACAAGUAGAAUCUGAUUUCCUGCGCACUGGGAUUGAACAUAGCUGCUUUAAAUGUCCCAUUACGAGAGAACAAAAACUCCCAGAAGCAUCUACAGAUUUGAAAUUUGAAGGAGUUAAAUUAGGGUAUGCGAAUUCUUUAAAGGAAAUACCAUAUGCGAGAACCAAUAAUAAGGCUAAAACACACAGAUCUAAUCCAGAUUUUGCCCUAGUCGGCAUGGGCGACUAGCUGUGACAAUUGACAUUGCAGAUUUGACGGCGAGGGGAAAUACAUGAAAUUGACCCAAAUAAAAGAGGCUAUUUUUCAAAAUGGCCCUUGAAUUUUUCUAACAUUUGGAGCUACCUAAAAUAUCCUUAGACAAAUAUUAAAAACAACCUAUUUCAUAAUAAAAAUCUUCUAUCUAAGUCCUUAAAAAAUUAACAAGUAAUUUUUCUAAAAAUUUGAAAGAAUUAUUAAUCUCUAUGAAUAAUUAUAAAAUGAAAAAAACCCAAAUAUAAGAGAGGACCAUAUAAUAUAAAAAAGGUUGUUAAAAAUAAAAAAGAAAUUAAGUUUGAAAAAGAAAUUGAUAAGAUAGGAUAUCAAGAACAAUUAUAUGCAUCACAAGAAAUACUAAAGUGUUUCAAAGAAAACUUAUUAGAAAAUUUUGCUAAAGGAAUUGUAAGAUCAAUAAUCAUAAAAGAUAUAUAAGGUAUCAUAGAUAAAUUAGAAAAAAUGAAAAAAAAAUAUCUUAAAAUACGAUAUACCUUUUAUAACAGAUAUAGAUAUGAUAAUAGAUGUUGAUGUUAUAAAUUCUCAAACAUUACUAGACUUUGAAGAAUUACUUAAAAUUUUAUGAGAAGGCCAAUAAAAAAUAGAUUACCACAAAGAAUUUUUAGAAUAUUAGAUUUUUGUUCGCUCAUAGUAGCAUCAUCCCGUUGGUUUUAGAGCCAUAGAGAUCAUGAGAAAAUAUAUAAAAAUAAAUUACCUAAAAGAUAUUGAAAAUAAAUAAAAUUUAUGAUUUUAGAAAUUAUUGAAACUUAUAAAAAUAGACUAAGGUAUCAGGUAAAAUAUAGUUCUAAUAUAGAAGAAAAUAAUAUAGUUGGAACAUAUAGUAAAGACAUUAAAGAAGUAUUAGAAAUUUUUAGAGUAAUUAAAAAUCUACCUUUAGAACUAAAAGAAAAAAUAAUUAAAAAGAUAUUAUUUGAAGAAUAUGAGCAUAUAUAUAUAUAUUAGAAGAAAUCCAGAGUGAAAUAGAUUUCAUAGUAAUCUAAAAAUAUAUAUAUUUUAUUAUGGAAAUCAUAAAAAUAAAUAAUUAUUAACAAUGUAUUGAAGAAAAAGGAUGUUAUAUAUUUUUCAACCCUAUCCCUAAUAAAUUAAAAAUAAUAACAUUAUAUGUAACUAGGAAUUUACCUAGAGAAAUAAAAGAACAAAUAUUACAUAAAUUAAUUGUAGGAUUUAUCAAAGAUAGACGUACAUAUAAAAUAAUUAUCGAAGUAUUUGAAAAUGAAUUAUACCAUAGAGAAAUAUUUGAAUCAUCAUAAAAUAUAAUGGAAGAAACUAAAAAUAUUUUAGAAAGAAAGUUAAGAAGAAUAAGAUUAAUAAAUAAUAAAAUUUUAGAUGAAUUAUUAAUACCUGGAGAUAUAACUAAAACUCAAGAAAAACAAAUAUUAAAAUUAAAACAAGAAAGGUAUAAAGAAAAAGCAAGGUAUUAUGAAAAAUUAAAAGAACUAACAAAUAUUGAAGUUAUAAAACAAAAGUAUGAUAAAAUGAUAAGAGAUUGUAAAAAUGCUGAGUAUAUAGCAUUUUAUUAUUGUCAAUCAAAAAUCGAUAAAAAAAAUAUCAAUCAGUGAACAUGUGGAAGAAUUAAAACAUUUAAUAAGAACAUUAAUAAAUGAUGUACAAGAAAUAAAGAAUGAAAUAAAUGAAGCAAGAAAUGAUAUAAAUAUAUUGAAACUUGAAGUUAGAAAAUUAAAAGAAAAUGAAGAAAAGAAUAAUAGGAUAAAUAAAAAAUUUAUAGAAAAAGAAAUAACCAGAAUAUGGAAAAAACAUAUUGAAAGAGAAAAUAUAAUAAUAGAAACAGGAAGCAUGGUUGAUGAGUUUAGAAAAAAUAUAUUACCUAAAAUAUUAGAAGAAGAGGAAUCUAGAGAAAAAAUGUUAAGUAAACAAAAAAUUAAAGAAAAUCAAGACAAAGAACAUGAAUGAAGAAUUAGAUCUACUUAUAGAUAAUUCUGAUCAUUUAAGUUUAGAAAGUAUAGAUGAUGAAUAGCAAAUCUUAAUGAAUACUGGAGGAGGACCUAAUCCCGUAGGAACCUCUAAACAAGAAUCAAUAGAUCCAGAUGAAAGUUAUGCUCCGAUGUAUAAUAAACCAUAUAGACAAUUUUAUGAUAAAAUAAGAGAUAAACAACCGUCUAAAGGAAAUAAAUAUAGUAAUGAAUUUGAAUUAAAUAAUAAUUAUGAUAAACCUGUUAACCAUGGAGGAACAAAAUUAGACUUAGAUUGUAAAAUAGACACUAAGAAAGCUUUAAUAAUUUGGGCAAACUCAAUGAUAUUAUUCUUUUUAUAUAAUAAAGAAUAUAAAUGGGAAAAUACUGAAAGAAGAAUAGAUUUUUUAAUUGCAUCUUUUGAAGGAAAUGUUAGAAAUUGGUGGGAAGGAAUUAGUAGUGAUACAAAAUCAUUAAUAAAAAAAAUGUACAAAUAGAAAUAAUAAAGUCAGAUAAACUAGGAAUAGAAAGAUUAGUAGAAUAUAUUGCAGAUGAAUUCUUAGGAGAAAAUUGGUUAAGAAAUUAUGAAGAAGAAGUAAUACAGGAAAAAGAUAAUGCAAGAGUUAAGUUAAUUAAUUUAACAAUUUGUGAUAUGUGUAAAAUUAAAGAAUAUACUUGUGAAUUCAAGGAUUACUAAUAUACUCAAUUUUAUAGUAAUGAGAAUCAAGAAGUAUAUCAAGAUAUAUAUUACAAUAAAUUACCAGGAUCAUGGGGAAUAUAUUUUAAAAUAGAAUUUGAAAAAUAUAUUAAAGAAAAUAUAGAAAUACCUCGAACACUACGAUCAAGAAUAAAAUUCUUGUUUGAAAGACUUGCAUAUAUAUGUCAAUAAAGACAAUUAUUGAAAAAAUAAGGAAAAUUAACUAGAAUAUGCUGUGAAGAUAUGGAAAAACCUGCAAGAUGGGGAUGUAAUUAUGAAAAAAAAAUAAAAGAAAGUAUAAAAACAGAAAGUUUAAAAAAUAAAGAAACUUUAAGAAAAAAUACAUAAAACUUGGAAGGAAAUAUUAUAAAAGAAAAAAUAAUAUACAGAAAAAUAAACCUUAUAAGAAAGAUAAAAAACAAUGUAAGUAUUGGAAUUGUGGAGAAAUAUGCCAUAGAAAUCCUGAUUGCACAAAAAAAAAAAAGUGAGAAUAUUACAAAAGGAUUAUUUUGAAAUAGAAAGUGAAUUAAGUGAAAUAUCUGAUAUUGAACAUUAUAAUAAUCAGAAAAUAUUUAUAAGUGAAGCAGAUUCAAAAGAUAAUGAAAUCUGAAUAGACAAAUUGAAAAUAAUAACAUAGAAAUCCAAGAAUAUAAGGGAAUAGAAAGUUAUGGAUUAAAAGUAACUUUUGACAAUGAUAAAUUUAAGAAAAUACAAAAGUUGUCCUUAGAUUUGAAAAUAGGAAAAUGGGAAAUUUUAUAUAGAAUAUGGAGAAGAGAAAUAAUAGCAAUAAAUGAAUACCAUAAGAUUGAAAAAAUUAUAGAUGUCAAGACAACUCAAGGAACACAUAAAAUAAACCUUUUAACAAAAAGUACAGUAUCAGAAUUAUUAUAAAAAAUAAGUAAAAAACAUAGUGAAAAGAUCCAAUAUGUUUAUUUAGCAGGAAUACAAAUAGUGUUUAAAUCUUUAUUUAGGGAAGGAAUAGAUUCAUCAUUAACUGUAAGUUUACAUGAUAGAAGAAUUAUAAAUCUUGAAGAUGGUCAUUUAGGAACUAUAGAAGGAAAUUUAGCAUAUCAAAAGUUAAUAUUUACUUGUUACCCAAAAUAUUAUGUCUCAUUGAAAGAUAAAAACUUUAAUGAAGUCUUAGGAUUACAUUUCAAAUUACAUAAAAAUGAUAUAGUGGAACCAGAAGAUCAAAUUAUGACUAUGGAAUAUAGGGCAUUAUAUACAUUUACUAAUUCUAAUUAUGGGAAUAUUUAUUCCAAUAAACCAUACAUAAAAAUUCUUAAGGAAUGCAAGGAUAUUAGUAGAAUAGUGAAACCAAACAAACAAAUAAAUCUUAUUCCAGAAGAAUAUGAAUUUAAUAUAACUAAAAAUAAGCCUGAAAUAAUAGAGUUAAGAGAAGAAGAAGACUAUAAAAUAACAUUUCACAAUGGAAGGUUGAUAAAGAAAUCAAAAAGUCUUAGACUACCGAAUAAAAAAGAAUAUUUGAGAGAAACUAGUGGUAUAAAAGAAAUAAAACCUUAUGGAAAUAUUGGAAAUAUGAAAAUAGAAGGAAAAUAUUUCAACGGUAGAAGGUAUAUAAAAGGACCAAAUAUAUUGAUAAAUACAGGAGCUGGUGAAUGUCAUAUGGCUGCAAAUAAAAAUGAAGGAUUAAUGACUUACAAGAUAGAACCAUAUGAAUACAGGAAUUUUGAUGAACAAUUAUAUAUUACAGAAUUAAAGGUAAAGGUACCAAUAAAAAUAAGUGGGAUUGAUCUUUUAGUACCAUAUUAUUUGGAUGAAAGUAUGGAUAUUGAGCCUCAUAUAUUAUUAGGAAUGAAUUUCUUAAAUGAAUUAGAAGAUUAUAGUAUAAAAAGAGAAGGAUUAUAUAUAACUCAUAAAGGACAAAUUACAUUAUGUAAAAUAGGAAGUGGAUGAAUAAUCAAAUAAGUUUUUCAUUGGCAGUAUAUAUACAAGUUACUAUAGUAGAAAGAAACACAACAACUUGUACCUUAAUUGAUACAGGAAGUGAUAUAACAAUUUUUAAAAAUUUCUUAAUAAAAUCAUGGAAUAAAAAUAGUAAAAUAAAAAUAACAGGAGUGACUGGAGAAAGUACUCAAAUAAUUGAUAGUGCUGAAAAGGUUAAUAUAAUACUUGGUAGUAAACAAGUUAUAAUAAAUAAAGUAUACAAUUAUAAUAACCUAGAAUGUGAUAUAUUAUUAGGAAAUGACUUUAUCCAACAAUUUCAACACUAUAAACAAAAUAAUUACAUGAUAAUGUUACAAAUAUCUUGUGCACAUCUUUUAAAAAUACCAAGAGAAUUUAGACCCUAGAGAGUUCAGUCAGCCCAGCGUGGUGAUAAAUGGAAAAAACGACCAAUAGUACAAGAUGAACUAAAAAAUAAAAAACUAUCAUAUAAAAAGAUCUUAAAAACAGAAAUAGAAAUAAGUAUGUAAAAAAUCAUAGAACAAUUAGAAAAAAUUUAUGGAGAAAACCCAUUAUUAUUUUGGAAACCAUAUCAUCCUAAAACUAAAAUAGAAUUAACAGAAAAUGUUAUAAUAAGAGUUAGACCAAUGAUGUAUACCUUACAGGAAAUGCAAGAAUUUAAAAUUCAAAUAAAAGAACUAUUAGAACAAAAGUUAAUUAAACCCAGUAAUGAACCUCAUAGUAGUCCAGCUUUUAUGGUUAUGAAACAUUCUGAGUAGAUUAGAAGAAAAGUUAGAAUGGUAAUAAACUAUAAGGAAUUAAAUAAAUAUACUAAAUUUGAUGGUAACUUUUUAGCAAAUAAAGAAGUUCUAACAAAUCUUGUAAAAGGAAAACAAUAUUAUUCCAAAUUUGAUUGUAAAUUAGGAUUUUGGCAAAUAAAAAUGGAAGAAGAUAGUAUACAAUAUACAGCUUUUAGUACACCUCAAAGAAUAUAUGAAUGGUUAGUUACGUCAUUUGGUUUAAAAAAUGCACCACAAAUAUUUCAAAGGAAAAUGGAUAAUAUAUUCAAAAAGUUUAGUGAUUUUCUUAUUGUUUAUAUAGAUGAUAUACUAAUAUGCUCUAAUAAUAAAAAAGAACAUAGGAAUCAUUUAUUACAAUUCAUAAAUGAAUGCAAAAAUGAAGGAAUUAUACUUUCUAAAAAGAAAUCUAUAAUCGAGAACAAGAAAUAAAUUUUAUAGGAUUAUCAAUAGAUAAAAAAGGAAUAAAAUUACAGACUCAUAUAUCUAAAAAGAUAGAAAGCUUUCCAAAUGAAUUAAAAUCCAAAGAACAAAUACAAAAAUUUUUAGGAUGUUUAAACUAUGCUGAAAGAUUUAUUGAAAAUCUCUCAAAAAAGAGACAUAAGAUACAAAUUCUACUUAGGAAAACAAAUACUAAAGGUUGGAACAAAGAACAUACUGAAAUUGUUAAAUCAUUAAAAGAAGAAUGUAAAAAUUUACCAAAAUUAAGGUAACCAGAUGAAAAAGAUAAUCUAAUUGUUAAUACUGAUGCCUCGGAUAAAUAUUGGGCAGUUAUAUUAAAAACAGAUUUAAAUGAAAUAUGUAGAUAUUCAAGUGGAACUUUUAAACAAACAGAAAUAAAUUAUACUACUCAUGAAAAAGAAUUGUUAGCAAUUAUUAGAGGAAUAAAAAAGUUUUCAUUAUUCCUUUUAUCUAAAAAAAUUUAUUGUUGAAACUGAUAAUUCUCAGGUUGCAGGACUUAUUAGAAAUAAGUUACCUAUGGAGCCUCAAUAUAAAAUGUUACAUAAAUGGCAAGCAUAUUUAUCAUUUUACAAUUUUGAUAUUAUUCAUAUUAAAGGAAUAAAUAACUAUCUUGCAGAUUUUUUGAGCAGGAAUAUCGAAUUUGGAGAUGGAUAAUAUCAAAAAUUCAUUAAUAGACGUCAACAGACGAAUGAAAUUCCUCAUGGAAGAAUCAGAAGAUAUGAAAAUUGGAAUUGAGCAAUUAGAGCAAAUGGCAGAAUCUAUCCAACAAAAUGUCAAAUUGUUGAUGGAAAUCUCUAAUUCUCAUUCCAAAUAUAUCAAAAAAUUGAAUGACAGAAUUGUUGAUAUUACUUCACAAUUCAAGUCAUUAAAUACCAAAUAGGAAAUACCAAUUGAUACAAUCUCAAAAUUACAAACAGGUACACAGCUAGGAAGCAGCAGUGGAUCCAACAAUAUCAAACGAGACAUAGCAAGUCCCCGGAAGGUGACUAUAAAAAAUGGUGAUGAACAUACAAGAGUUAUCAGGAUCAAAAUUGAUGAAGAUGAUGAUACCCUUUUAUCAUCAAAAGAAGAAGAAUAUAGAUCAUUUGCCAAAAUUGUUUAUGAAUUGGAAGAAAAUGAAUCAUAUUUUAUUGCAUUAGGAGAUCAUAUUUAUCCCAGAUUAAUAAUUACCAAAAAUGCAGACCCUUUCAUGGUCAAAAUGGCAGCAGAUUAUGGAUUUCUGGAUUUGAUCUAUCUAGGAAAAGAUUUAAAAGAAAUUGAAAAAUUUGAUGAUAUAUUUAGGGCAGAAGUUUCAAAAUUUGCCCAAGGGAGAUCGAUUUAUAUCAAAUUUUAUUCAAUAAGUCCCGAGGUUGAUGGAAGGAUAUACUAUCAUGCUGAACAUAUUAUCACAAUUGGAUAUGUUGGCCGAGAUUUUCAGAUUGAAGUUGGCCGAAAUAAUAAACCAUUGCCUAAAAUCAAUAAAUCAUCGAUAAAAUCCCGAAGAGUUUUGGGGAUGAAAGUUCUUUAUAAUAUUGUAAAAAACUUAUAUGAUAAAAAAUUUAGAUGCUUGUGUCAAUAUGAAGAAUGGACACUCCUUACGAAUAAUGGAAAAGAAAAAUAUACUAUUUUGAAAGAAUACAUCCAGAAAUUUGAUACUCAUCAAAUGAAUGGAAGUCCUACAACAAUCCAAGAAUUAUGUAGAUUGAGGAAGUGCUCCACAUGCAGACAAGAUUAAAAAGAUUGACAAAAGAUGAAUGGAAGGGAACCUACCACUACCAACGCAUCUAGCCAGCUGCAUAUGGAGCCAAAGAUGGAGAGGCAAUAAUAGAGGAAAAGAUGCUCAUUUGAUGAAAAAGCAAAAAAUGCAUGUGAAAAUGUAGACCCCAAGAGGAAAAGAAUAGAGAGACAUGUGAGCCUUUUCAAAUUCUAAUGUAUGCAAUGAUGUAAUAGACCAAUAAUAGCAAGUUUGAGUCAUGUAUAGAUAUAGAUCUUUGGGGAAAGAAUGGAUCAGCUCAAGUUAAAAACCAUUCUCUUUCCUUAAGCUUUCUUUAAAACCAGUUUUUCUGGAAACCCCUUGUAUACAAUAGAAAUCUUGUAUAAAUCAUUAUAAAAAUAAAAUCCCAAUCUUUUGAUAUCAGAAAAAUAUGAGUUUCUAAACUUCCUAUCCCAUAGAUUCUUGACAGAUUGAAGAAGAUAAUCUCUUUCUUACUUUAACAAAGGGGGAAUUUUCUUUACUUAAAAUCCUUAUUCUUAAUUCUAAGAAAAGAUACAGUGAGGGUAAGAAGUUGAAAUAGCAGAAUUCCCAUUAAGGCAAAAGGCCGUUUGAGGGAGCAGUUUGCAGAUUCAAAGCCUGAAGGUCACUUGAUUCUAAGAAUACAGAUUUAAGAUCAUAAGUAAGGUAAAAUUAUUGUCUUUAUUAAAUUUAAAAAGAAUUCUUCUAAUAUCUUGAAAGAAUCGUAGGGUUUAUUACUUUUCAUGUUUACAAAAAAUUUAUCUAUCAUGUUGUUAUUCAUAAAGCUUGUAAGGAAUUAUUUAAAUGAUGCCAGACUAUAGAAUAAAAAGAUUAGAUAAUCUGUUAGAAAGACUAUUAGAAAAAAUAAAAAAUAUUUUUUCUCAACUAGAGACUAUGGAUAUAUCGUAUAAGGAAUAUGAUAAUCUUAAAGAAUUAUAUGACAAUUAUAUUACAGAUUAUGCUAAUUUAUUAGAUCAAAGGAUGAAACUAUAUAUUAAAAUUCGAAACGAGAGAAAUAGAAGAAUUUUGGAACUAUUCCAAUAAAUUAGGAUAUUUUGUUCAAAAUAUGGCAAGCCAUUUCAUUAAGGGUAUUAUAGACAUUUUGGCAAAAAUGAAUAAUGAUAGGCCAUUUAGAAAAAUCCCCCGACGGCGAGAGUAGAGGAAGAGGAGAUAUUACAUUUGUCUCAAGAGAUUAGGGCUUCCACUUCCCCUUUCCUCUUGUUUUCAAAUUUCUACUUUUGAUUUGUACUUUUUUUUUUUAUCUAAUUGACAAAUUAAUUAUAAGUAUGUUUACAGAUAGUGUGUAGAAUAAUUUAAUUUAUAAUUUGUAAUUAGUUAAAAUUUGUAUGUUUUAUUCGAAAGAAUCAUUCUAUUAACUUUUAGGGUCAGUUUGAUUGUAAAGAUGAAAUUUGGAUGGAAAGAAAAUAAAUUUCAAGAAAUUGAAUUGUCUAGAAAUUAUUUUACUGGGAAUUAUCAAUUAUUGUGUUUCAUUGAUAUAAUUUUUUAUAUGAAAAAUGUUAAAAUAAAAGUAUUUUUUGAUGUUCGUUUGACUUUAUUUUACAUGAAAAUUGUCAAUUAAAGGAAUAAAAUUUAUUGGUAUUGGGAAUAGAAUUUGUUCCUCUUGCCCAAAAAAUAAAAAAAGGAGCCAAAAAAAACUAUCUAUCUUUUGGUGUUCAUUUGACUUUGUUUUAUAUGGAAAUUAUCAAUUAAAGAAAAAUAUUUUUUUACAAUUAAUGAUAGAAUUUGUUUUCAAUGCCAAAAAAAUAAAAAAUAAAAAUUGGCAACUUACCUAGAAAACCAAUUCCCACCAUUCCUUGAAAACUAAGAAAAGUCCACUUUUCAAAAAAACCAGGCAAAUGAAUUACAUGGAAAAUAUUUGCUAUCAAACACUAUCAAAAGUUGGAAAAUAGACAAAAAAUUUCAUUUUCCAUGGAAAAGAUGCCCAAUCAAACAGGGCCUUAAUAUAUUUUUCCAACAAAAAUUGUGUAGUUUUAGUUCGAAAAAUUUUAAUAUAGUUUCAGUAUAUUAUUUUCAUAUUACCAAUAGAAUUUUAUCAUUAAAAUUUCUUAAUUUAUUUUUUAGGAUUUUGGUUUUUUUGUAAAUUAAAAAUUUAAAAUAAUCUUUAAUUAAUAGGUAGGAUUGAUUGAAAUUAAAUGUAUGCUGAAUUUUUAUUUUUAUUUUUGUUCUUUUUUACAACAAUAAAUAUAGCAAAUCCUUGUUGCAAAACACACUUUCUCUCAACAUUUAAUGAUUGUUGCAAAAUGUUAUAUAGUAAGAAUUUCAACAAUAUGUACUGAGAAUUGCUAUAGAACAAAAUUUUAAACAGUUCAAUGAACAUUGCACAAAAAAAAAAAAGAAAGAAAAAAAAGAAGGAAGAAUUAAAACUUUUGCAACAUUCAAAGAACGUUACAAAAAGCUAUAUAUCAAGAGUUUCAAAAACGUUUAUUGAACGUUGCUAUAGAACUUUAUUUUUACAACAUUCAUUAAACAUUGCGAAAAAUAAAACUUCUUACAACAUUCAAGAAACGUUGAAAAUGGUAAUAUUGACAUCAUGCAAUUAAAAAAAAAUAUUGCCAAUGCUUAAAAUUAAAUUAAUCAAUGGCAACAUUUUUCACUUUUUAAAAUGUUGCAAUAAACCCAUUUAGCAGCAUACAAUUCACGAAUGUUGCCUUUUGAGUAUUGCAAAAGGCUAUUUUAAUUGUAGUGAAAAUUCGUGAUAUGUAAAAAUUCAUAUGUCAUUAAAUUAAUUUCGGUACACGUGAUAAAUGAUCAUACUUAAAAAAAUUAUUACCUUCACUAAACUUUGAAAAAUUAAGCUUUCGGACUGAUAACGUAUUAUGAAAAGAGAUAGAAAGAGCAGGGAGAAUAAAAGUCAAUAGACUUGUAUGUAUUAUAAUAAGAACUAGAGUCAUGUAUUCAUAAAGAAGGAUUAUGGAUACAAUGAUAAUAAUUUCUAGAUUUACAGGGGUACAAUUGUCAUUCACAAAUAAAACUUACUAUUUACAACAAAAUGGUCUUUUUUUAUUUUUAUUUUUCUUCAAUUUGCUCCUAAAAAGGUUUUAAUUGAUAGCAACAAGGUAAGUCGGACGUUCUCUUUUUUGAAUUUUAAGAGGCGCGUAGGACAUUUUGAUCUUCAUUUUUCGUCCCAUUUAUUUAUGUAUUUACAUAUUUAUGUAUUAUUAUGUGUUUAAAUUUAAAUUAUAUUCAAAAAAGUUUUUAAAAAAAAGUUAUGAAUCAUUGAUGGGUUUGUGACAGAGAUCAUGUUUCCUAACCCCAUCCCUAAUAAGGACUAUAGAAUUCCCGACCUUCAAUCCACAUCGCGCCCCAUCCCACAUUGUCCUACCUUGAAUAGUAAACGGGGCGGGAUGCAAGACCUAUAGUCCCUAGUUUCAAAUUUUUAGUACUAGCUCUGAAUCAUUUUUCAUUAUUAUAUUUUAUUUUAUUGUUAUGUUCUUCAUUUAAAUCAUAUUUAAAAAAAUUUAAUUAAAUAAAUAAAAUGAUGAAUGAUGGUUUUUUAUGUCUCAACCUACCCUACAUUCUGAAAAAUCGGAACGAAACAAGAAUGAUAUGAUGGCUACUAUCCAUUGUCAUCCUUAAUUUCAAAUUUCUCGUUGGGCGAAGUAACUUGAGGCUGGAGUUUUGUUAAAGAUUCCUCAAAUAAUUUAGCAAAAAAUAAAAACAAUGAAAAAUAAAUCCACUUUAAAAUAGGGUCAUCUCUAAAAGAUAAAUGUAUUAUCGAUUGAUUCCCAUUUUUCAGUUGAAACUCAUCUCUGCAGGAAGGCUAUGAUCCAAUCCAACCUUAAAAUUUCUCAAAUUAUCUUUUAAAAAAAAUAAUAAAUAAAUAACUUUUUUCACCGCAUUUUUAACUCUACAAUUAAAGUGGAGUAUUGCCUAAAUAUCCAUUAUAGCAGCCACGUAGAGGCAACCCUGAUGGUUCGCAGACGGUGCAACCGCAUAGGGCCUCGACAUUACAAGGACACCAAAAAAAAAAAAAAAAUUGUAUUAUAAUUUUAAAAUUUAAUUUUUUUUAUUAAAGGGACCAUGUUUUAAAAAUAUCACAUAGUACACCCAAAAUAUUAAGGUCAAUCCUACAAUGCCUACAUCUAAGUACUACUGUGCAACUUCUCCAUAUCCUAGGUAUCAAAAAAUCUUCACCUCUACAACCAAGUACUAUGUUAAUUGCUGAAGAUUAUAUUUAGUAACAAACAUAAUAGAAUAAAUUUCUAUGACAUACUUAGAUGAAAAUUAAUUCACUACUGCAUGGCGCUCAAGUCAGAUGAUGAAGUAUAGAUGAAAAUUAAUUCACUACUGCAUGGCGCUCAAGUCAGAUGAUGAAGUAUAUUGGGUGUGGAAGAUAUUCAAUAGAUAAAGAUACAGAUGCGGUUUACCAAAACUUGCCUUCGUAGGAAAGGGUGGAGUAUUUAUAGGUGGAAGAAGCUCCAUCGGAAUGCUUGACACGUGACUUUAUUUUAAUACCUCAUUUGUCAUGCUUAAAUAUGUCAAUUUAUAGCCAUCAUAGGUAUGUGUUUCCAUAGUCAGAGUAUAAGCUAAAAACUAAGAAUCGUUGUUGCGGAGUUGUUACAUCAAUUACUUUGUACGGUGUACUUUGCGCAACUUUGUCAAAGCGAGGCUUGUAGCACAUGUUCAUCGCCCUAGAUAUAUACUGUAGUGGAGAGGUGAUACAUCGCCUCGAAUAACAAUAACAUUCUAAAUAAUGCAUCUAAUAGUAUCUCCUAAUUAUAUCGAAAAAGGCAUGAAGAAAAGACGAUGGGAAUUCGAGUGUUUCCCUCGUGUGGCCUCUUCUCAUCUGGCUGUCACGUGGCCCACAUUGUAGAUAAAUAUGUAACAAUAUCACUUUUAACAAAAUUUAUUCUCAAACAAUGGAUCUUACAUAGGUCUGCCAGUUUUAUGUUAUUGAAAUUUUUUCAAAAGCUUUGUUGAAAAUUAAAUUUUUUCUUUUUUUAUUUUUAGGAGAGUUAGGGACUAGAGAAUAUUUGUAUGUAAAACAAAGUUGUCAGAAUCAAAUGCUAAGAGAGCAAAUCUCUUUGCAAGAAAGAAGGAAAGGAUAAGGCUGCCAAAAUUAUGGUGAUGAUGGAAAUGGAAGCAAGAAUAUUCAUAAUAUAAGUGAAUUUCUUGGUCAUCCAUGCGGGAUUAAAGCUAUUUUGAACACACGGCCUUUGUGAAGUUACCAAUCCCUCAAUUCUAUAGUUUACUGGUGCAAAUUCAAUUUUUCCCGUGUAAGAAAUUUUCCUUUUUGUUAAAGUUGAAUAACAUCGUCUAAUAACAUUAGCUUAUAGGGAUAGGACAAAUUUAUUUACGGAAUUUCUGAAGAUCCUUGAGUAACUUGGAUUCAUUUUUCAAUUUAUGAGAUGUGCAUAAUUUUGCUCAUCAAACCACAUCAUCUAAAAGUUUAAGCUAGCAAUUAGAACACAAAUUUAUUUAUUUAUUUAAAUCUUCUUCGACAUUUUGGACAUGAAAUGUGAUUCCUACAACAAAUGUGCACACCUCCAAUUUAUUAAAUGAUAGACUACGAAACUGUAAUUUGAGUGGCAAUUGGUAUGCAAGAGUGGUUAACUAAUGGAUUUGUAAUUUCGACAUCUAAGUUCUGCAAGGCCAAUACAAACCGAUAGAUAGAACAAUUAUUUUUGUCUGCAUUAAGCAUCACAGGCUCAAUUACCUAGAAUUGCAUCCACUUUACACCUGUUAGAACGUGGAAGUGGACUUGUCCAGAAAUUAAAUAAAAAAAAUUAAUUCAAUAAACAAGAUCGUUUAUGUAACAUCCCUAAAGUAUUUUUACGGAAAAAAAUUAAUAUCUAUUCUAUAAAUUAUAUUUGAUUAUUUUGAAAAUGAGGGACUCGGAUGAAGUAUAUUUUAAAUUGUUAUAUUUUUUAGGCAAAUAAUUGGAUUUUUAUAGAGUGAUGAUAAGUAUUUCAAUAUUAUACUCGUUGAAGAGCCCGUAUUUAAUCAUGUAUUUUAGGCUAGAGAAAAAGUUAAUUCUAAUAAGUUUGGUUCAAGAUAUUGAAGUUUGUAGAAGCUGUUAUUUAAUUGGAAUUAGAAUUUACCAACUUUUAAAAGGGGUAGCCACGUGUGCUCUUCUAUAGAAAUAAGGUGAUGGAUAUGCGAUAGUAGUUAAUUGUUAUUUAAUCACAUUUUGAUGAUGAUUAAUGUAAAUUGAUAAUUAUAAUCCUAUUUUGAUAUAAUUCAACUCUGAAUAUUGUUACUAAAUUAAAUUAAAAUAUUAGUCCUCACUUUUAUUUUAACCGCACUGCAUGAGUAGAUAAGGUGAUUGGGAUACUUCUAAUUAAGCAAAAUCCCAGUUAAACUAAUCUAGAACUUAUCAUAUGAAUUAGAUAAAUUUCCCAUCUCCUGCUUGACCAUGCGUUUAAAGAUUUAUUGGUUUUAAAAAUUAUUUUCACCAACUAGAGAUUUUACAAAGAUGAGAUAAAAUGUUAUGAAGUCAUUUUUAUCCUAUAUUUUGAUAAAGGAUAAAGGUUUAAAUGUAAUCUUAUAUGUGAAAUAUUCAAUUACUAUUGUACAUAUGUCAUAUCAUGGUUUGGGUUAUCAAAAUAUGAAGUUUAUCCAAGUGGUACACAUUUUCCCCACCAUCAAAAUUGUACCAGGAUCAAAAUUGUACCAGGACUCAAAUACCAUUUUUUUACUAUAAAUAAUGUGCAUUUGUACCCGGAUUCUCCACCAAGACAUUUUUACACAGCAGACAAUAGAGAGAGAGAGAUCAGUCACCAAAUUUUUGACGCAAUCGAGGAAGUAGAACAUAUAUUGGAAUUCAUUCAAAAGUCCAUUUUUUUUUAGGUAAGAUACUUUAUGCGCAGCACUUUUGUUUCCUUAUAUUUUUAUAUUCAAUAAAAUAUGAAUGGAUUAUCAGUAAACAUUCAUUUUUUAAAAGAAAUAUGAAAUCCUACGGGAUUGUAAGAAAACCUAAGAUGGGUGUCACUUGGUCACGGAAUUACUCCAUAAGAUCAGAGUGGUAUGAAAUGCAUAAUUUUUAUUGUUAUGUAUUUGUACAUGGAAACUGUACGUAUCUUAUUAGGUGUUUUCGAAUACUCACUCUUACAAAUUUUUACAAGUUAGUUCGAAUCGAUUGAAGUUGUGGUGAAUUGGUGACGCGGACGGCCAAGUGAAUCGAAGAAAGAAAAAAGAAAUUAAAUAUUUAGUUUGCUUUUUUUUUUUUUUUGGUAAUUCUAAAUUAUUUGUUAGUUUUAUUUGUUCAAAGGCUCUUUUGGGUUUUUUAAAUUGAUAUUUAUGGUUGAAAAUAAAGAAUUUCCUUUUAUUUAAAUCGUUCCGCAAUUAUUAUAAAAGAAAACCGCGUUUUUCUUAACAUCCUGGCGUUUUUGAAAAUUUGGGACGUUACAGUUUAGAUGUUCACGUAUAUGUUAAAUCAAGGAUAAAGAAUUCGAAUUUUUACCUAAAUUGAUGAUUAAUUAUUUAAUUAAUUCAGAUCACAAACUUCCACCUUUUUGGAUCAUAGAGUUCUAGCUUUUAAUUGCAUGAUCUUGAUACAUCAAAUCUCCAAAUCUUCUAUGGUAUUCUCCAAAGUCAAAACUAUACCGAUGGGUGGGCAUAUUUUUUUAAAUUAUAUCAAGAAACUAAUUUUUAAACUGACAAUUGAAUAAAAGCAAGAAAAAUAAUAUUUUCUCUCUUUAUUCCUCUCUCCAAUUUGAACACUAUGGAUUUAUGUAUUAUGAUUAUUGUAGAAAUUCUAGGUUCUAUAUAGUCUCUAAUUAUAGAGAUAGAAAAGUUCAAAUUUUUGUACAAUAUUAAUUUCACAUUCAAAUAAGAGUUCGAAUUAAAAUCUAAGUAGGAGUUUUACUUAAAGUCCAAUUCCAAUUAGUACACAUUUAAUUACAUGUGUAGUCCUAAAACUUUAAUUACAAUUAUAAUUAAAUUUACAAAUUUCAUAAUAAUUAUAACUAAGUACAAAACUUUAUUGUAAUUACAAUUAAACUCAAAAUUAUUACAAUUACUAUAAUUCAAUUCCAAUAAUUUAUGGAGCUGACAUAGGGACCUGAUAUAACAUGUAUUAUCCAAACUCCAAUAAUUAGAUUUGUCUAGUAGACUCUAGACCACCAAAUCUUAUUAUUAGUUUUUGCUUUUUCCACCAAACACAGAUGAUUGAACUCUUGGAAUAUAUAAGAUCACAGAAACCAAUAAAUUUGUAAUGCUUUCCUCUAACAUGUUGUAUAUGUAUUUUAUCCUUGUCCGAGAUCUAACAAUUAGGUACGAGCAUAAAUGACCAUUUUACCCUUCGAUUUAUUAUCACUAGCUUAAGUAUCAUUUUCUUCAUCGAUUUUAUAAACUAAUCAAAUAUGUCGAAGUUAAACCGUCGCUAAACACUUAGCUCCGAUUUUAACCAUUCAACAGUAAAUACUUAAGUAAUCACUCUACACAUUUUUCAAGGUAACGAUUCUCGACACGAAUUCAUGUUCUCUACUUCGCUUAUUUUCGAAUUCCUAGCUUAUCAAGAUAUUUAACCAAUCAAAUUGAUCACACCCACUGAUAAUCAGAGAACCACUAAAAUCACGAAAAGAUAUACAUAACAUUAGGAUUGGGCAAAUCUCUCGAACCGAACCGAUUGAACCGAACCCGACGGUUCUUGUCAAAUUAAAUACCUGAACGGGUAUCUGAAUUGAGAACUGACAGGUACGGUCGGGUUCUCGGUUCUAGACCAAGAACCGAAAAAUCGAAUAAGAAUCGAAUCUUUCAAAUUUUUUUUUUAUAUUGAGUAAAUCAAAUUAUUUUAAUUUUAAUUUUUUCUAAACAAAUUAACAAUUUUUAAAUCCAAAUUUUUGGUCCAAUAAUUUGUUUCAUUUCUAAUUUUUUAAUUUUUGGCCCCAUUACCCAUUUUAUUUUUUCAUUUCUUAGCCCAACGAGAUCCAAUCCACUAAAUAACUCUAAGCACCUACACUAAAGUGUAUAACGUUGUUUCGACUCUCGCACUCACUCUCGUAGCCUCGUUGACAUUCCAAAACCUAUACAAUUCUCGACCGAUGCUAUGACCUUCGGUCGAAGCUACGAUCUCCACUGACCGAAACUUUGACCAUAGCGAUCAUUUGAACAAGGUAGCCUACUAGUCUAUGGCAUUCCAAAACCAUUGAAUGUAUCAUUAGUUAUAUUAAUUUAAUGUUGUUAUAAAUGUUAAAAAAUUUAAUUAUAGUACAGAACCGAAUGGAACCGAAUCAAACCUGAACGGUUCCAUAAUUAUAUUUGGACCCGACGGUUCCAUUUGUGUAUAUAUAUGAAAUACACAGCGAUCAAGUGAAAUUUAAUUCUUCGCACAGUCUGCUGUAGGAAUUAAAUUUGCCACGUGGUCCAUUCAAUACACUCCAAGUGCACUAGUGUCACGUUUAACUGUUUUUGUAAUAAGGGCAAAUCACAAACAUGAAUAGUGAAUCGGUCAAUAUUACAACCUUCUAGUACAAGGUGUCAACAUUUAUACAUUAGUUGUGAACAAAUUAUUUAUGAUAAAAAUAUAAGUUGUGUCACACUAUAUUUCUCAACGCAAGUAUCCAAUUUAUAUUAUCAUAAGUGAUCAUAGGCACUUUAAUUCGCAUGCUUAAUAAUAAAUAAAUGCAAUAAAUAAAAUAAACAUAAGAAUAUUGUUAUUUUCUCAUCGGCAAAAGUAUACUAUAUAUACCCACACCCCAACAAUACCUACUCUAUUGGUCAGAUUAUAACAAUCUGCUACUCUUAAGGCUAAUUAGAUGCUACUUAUCGUGGAACUGUAUGAACUAAUUGUAAAUUGGUUUCUAUCCAAUUGACAUGUUUCUAUGACAUAGUACACUACAAAUCACGCGUGGUGUUCAAGAUCAAUUGAAUGUACAGAGUAAAUGGAAGUAACGAUGUUGUUAGGUCAAUAUUUUGGUAUAUAUCCAAAAUUUUGAGCACAAGGAGAAAGCUGAGAAAGCCCUGAUACUAGCUAUGAGUUAGAUGCACGAAUAUUAUUUUUUAUUAGUGAAGUUAACUUUGGUUCUAGUACUAACAUAUAACAUAUGCUGAUUAUUCCUUUAGUAGCAUGUCAACUUUGGUUGGCUCCUGAUCUAAUAAUAGGUUAUUCAAAGUAUUUCAACAAGAACGUAUAGGUAGAUUUUCGAUAACAAUAGAGGUUCUAGCCAUAAGUAAGUUUUCAUGGCGGCAUUAUCCCCCUCUGUCACUCAACCACUCGAGAAAGUACCUAAUUUACAUAGGGAAAAUAAGAAAAUUUUAUGCAUCGUGUUUCCCCAUCAAACUUAUUUUUAUUAUAUAACAUCUAAGACGAUAAAACUAAGUCAUGAGAUUUGCCCUACUAAAAAACUUCCGAUAUUCACUUUUAUUUUUUAUUUUUUUUGGGGCUUGUAAAUCAUUUCUUAUGUACAAGUAAUUGUUGCAACUAACUGAUAUUCGCUACAUGCAGAUGUACUCAUCCCUAGAAUAAAUGAAGCAAUGAUUAGAAUUAGUUAUGAAGAGAAGUGAGUGACAAGAGAAGGAAGGAGGGAGGCAAGAGAGUGAAACUUUUUAAGCUUAGCCAAAAAAUGCUGUAAGUAAAUAUCUUGCACAAUCCAUGAUAACCAAUCCAUCUCAAAGGAAGUUUGUGCAUUUUCCCUCAUAAUAUGACUUGAAAGUGACAAGAGUAUUCUAAUUAAAGCCUAUGGAGGUGGACUAUUAAGAGUGUAUAUAUGAAUAUUAUAAAGAUGAAAUUUUGAAGAACAAAAGGCACUAGCCAUACCAGUGUGAAAUAUAUUUCAAAUGACAGAAUGAAACUUAAUUGAAGGAACACGUUUUAACAAUAUUUACAGUGAACCAUAAAUUUGAUCACGGGCCACAAUUGCAUGACUAGUUGUUUGAACUCAUGAAGUUCGUUUAUAAAUUCCAACAAGAACACGUUCUAUAAAGAAUUCAUCUUGCGACAAAGGCAUGCUUUGGAUCAACGAAGCUUCUUUCUUAGCUAAGAGUCUAUAGCCUUUGUUUUUCAAUAAAACGUGUAUACAAUUUGAUCAACUGGUCGAUAAAUAUUCCGUACAAGUCUUCAAUUCGACGUAUAUGCCUUUUAAGAUUGUAUUUAGUCAUAAUUUUAUGUUCCAAGCAAAUAAUUUUAUGAUUUAUUCUUCUCAAUAUUAGAAUUCGAGGUCAACAUUGUUAAGAAGGACAGCUCAAACCUUUAUAAGUUGAUCUAUGUUUUCAUCUUUAUUCGAUGUGAAAUUUUAUCCCUUGACAAUCAAGUUAUUAGUAAGUUCUGGAUCCGUAAAAUGAAACCUUAGCAUGUCAUUAAGAAAUCCAUUCGUUAAUAGGAUUCAAUUAAGCUACUGUUGACAAUUAUGAGUUGAUACAUGGUUAAAUGAAAUUCAAACACUUAAUAUACUUGAUAACUUGUUAAACUGUUAAUAUAGGUUGCAGUUUGAGAGUUCUGAAGUAGUAGAACGAUAUAAUGACCACUUUUCAAGUAUUAUUGACAUUAAUAUUUUUCUUAAUUUCCAAUUAAUUUAAAUGAAUAAAUCUAGAGAUCAUAGUAAAUAUGAGGCUUAAGGAGAAUUUGCAAUGAUUUCAGCUACUUUUGAAAAGUCAAUAGGGUCAAAUUCAUCAAUGGCAACCCAACUUUAUUUAAAUAAAUUCACAUAUUCGACGUUAAUUUUAAUAUUUAAAUAAAGUGAUCAUUUGACAUCUUACUAGUGCUACCAAAGCACUUGUGAACCAUAAUAUUAAACACAUCUGAUUUGUUUAUUGUACAAUGUAAAUGGAUAUAAAGACUUCAAGGGGCAUUGCAUAACAUAUUCAAAGUUUCCAAAUAAAUAAAGUCAUCAUGUCCUCAACUCGUCAAAAAGUUAAUACCUUUAAGGCAUCUGCCAAAGAAAGGCAUGAAAAUUGACACCCCCACUAUCUAUAUACACCGUUUGACACUUACCUUAACGAUUAAGAAUAUGUCUAAUCAUCAUUUACAAAAACUCAUAAAUAUGUUUGUGAGUUUCAAAUUUUAUUUUCAAUCGUACAUUUCAUUGAAUUCACAACUUUUUAUCCUCUUUUCUAUCAAGCCUGACCAAAAGCCACUUAGGUAAUAGCCCAAGGCCUUGGAUAUUCGAGGGAGAAUAAAUCUCCCUAUCCCGAGUUGGGGACAGGGAGGAAGACAUGUGGCGCCCUUGUCCCUAUUCCUGUCCCCAACACGGGACAGGGAGCAGGGCUCUUCGAGGGACCUCAAAAAUAAACAAUUUGUUCUCUAUUUCUUGCAGAAAGUGGAAAUAUAUCUUGUUAUUGCACAAUGCAUAUUAUUGCACGACAGGAAUCACGUGUAUGAUUUGCCAAAGAAAUGGAGGUACUUUCCUUGGUUUCCUCCUCCUGCUUUAUUUCCACUCGUCAUCCAUUUGCCAAUAUGGGUUGAUUUCCUUUCCUAGAAAAUAUGCUCGUGCUGAUUUCCUAAAUUUGUGGAUUUAAUUGAAACCCAAAAAAGUUUGACCAUAUUUUCUUACCUUCAUUUCAAUCCAUGAGAAUCUUUGUCAAAUUUUUAAUUUGUGGAAUCACACACAUUGAAAGAACAUUUUAGUCCAACCUAUCUUUUCCGUUCAAUCUCAUCUUUGCAUUGACAUACAUUAUGUGUUGGUUGGAUAAAUACUGAAAAUUAUAAAAGAAAAUAUUAGACAGCAUUAAAGAAUAAACAACAAUCACAAAUUCACGACAUAUUUAGAAGAUGUUGCCAAAGAAAUCAAUUUUAAGGAGCUUUAAAUCACUUUUAAACAAGCUUUUAGCUCUCAACAUUUUUCAUGAGCUCGAUUUAUAGUACUAAUUAAACAAGAAAAAGACAUUAAAACUUUUUCCAUAGUAAUCUACAUUUUUGUCCAGCACUAAGCAUGUCUCCUAAAAAUGACACUAAACAUGUGGGCCUUUCCUGUUCAAUAGGAAUCCUCAUCUUUGAGAAUUAUGUUAGCUGUUAUUGUGCCCUCUGAGUAUGUUUCCUCAAGGAUCAACAGACAAUAACUAAUUUUUUUUAUUUUUUAUUUUUAAUUUACUCAAAGUCAUGUAUUUCAUGUUGAACUUCCACGUAUAGAAAUUCCGGAAGAUUAAGUGUUGAGAAAAUAAAGGCAAUGGAGAUGAAGAAUAAAAUGCAAAGAAGAGAAGAAGAUAAAUGUAUAUCAACGAAGGCUUGAACACGAAAUUAAUCUUACUGUCCGCAAACAUUAUUUGCCUCUUUUCCAAUACCUUUUAAGGAUUUCCAACAAAUAGUUUGUAGGAUUAAACAAAUCUUGAUAAGAAGAACACCAAAAAGCAAAGGUGUAACUUCACAAUGAACAAGUGAAAAAUGGAAUGGUUAUGUGAUAAUUUUUUCUCAAUUUUUGGAAGUAUAUUUUGGGAUAAAUUUCAAUGGAACUCAAUGAAUUUUCUUGCACUUGGAUCACCUAUUUAUAGGCAUUGGCAAAUUCCCACGAAAUGGUGCAAGAAAUAGGUGAAAAGUCACCAAAUUUGGAUGAAUAACGGUAAAAAACUAACCCAAUGGUUAGUUUUUAAUAAUCACGCAACUGCAUUGUUAAGCCCAUGCGAUCGCAUGAGACCCUCUCGAGAAUGGGAGGGCUGGCGAAGCUAUAACCAUGCGGUCGCAUGGUUAAGCAAGUUUAUUUUCUUUCCGAUUUUGAACAAUAAAUAUAUUUCCAACAAUCCUGUAUUAAUCACAUAAUCAAACAUCAAAACUUAUGUAUAAGAAUUAGACAUCUUUCGAUUUGAAUAUAUUCAUAGUGUAAAUCUCAUAAAGUAUUAUCAGAAUUCAAAGUGGCUAGUGUGCCUUGAAUCAAUUAUUCUUUGUGACAAUACUGAUAAAAUCACACACAAGUGUUAAGCUUUUCACUAGUUUCUCUAACUCACUUAGUGCUAAUAUGAUCUUGCACUAAUCCUAUUUCAUUGAACUUUUAAAGAGAGAAAACUCCAAUUCUCUAAUGAGGCAGCACCACCUCGAAGUUUACAUAGGUGAAAUUUUUCCAGUAUCUUUGUUACUUUUACAGAUACUUGUAUUCCGUAUUGCACUUCAUUAAGAGUUUAUUUUAACUCAUCCCUCCAAUAGUAACAACUAACACUAUUUUUCAAAGAUAGUAUUUGAUAUAUUUAAUAGUGUUGAAUCCAUCCACUUAUCGAAUAACUUGUUGUUACCUCUUGAGCCUCUAUAUAUUAGUUCAGUAUAUUUUGAUGAGAUUGCUGUUAUUGGUGGAUAUAUUUGAGGAGUUUUAAUCCCAUGUUACUCGAUGUCAAUCUCACUAACUCUUUCGUGAGAGGUUUUGUAAAUGGAUCAGCUAAAUUCUCACUAGACUUAACAAAUGUAAGAGAAAUUACUCUAUGGUUGAUUAAUUUCCUUACAUAUUCGUGUUUUAGACUCAUAUGUCUAGACUUUUCAUUGUAUACUUCGUUAUAUGCUCGAGCUAGAGUGGCUUGACUAUCAUACAAGAUAAGUAUAGAAGAAAUAUCCUUUAUGUCUAAAGGUAUUUCAUAUAAUAAAUCUCUUAGCCACUCAACUUCUUUUUCAGUUUCGGCCAACGCUACAAACUCCGAUUUCAUAGUUGAAUAAGUAAUACAAGUUUGUUUCUUAGACUUCCAAGAAACUGCACCACCUCCAAGAGUGAAUAUCCAAUCUGAAGUCGAUUUAUUCUCUCCUGCACUCGAUAUCCAACUUACGUCAACAUAUCCUUCCAAAAUUUUAGGAAAUUUUGUAUAUUGUAGCCCAGAAUUUUUGGUUUUCUUUAGGUAACCAAGAACCAUACCGAUGGCCUUCCAAUGUUCUGAACUUGGAUUGCUAGUAAACCUACUUAAUUUACUUACAACAAAUGCUACAUCAGGUCUUGUACAUUGUAAUGCGUACAUAAGACUUCCAAUUGUACUUGCGUAUUCUAUUUAUACAAUUGUUCUACCUUCAUUUUUUAUCAAUUUAAUAUUUGGAUCUACAAAAGUAUUAGCAUCCUUAACAUUCAAAUGUUUGAAUUUGUUUAUCACACUCUCAACAUAGUGUGAUUGGCUUAAUGUAAAACCCCCACUAUCCUUUUUAACUUUGAUACCAAGGAUAGUAUCAACUUCUCUAAGAUCCUUCAUUUUGAAAGCAGAAGAUAGAAACAAUUUUGUUUCUUUAAUCCCAUUUAUAUUAUUGCUAAUGAUUAGCAUAUCAUCAACAUAUAAACAUACUAACGUGAAUAUAUUAUCAUUCAUUUUCAUGUAGAGAAAGCAAACCCUUCUAGUUGUUCCAUAUAUACCUCUUCUUCGAUAUCUCCAUUUAAGAAUUCUUCUUGACGUCCAUUUGAUGAACAUGUAGUUCAUAAAUGGAUGCUAAUGCAAAUAAGAUCCUGAUCGAGGUUAUCCUCGCUCUGGGUGCAUAUGUAUCAAAGUAAUCAAUUCCUUCUAAUCAAUUCCUUCUCUUUUGACGAUACCUUUUAGCAACUAAUCUAGCCUUAUAGGUAUUCAGCGAUCCAUCAGAAUUGUAUUUCUUCCUAAAUACCCACUUGCAACCAAUAGCUUUAGAGCAUGCUGGUAGGUCAACUAUUUCCCAAGUGUAUUUCGAAAUAAUAGAAUCCAUUUCAUUGUUUAUAGCUUCUUUCCAGAACAUGCAAUCUCCAGAUUGCAUUGCUUCCUUAUAAGUCUUAGGAACACUUUCAACUUGAAGAACAAAGGGAAUUGUUCUUACAACAUCCUUCCUAUCUCUUUCUACUGAGUAAAAAGAAAUAAGUUGGGGAUCUAUUUCAUGUGAUCCUAAGUUCUUUUUUUUUCUAGUUCUUUUACUUCUUCAAGGUUCAAUUUCAACAUCUUUUAUGGAUGUCUCUUCUAGUGAGCUUCUAAAGAUUGAAAUAUCCUUAUUAUUAUUUUCAGAUUUCCUAGCUACCAUUACAUCCUCAAAGAAUUCCACAUCUCUUGAUUCGAUUAUGACAUACGUUUCUAGAUUUAAUAAUCUAUAGGCUUUGCUAUUGAGAGUAUAUCCCACAAAAGCACAUUUGAUACCUCUAGGACCUAGCUUGGUCCUCUUAGAAUCCAUAUUAUUACAAUAGGCAAUGCACCCUCACACUUUAAAAUAACUAACAUUUGAUUUUCUAUUUUUUCAAAUUUCAUAUGGAGAAAUUUUAUUCUUUUUCAUAAGAAUCCUAUUUGUUAUAUGGCAAGCACUAAAUAAGGCUUCACUUCAUAGGUUAAAAGGUAAUUCAGAAUUUAACAACAUGACAUUUAUCAUUUCCAAAAUAAGUUCUAUUUUUUCUUUCUACUAAUCCAUUUUGUUCUGGUGUUCUAGAUUCAGAAGAUGUAUUAUUCCAUUUUGUUCACAAAAUAUGUUAAAUUCAUUAGAAAAAUAUUUCUCACCUCUAUCACUUCUUAAAGUCUUUAUUUUUCUUCCUAAUUGAUUUUCAACUACAAUUUUAUAAGUCAUAAAGGCAUUAAAGGUUUCAUCCUUAUGUUUUAAUAAGUACACAUAAGUAUACCUAAAACAGUCAUCAAUGAAAGUAAUAAAAUAUUUUUUACCGCCUCUAGUUAUCGUUCCAUUCAACUCACAUAUGUCGGAAUGAACAAGUUCGAGUAAUUUUGUUGAUCACAUUACGCUAUGAAAUGGCUUCUUGAUCAUUUUUGAUUUAAAACAUAUUUCACAUUUUUCUAAGUUGUCAAUAUCACAUUGUAUUAGUUCACAUUUAAUCAUUUUUUUUCAUAGUAUUAACUCCUAUAUGUGCUAAUCUACCAUGUCAUGAAUUAAAUGAAUCAGUAACAUAAGCAGAAGAUUUAAAUUUCAUUUGAGUUAUCCUCAAUAGUACAUAGUUUGACCAUUCCUUCGGUGGAAUAGUCCUUUCCAAUAAAAUGCCCAUUAUGGGCUAAUACAAACUUUCUAGAUUCAAAAACAGAUUUAAUUCCAGGUUUUUCCAAGAGUACACCACUUGCUAAGUUUCUAUUCAUUUUCGGUACAUGCAAGACAUUUGUCAAAGUGAUUUUCUUUCCUGAAGUGAAAAUGAGUUCCACAUUUCCUUUGUCAAUCACUUUUGAUCUUCCUUCAUUUUCCAUUUGUAUCUCUUGAUUGUCUUCAAUGUCAUGAUAAGUUUUGAAGUGAGACUUAUCAUAACAUACAUGGAUUGUAGCUCAUGUAUCAUACCACCACCCAGAACUUUUCCUUAGAUUGCAUUGAUUUCGGUCACUGUGUCGAUAAUCUCAUCAGCGAAGUUCACUUGUCCUUCUUUUGUUGUUUCCUAUGUCUACAAUCCUUAGCAUAGUGUCCCGAUUUUCCACAGAUAUAGCAAAGUUCUUUGGCUUUAUUUUUAAACUUUCCUUGAUCCUUUCUAGGACUAAGAAAUUUUCAUUUCUUUUUAAAUUUGUUGGAGUUGUCCACAUUGUCCACAGCAUUGGCCUUUGAAGAAUCAUCGUAAGAAUUUUCAAUCUUAUCUCUUGUCCUUGAUUCUUCUUCAAUACGAAGAUGUUUUUGUAUAUCUUCCAAAGAAAGGUCUUCGCAAUUGUGAAGAAUCUUCUUCCUAUAUCCUUUCUAAGAAUCAAGAAGUUUAGCAAUAAUUGCUCCCAUUUGGAAAGUUUCGGAAAGUUCGAUUUUCAUCGCUUUCAGUUUGUUUACAAUUAUUUGUAACUCAUGUACUUGAGGCAACAGCGGUAUAUUAUCCAAAAAUUUGAAAUCAAAAUACUUAGGUAUUAAGAACUUUUUGGUACCUUCCUCCUCGGCUUUGUAUUUGCUUUCUAGCGCGUACCAGAUAUAUUUUGUUGAUGAAGUGUUGGUGUAGAGAUCAUAGAGGCGAUCGGAUAAUGCAUUUAGGAUAUGGCCACGGCAUAUCAAUUCGUCCUCUUUCCGUUUCUUCCUUUCUGCGCGAAUUUCUUCGGUAUCCUUGUUAGUUGCAUCGGGGAUGAGCUCUAAUUUUGGAUCAAGCACGUAGAAAAUUUUCAAGGCCGUUAACAAAAAAUUUAAGUUUGUCCUGCCAUCUAGUAAAAUUUGUGCCAUUUACUCUGUCCAAGCGUACCAAAUCUUAAUUCAUCAUUUUGAUAGUAACAAGUGUAGAUUCCGUCUUCAUCGCAGUAAUAGUAACAAAUAACAUUUGAGAUUGUCAAGAAAUAAAGCCAAUGGAGAAGAAGAAUAAAAUGCAAAGAAGAGAAGAACAUAAAUGUAUAUCAAUGAAGGUUUGAAUACGAAAUUAAUCUCGUUGUCCUCAAAUGUUAUUUGCCUCCUUUCCAAUACUUUUUAAGAAUUUCUGGCAAAUAGUUUGUAGAAUUAAAUAAGUCUUGAUAAGAAGAACACGAAAAAGCAAAGGUGUAACUUCACAAUGAACAAGUGAAAAAUGGAAGGAUUAAAUAAUAAUUUUUUCUCAAUUUUUGAAAGUAUAAUUUAGGGAUAAAUUUCAGUGGAACUCAAUGAAUUUUCUUGCACUUGGAUCACCUCUUUAUAAGCCUUGGCAAGUUCCCUCGAAAUGGUGCAAGAAACAGGUGAAAAAUCACCAAAUUUGAAUGAAAAAAGGUCAAAAACUAACCCAACAAUUAGUUUUUAAUAAGCGACCGUAUGGGACCGCAUGGCUAUAGCUUCACCAGCCCUCCCAUUCUCGGAAGGGCCUCAUGUGACUGCAUGGGCUUAAUCCAUGCGGUCGCAUGGUUAAGCAAAAAAAAAAUUUUCUUUUCGAUUUUGAACAACAAAUAAAUUUCCAACAUUAAGUUAUGAGAAAAAAAGUUAUGUUUAAGGGCGUCGUAUAUAAAAAUACAUGUUUCUUCAAGGAUCAAUACGUAAAAAUAUCAUACUUGAGGGCCUCAUCAUAAUUAUUUGCUAGCCCUGAAAACUUGACCGCCAUAGUCCCUUUUCUACGAACCACUGUGGUGAGCCUUUCUUCGUCAACAAAUCUAGUUCGCAGAUUCACCUCACUUUCUCCAUCAACAAGCCUAGUUUGUAGCUUUGCCUCACCGAGUGACACCAACAAGGUACAUCAACAAGCCUGGAAGUUGUUACUAUGUAGAUGAAUAUGUGGAUCCCUAGAUUCUAACAUUUGCUCAGCAGCUUAGAACUUUGAGGAUAACAGGAUUCAAGAAGCCCAAUUUCACACUGAACAACUUAUUAAGCAAGAGACAAUCACUUUCAAUGUGGAUGAGGAAUUUAAUUCAGCAACUCUAUUUUAUUAUUGGUCUCUUACUGCAACUCACGACAUAAUUCUACAAGUGCAAGAAUUAAUAGAUGCUAUACAAAAUAGAAAGUGCUACGUGUACAUAAUUGUUUACAUAAUGAUGUUCAUAAUUACACGUGACACUGGAUCCAACAUUUAAUUCAAAUCUACACUUGUAAAUCAACAACCAGAUGAUUGCCACAUCACAGUGUGAACACCAUUAUAUGCAAUAAUUAUGUACAAGUAGAAUUUUCCAAUAAAAUAUGCUAACCUACCAGUUAAAUGAGUUACGUUGUAGAACCACAACAACGCCAAAAAUGGACCUCCAAAUGGGUACAUGGAGUCACACAAACUGGCGUCCUCAAUGGGAAAAAUAUUGGAAACUGGUAGAAAUUGAAGCCAGCCAAAAGAAAGCAAUCAUCUCAAGGACAAUAUAUGACUUCAAUACAUCACUCCAAUGUACAAUUUCUUUCAUGGUCUGCCGAGACCAAGGGAGAUCGAGAUUGAGUGGCAUGUAGGGCGCAUCGCCGCUGCUACAGAACCCUUGGUAGCGCUGGGAGCACCAGGGCCAGAUCUUGGCCCAAAUUGGUCAACCAAGACAAAAGGGGAUCGAGAUCGAGUGGCAUGUAGGUCCAACACUACUGCUACGGGGGCCUCGGUAGCGGUGGGAGCACCGAGGCCAAAUCUUGGCCCGGGUUGGUCCAUCGAGACCAAGGGGCACCAAGGCCAGAACUUGGCCUAGGUGGGUCCUUCGAGACCAAUGGGGGUUGAGAUCGAGUGGCAUGUAGGUCACAACGCCGCUGCUACCGAGGCCUUGGUGUUGGUGGGAGUACUGGGGCCAGAUUUUAGCCCGGUGUUUAGUCUAAAACCGAGAGCAAAGGGGAUUGAGAUGGAGUAGCAUGUAGGUCCAUUGUAGUCGGAAUGUUUGAACGACUAUGGCUUGAUGCAGUCGACUGCAUGAUCUCUAGCCAAGGCUGGAAGUCUUUGAAAAGGAGAAAAUGGAAGUGAACAUUAUUGAUCCAUACUGGUAUAUAUUUCAUUCUAUAUUUUAAUAAAUAGCGAAUAAUGAGAUAUUUUUUUUAUCACAUUUUAAAUAAUAAAUAAUUACGAAAAGUAUUUUCUCCUUGUCUCAAAGCAUAGAACAAAAUAUUUGAAGUAAAUCAUCAUUAAUGAAAAGAUGUACUAAUUAAUGAAAAAUUGAAGAUAAUAAUUUGACCCAAAAAAAUGAUUGUUAUAACGCGAAAUACAAUUAAAAUAUAGUGUAACGAAUAAAAAUUGUAGUACCAAUAUAAAUUGACAUCCUUUGAUAGAGACCCAAAAAAAAUCAAAAAUCUGAAAUAUGUUUUUUUGCUCGGAUUACAUUGGCUAUAUGCUAAUAGAAAUGUAAUACAAAAGAGGUAAAUAACAUAAAUUUCUUCAAAACAUUAUUGUUCAUUUGAUUACUGAUUCAAAACUCCAAAUUUGCAUUUAGUCUCAACUUGCCAAAUUUGCUCCAUCUCCUGCGAUUCUAAGUCUAGUUCCUCGUCAAUAUUUAUUGUUGUAGUCAUAUAUAUAUUAAGAACAGGAAUUGUAUGCAGCAGAAGUUGAACACUCUGCUUAAAAUUCCUCCACGUGCUAGAGAUACAAGCAGUGCAUAAGGAGAGCAGCAUAAUUAUGGGGUAGACAUACCAAAAGACAUCUUGUGGGAAGAAUACGAAGGCAAAGAGCAAACCAAUAGGGAAAUUAAGUAAUUCUCGACUUGAAUGAGUCUGUAUCCCGUAUCAACUUGAGGUGUCAAUGAGAUUUCAAUAGAGAUGAAGGAGAAGUGAAAGAAAAAGCUAGUGAGAAUCCAAAACUUGAUCCAAGUGAAGUUCCCAAUUACCAUACCAAAUGGAUUCCAUUCCCAAUGCAUGGCUGUAUAUGAUUUCAAUAUAUUUACAACGAAUAGGAGUAACUGGAAACUUCAAUUGGAUCCAUUUGGUAUGUUAAUUGGGAACUUCACUUGGAUCAAGUUUUGGCUUCUCAUUAGCUUUUUCUUUAUCUUCUCCUUCAUUUCCAUUGAAUCCUAUUCGUUGUAAAUAUAUUGAAAUCAUAUACAGCCAUGCAUUGGGAAUGGAAUCCAUUUGGGAUGGUAAUUGGAAACUUCACUUGGAUCAAGUUUUGGAUUCUCACUAGCUUUUUCUUUCACUUCUCCUUCAUCUCCAUUGAAAUCUCAUUGACACCUCAAGUUGAUACGGGAUACAUAUGCGUUCAAGUUGAGAAUUACUCAAUUUCCCUAUUGGUUUGCUCUUGGCCUUAGUAUUCUUCCCACAAGAUAUCUUUUGGUAUGUCUACCCCAUAAUUAUGCUGCUCUCUUUAUGCACUGCUUGUAUAUCUAGCACGUGGAGGAGUUUUAAGCAGAGUGUUCAACUUCUGUUGUCAACAAUUCAUGUUCUUAACAUAUAUAUGACUACAACAAUAAAUAUUGACGAGGAACCAUACUUAGAAUCGUAGGAGAUGGAGCAAAUUCGACAAGUUUAGACCAAAUGCAAAUCUGGAGUUUUGAAUCAAUAAUUAAAUGAACAAUAAUGUUUUGAAGUAGUUUCUGUUAUUUGCCUCCUUUGUAUUACAUUUCUGUUAGCAUAUAGCCAAUGUAAUCCGAGCAAAAAAACGUGUUGCAGAUUUUCAGAUUUUUUAUUUUUAUUUUUUUGUCUCUAUUAAGAGAGAAACUUGGGUGGGGUGAUCGCACCAUCCACGUGGUGCUACCGGCCAACCCCGAAGCACCACCUCUGCAGAUGGCUCACACACCUCGAGGGUGUGUGGUGGCCCACCCACCGAGGUGGUGCACAUUGAUAGUAGCGGUGCGACCGCCCUACCUAAGUUUUUUUCCUCUAUCAAAGGAUGUCAAUUUAUAUUGGUACUACAAUUUUUAUUUGUUUCACUACAUUUUAAUUGUACUUCGUGUUAUAGCAAUCAUUUUUUUAAUUUUUUUUGUCAAAUUCUUAUCUUCAAUUUUUCAUUAAUUAAUAUAUCGUGUCAUUAAUGAUGAUUUACCUCAAAUAUUUUUUUGGGCUUUUUUGGGCGACUUUUUGACGAUUUUCCGAUUGAAUCCCUUGAAGUUACGAAAAGACUUGGGUGUAAUUGAAGAGGACAUUAUGGACUUUCCAACGUUAUCAAAAUUUGACGGUAUCUAUGAUCGAAAAGUUGCGGCAAAAGCAACCCAAAAAUUUGAAAAUGUGGUUUUAAAACUUCAGUGACCGUUUCUACAAGUUUUUAAACUUCAAUGACCAUUUCUAAAAGUUUUUAAACUUCAGUGCUCAUUUCUGAAAGCACCCCGAAGCUUAAGUGACCGUUACUAAAAAUUUUAAACAUCAAUGACCGUUUUGUAAUUUCUGCAUAAGUUCAAUGACCUUUUUGAAAUUAAUCCAAAAAAGUUUGCAUGUAGAGUUUCAUGUUUCUUAAAAAGUACAAACAAAUCUCACGUAAAACAAUUUAAAACAUUCUAAUUAAAGAAAAAUAUUUUAUCAUCUCAAUUAACCCACCUACUCCUACACCCAUCCCUUACAUUCCACCACCACUACAAAAUUAAUCAAAGAGAUAAUUAAAAGUAUAAUAAAAGCAAAAUAAUAAUAAUAAUAAUAAUAAUAAUAAUAAUAAUAAUAAUAAUAAUAAUAAUGAUGAUGAUGAUGAUGAUGAUGAUAAUAAUUUAUGACCCCAUUUGACCCCCAUUAAUUUUAAUUAUAAUGGGGAAAAUAGUAUUUUUUUUGAAAAAUUGAUGGUUGUAAAAGAAUAAAAAGUUUUCGAUUUACGUGUAAUAUUAUUUUAUUAAAAAUUGUGUGAUUCAAAAUAAGAAAGAAAAAUUUAAUUUAAUUUGAUGAGAUGUAAUGGGAGGGAGAAGGAACGGUGGCUAUAUAAAAAUGAAUGACGCUUAUUCCUCAUCAAAUAAUUUUUAAACCUUUAAUUCUCUUUUUAAUUAUUUGAUGGUCAUGUUGAUGGAGGAGGAUAUGCAUAGGAGUCAAGAUAGGGACAGGUGGUUAAUUGGAAAAAUAAUUUUUUUACUAGAAUGUUUUAAAUUGUUCUGAAUAAAAUUCAUUUGCAGUUUUUAAAAAAAUUAUAAAAUCUAGAUACAACAUUUUUAUAUUAUUUCUUUUAUAUAUAUAUUUGUUUAUUUAAAGAUGAUAAAUUAGUCAUUUUAUAAUGUUAUAAUUGAAAAAAUGGAUGGUAAAGACAUUUUAAGCAAAGAAAUGUCGAUCUAAAUGUUCAAAUGUCAAAAUUGAAAUGAUAAGAACUAUUCACACAAUUAAAGCAAACGAUAGGCACGUUUUUGCGUCAAAUUACACAUAUUUUACGAAAGGAUUUAAUGAAAUAUGACGGAAAGCACGGAUUUUGCAAGAAACGUUUGAAAUAAGAGUGUAAAUGGCAACUUUGAAAUAAUAUGAACCGAUUACAAACGAUUAGAAUGCUUUUUGGUAAUUACCCUAAAGCAUAUUUACUCUCUAGAUAUUGAGGGAAUUUAGCCCUUGUCUAACACCCAUUAAAAUUUUAAUAUAUUUUUCUCUUUUUUUUUUCAAUCACAUAUUCAUCAAUAAAAUAAUAUUAUAAGUAAAUCAAAAAAUUUCCUUCUUUUUUUACCACAAAUUCUCCCAAAAAACACUAUUCCAUAAUACAUUUUAUCAAAAUUUCUCAUUAUAAUGGAUGUCAAACAAAGGCUUAAUAUAAACUAAUUUACACUUUACUUUUAUAAUAAAUAAUGUUAUUCAUAGUGUCUAUUGAUAGUCAUCCUUCGUGACAUACACAUGACAAUAUGUUAUUUGAUGCAUAGGACGGUAAAAAAACUAUCAUAUUAAUUUAUCAAAUAAUGUCAUGUGUAUGUCACGUAAGAUAACUACUGAUAGUAGUUCUUAUUAUAUAAUUCAUCAGCUGCAAUCUUAAAAGAGACAUAAAUUUAGUUAACAGUGGUUCUUAUUAUAUUAGUUCAUCAGCUAAUAUAUAAUCAGUCCUUCCUAUAGCUUACUAGUUGAGUGUGGAAGGGGAUAGCAAAACGAAAAUAAGAAAAUCAGAAUUUUAUGCAUCGUGUUUUCCCCAUCAAACUUAUUUUUAUUAUAUAACUUCUAAGACGAUAAAACUAAGUCAUGAGAUUUGCCCUACUAAAAAACUUCCUAUAUUCACUUUUAUUUUUUAUUUUUUAUUUUUGGGGCUUGCAAAUCAUUUCUUAUGCAUAAGUAAUUGUUGUAACUAACUGAUAUUCGCUACAUACAGAUGUACUCAUCCCUAGAAUAAAUGAAGCAAUGAUUUAUGAAGAGAAGUAAGAGACAAGAGAAGGAAGGAGGGAAGCAAGAGAGAGAGACUUUUUAAGCGUAGCCAAAAUAUGCUGUAAGUAAAUAUGCAAGAGAGAGAAACUUUUUAAGCUUAGCCAAAAAAUGCUAUAAGUAAAUAUCUUGCAUAAUCCAUGAUAACCAAUCCAUCUCAAAGGAAGUUUGUGCAUUUUCCCUCAUAAUAUGACUUGACAGUGACAAGAGUAUUCUAAUUAAAGCCUAUGGAGGUGGACUCUUGAGAGUGUUUAUAUGAAUAUUAUAAAGAUGAAAUAUUGAAGAACAAGGAGCACUAGCCAUACCAGUGUGAAAUAUAUUUCAAAGGACGGAAUGAAACUUAAUUAUAGGAACACGUUUUAACAAUAUUUACAGUGAACCAUAAAUUUGAUCAUGGGCCACAAUUGCAUGACUAUUUGUGUGAACUCAUGAAGUUUGUUCUAUAAAUCAUGAUAAAGAAUUCAUCCUGCGACAAAGUCAUGCUUUGGAUCAACGAAGCUUCUUUCUUAGCUAAGAAUCUGUAGCUUUUGUUUUUCAAUAAAAAGUGUAUAUCAUUUGAUCAACUCAUCAAUAAAUAUUCAGUACAAGUAUUCAAUUCAACGUAUAUGCCUUUUUAAAUUGUAUUUAGUCAUAAUUUUAUGUUCCAAGCAAAUAAUUUUAUGAUUUAUCCUUCUCAAUAUUAGGACUUGUGGUUAACAUUGUCAAAAAGGACCGCUCAAACUCUUAUAAAUUGGUCUAUGUCUUCAUCCUUAUUUGAUGUGAAAUUUUAUCCUUUAACAAUCAAUUUAUUAGUAAGUUCUGGAUCCGUAAAAUGAAACCUUAGCAUGUCAUUUAGAAAUCCAUUCGUUAAUAUGAUUCAAUUAAGUUACCGUUGCCAAUUAUGAGUUGAUGCAUGGUCAAAUGACAGCCUCUAUAGCUUCACAAACUUGAUAUAUUUGAUAACUUGUUAAAUUGUUAAUAUGGGUUGCAGUUUGAAAGUGGAAGAAUCUUAAUGAUCGCACAUGUAUACCUAUUCUUGACUUCAUCUACACCUUGUCAUCACUUGCAACUAUUAUAGAAAUACAGAACUGUUAAUAUGGAAUGCCACUUGUCAACACUUGGACGGUUCAUUAGCUCUAAAUUGAAUCUCUUGAGAAAUUUCUAGAAGCGGAAGCGUCUAACUUUGAGGCAUUAUUCUCCAAUUCAGUUGGCUUGGGUUGUCACUAUGCAUGAGCUGGUUGAAAACUCUAGAUUUUUCGUUCUCCAUUUGUACAUCACAUUUCCAAUUUGAGAGCGGAAUCAACUCCUCGCGCGUUUGAAUUUGAUUUGAAAUGGUUGAUGAGUUAAUUUAAUUAUUUAUAUUUGAACUAAGAUGUCUUUUUUUUUUCUUUUUUCUUUUUUUUCUUUUUUUUUAAAGAAAAAACGAGAUUAAAAAAUAGUUCACAAACCAUAUGAUAUAAAGAUGGCUUGUUGAAUUAUUUUUCAAUAGCUGUCGAUGACACAGCAAAGUUUUUCAGUUGGGGUUCAGGUAUGAUAUAGAGUUUUUGGGUGUGGUUGGAGUUCUAAUUUGUGUUUUCAAUGAAUAAUUUGGAGGGAAUUAUGCCUAUAUAUAGACUUUAAGCAAUUUGCAUAUUGACAUGAGUUGCCAACCAGCACCAGUUAAUCGAGUCAAGAAAUGCAAGUUGAUCAAACAAUGUAUCAUUAUAUAUCAAAAUUAUGAAUUUAGUGAUCCAAUUAACAGAAUUAUGAAAUAACUCAAUUACGACAUUUGGUAUUUUUUUAUCCACAAAUUAAAUACGGAAAAUUGUUGCAAAAAUGACACUAACCUCAUCCACCAUACUUGUAAGGAGGAGGCUUUUCCCCGAAAGUUGAUUUAGCAAACAGAAAACAAGCAAUUCCCAGGCCUAUCCCCGCGGCUCCUCCAAGAAUAAUAGCCACUGUCUUCUGUGUAUUCUUCCUUGUCCCUACGUUCCCUACACCAAUCACAUUACACUCACAUAAAUUAAAACUGCAACAAUUUUUUUCCUUUCACUUUCCUUUUUUUUUUUUUUUAUUCGGGAUUUCUUUAACAUUUUGAAAAUAAGAAAUAGACAAAUUCAUGUAUUGGAUAAAUUUAUCAAUGAACUAAAAGGGAUAACGGAAAAAGAUUUAUGUUUAAGACUCCAAAAUUAUCAAGAAGAAAACUUUGUUUGUUACAUAAGUAGAUGUAGCCCUUUUGGACGCUUGAAUUUUAAAUAAGAUUAUUAACCAAGCAAAGCUAAAUGUUCUGAUCAGGACAAGUGGGACAGUUAGUUAUGUCCUACUAUCUACACAAUUCUGUCUAUGUUCACAAUCAUGUUCGGGAAAAGGUACUUGUAUAGGAGUGGUUGUGCAAGGGCGAUUCCCCCUUUCCAUUGUAGUCCAAGUGAUAACAAACAGCCUCUAUACCUAUUCUUGACUUCAUCUACCAAAUUUGCGAUCAUCUCCACGCAUUAAAGAUUGAGUCAAUAUGUUAAAUAUUGUAAAUAAAUAUGAUUAAAUAAUUAAAAUUAAACAUAUUUGAUUUGUUUACCGUACAACGUAAAUGGAUAUAAAGACUUCAAAGGGGUAUAACAUAUUCAAAGUCUCCAACUAAAUCUAGUCCUCAUAUCCUCAACUUAUCAAAAAGUCAAUACCUUAAAGGUAUGUGCUAAAGAAAGGCACGAGUAUUGACAACCCCACCAUCUAUACAUUUGACAUUUGCCUUAACGAUUAAGAAAAUGCCCGAUCAUCAUUUACUAAAACUCAUAAAUAUGUUCGUAUCAUCUGCCAAACUCAACUAUUUCAAAAUUUAUUUUCAAUAAUGUAUUUCAUGGGAUUCACAACUUUUACCAAUUUUUCCAUCAAAUCUUACCAAAGCCAAUUAGGCAAUGGUCUAAGGCCUUAGAUAUUUGAGGGACCUCAAAAAUAAACCAUUUGUUCUCUGGUUCUUGCAGACAGUGGGAACAUAUCUUGUUAUUGCAAAUUAUUGCAUGACGGGAAUGACCUUUAUGAUUUGCUAAAGAAAUGAAGGUACUUUCCUUGGUUUCUUCAUUUUGCUUUAUUUCCACUCGUCAUUCAUUUACCAAUAUGGGUUGAUUCCCUUUCCUAGAAUAUAUGCUCAUGCCAAUUUCCCAAAUUUGUGGAUUUAAUUGAAACUCAAAAAAGUUUAACCAUAUUUUCUUACCUUCGUUCCAGUCCAUGAUAAUCUUUGUCAAAUUUUUAAUUUGUGAACAUUUUAGUCCAACCUAUCCUUUCCAUCCAAUCUCAUCUUUGCAUUGACAUACGUUAUGUGUUGGUUGGACAAUAAAAGAAAAUGUUAGACAGCAUUAAAGAAUAAACAACCAUCACAAAUUCGCGACAUAUUUAGAGAAUACUGCCAAAGAAAUCCAUUUUAAGGAUCUUUUAAUCACGUCCAAACAAGCUCUUAGCUCUCAACAGUUUUCAUGAGCUCGAUUUAUAGUACUAAUUAAACAAUAAAAAGAUAUUAAAACUUUUUCCAUAUUAAACUACAUUUUUGUCCAGCACUAAGCAUGGCUCCUAAAUAUGAUAUGAUGGUAAACAUGUGGGCCUUUCUUGUUUUAAUAGGAAUCCUCAUCUUUGAGAAUUAUGUUAGUUGUUAUUAUGUCCUCUGAGCAUGUUUCCUCAAGAAUCAAUAGAAAAUAGCUAUUUAUUUUU
rnacentral:lncRNA from 1 species